rnacentral:lncRNA from 1 species
GAAGAACUUAGAAGAACUAACUCUAAUCUCACAUUGGAUGCUAAACCCUAUGAGGUUGGAUCCCUAGAGGGACCUCUAUCUCUGAAUCCUCUCUGGAAAAUAUACUAAUGAAUAAUGGGACUUCUCUCCUCUAGGGGCCAGGGGGCCUGCUUAUAUAGUCCCCUCAAGUGAACGUGGGCCGUCGGAUCAAACCGACAUUGAUUGAAUGGUUCUCCUUGAUCCUUUAGGUCGGUGGAGCAUAAUCCGAGAUUGAACGUGAUUGGUUGAAACACCAGGGUGGGUGCCCAAGGGGGGAGGGCGGGCGCCCUGCCCCCAGGCCCGCUCAGCCUCCCGUUCGUUUCCGUGGCUUCUGGAGUCUUCUAGAUGAUAGAAAAUUGCGCGGCACGUUAAUAUCUCUAUGUAAACCCGAUGUGUGGGCCUUUCCUCCAUAUUUCCUAAUAACCCCCUGCAUAAAUAGACAAACACCAAAACUCGUGGAAUUCUGUCAGAUAAAACCCUAAGUCCGGGUGUUGGUUGCAUUUGGAUCCUUUUCUUUAUUUAUUUGAUGAUUAUAUUUGGUACUUAAGGACCGUCAACAACUCCCCCAAGCUUACCUCUUGCUCGUCCCUGAGCAAGGAUGGACUCAAGAGUUUCUGCAGUGGUUUCAUGCCUAAAAAGUACACAUGCGUUCAUGCAAGAUCUCAUCUCUGAGUUAGAGUAAACUGUUAAGAUUUAAAACUUACUCAUUUUACCUUUCACCAUGGGGCUCGCAACCAUCACUUGUGUCUUGAGCUGUUAAAAGAUAGAAAGGUCAAGUCAAGCGCCAUGUCUCUUAUUCUUGAUCAGCUAUAACUUUGGAGUUUUUGCAGAUUUUCAAAUAAAACUCAGAGAUUCCUUGUAUGACUCUCUCAAAUCUCUCUUCAGUGGUAUUUCUGGAUCCUUUCCAUGGCAGUAAUGGUAUAUGCCUUCUCUCAAAGUAUGUGGUAUUUUUGGUAUGAGUCAUAGUGAUAUUGCCUUCUCUCUCACCCUACUCUAAUAAGGUUUUGAUAUCUGUAGCUCAUAGGUGGGAGACAGAUAAUACAUACUUACAAGACAUUUAUUGCAUAGUCAAACCAUGGAUCCUGAAGGACAAGUCAAUAAGUCAAAUCAAGAUGUGCAUGUGUGGUGAGUGAAUGGUGUAUGGUGAUGAUGGUGAUAACAAUGGUGAAAGUCUAAUUCUACUUUUGCUCUUUCAAGGGGAUACAUACCUUUCUUGCACUUUGAAGCUUUUUGAGGGGAAUGAGAUGCUCUAUAUUUUCUUUUUCUUUCCUCUCAGGUGGGUAUCUUGUACCCCUAAUUCUACUGUCGGACACUUGUCCAUUUUUACCUCUCAUCUCACUUUUUCUUUUCUUCGAGGUUCCGAGCACUUGCCCCUUUUUAUUUCCUCGUAUCUUUUUAUUUUCCUUUUUUUCUUUUUUUAGAGCACUCAUCUCCUGAAAUAGAAAUAGGAGAAUGUUUUUGGCUAUUCUCUCCUGGAUUAAGAGUAGAAUACUUUUGGGUGGCUCUGGAGAUGGAAAUGAGUGGAUAUAUGUGGAUGCGUACUUCCGGAGUAGAAGUAGCAUGUGUGAGUGAACGUGCAAGUGAAUCUUGAUUUUAACCGCAUGACAAGCUCCUAAGGGUCUACGCAGCUUGACCACACUCAACGCUCAUAAGCAGUAAAAAGUAAAUAUAUGGUUCAUAGUCUAAUAAGCAUGUAUAUAUGGCUGUGGUAGGAUUUUAAACUCUCAUCAUAUAGGAACUCAUCAUGUGUUAUUUUAAAGAUUUUCAAAGAUAAAAUUCUCCAGAAUUCUAGCAUCUCUAGGAACAGAUAAACAACAGCUCAACCUUCCCACAUCAUAUCCGUUAACAACUUAGACUUUAGAUGAAGUACUCUUCCCACAAGUUUAGGUUUAGAGCAGGUUUAAAUUAUAACAGUUAUGCCUAAACUUGAGAGAGAGCUCAAACUUGAAAACUAGGUACAUGGCAGAGCAACUAUUUAUCAUAUCAAUGUAAGAGUUUAUCAUUUAUGUUCAGUUUGGCCAAAACACUUUAUUUAUUUAUUUAGAAAACUAAGCAAGGAUAUAUAUAAGCACAAAAUUUUUAUUUGGGUUUUCAUGAUUAUGCAUCUUUUUAUUAUUUGAGUAAAGUAUAAAUGCGAGUAGAAACACUUAGCUGGAUAAAUGGGGGUGCUCUCCCCCAAGCUGGAUUUUGACGUAAUUUCUUCUGAUGUAGCUAGCAGGUGACACAGGUGUAUUUGAAUGUCGGCAGCACCUUGACAGCGAUUACUAUGUCCUCUGCCUGCUAGUCUUCUUUGAUCCUUAAAUUCUGUGUAGCUCAAGUAGACAACAAAGCUUUGUGGAACUGGUUAAGUGUUAGCAUAAAAUCUCUUAGCCUUUAUCAUAUUGAGAUUCCUCCUAAUAAAUUUUAUUUAUUUAGCAGGAUCAUGCACUUAUUAAUUUUAUAUUUUUAUUUUAAGAUGAAAAAUUAUUUAUUUUAUGCCACCACAGUCAAUAUACCUAUGGGUUUUAAGCCACAAGUCUACUCACAUGGGGUUUUAGAUUUUAUGAUGCAGUGCAACGAACAAAUAUUUUUGUUUUCUUUUCUAAUGCUAAUGUGGAAAAGUAAAUAUGCUAAUGCAAGUGAUGGAAUAAAAAGGAAAAGGAAUGCUGAAAACAUAAAUAUGGAUACAUACCGAUUUUACCUUCCGACAAGGAUCUAAUGUUUUAAGUCUUCUGGACAAGACUUCUCACCGUGUUCAUCCUUUAGGUGCAUCAUUUGAUUAGGUGUGAGCCUUGACAUCUACACCUCUUGAUAUGGUGUCACCCAUGUUCUUUGUUUGUCUAGCAGUUCGAGGUGCGGUAUUGGCAGUAUCUUGCUCAGUGUGUUUGUGCUCGUAGAUCCACGUCCUUCACUUGAUAGAGUCUGGGAGUUGAAAAAUCCUCCAUGUUUCUCAAAAUGUGUCCUGCUUGUAGAGACAAGGCAGAGAUCAAGUGCGUGGGUCCUAUUGGUGGAAAACACCAACAAAACCAAAAGUAUAUUUAUUCUUCUCUAACCUUAAGCAUAGGGAGCAAGACAAAGUUGAUGGGUGAUAAGUUCAUGAAUGUAGCAUUUAAUACAUUUGUCAGAUCAGAACGCUCAACCUUAUGGAAAGAUAAUCUAUCUAUGUAUAUGUCUUUUUCUUUAUAUCUGCCCAAAGAUUGAAUGUGCAACAUUUUAGCUCAUAUGAUUAGGAGUUUAGGAUCAUGGAGAUAGUACUAGGAACAAAGAUUAAAGGACUAAACAUGCUGAAUCAGUUGGGUUGGUUAAUGUGGAGUUAUAAAUCAUACAUGUUUGUCUCUUUAUUUAUGUGAACGCUGGAACCAAGGAGAAGCUUAUAAAAGUGGUAGUCACAUAUCUUAAGAUGUUACCUUUAAUGAAGAGUGAUGGUACCAUCUCACCUUGUGGAAGCUUCCCAUUCGUAAUGGUUGUGUAUCUUGUUUAUGUACUUUGUCACCUUCGAUGGAUCAUCUCUCUAUGAUGAAUGAGCUAUGUCUUCCUUGUGCAAAUCGUUUAGACUUCAUGUGUCUCCUUUGUCGCCAAUGUCAGUUUGUAUCUCAGGACUUCCCAGGUUGAUAUUGAAAGUUUUCCUGCAGGGGUUAGUCUGACAAAAUAUACCAAUGUCUACUCAAGCAGUUUUUAGUUCAGGAACCAAACUAGACUCCAUGUCUAAUCAGAUUAAGGAAGGCUAUUUAACCUACGCACCACACUUAAUUUAAAAGCCAAUAGUAGUAUGUGCAGUACUUCCAAACUAACACUUACUAGGAUAAACAAAGGUAGUGUGAUGGCUUUUAUAGAGAUCUACUCAAGUGGAGAUGAAGUAGUGUGAUUAGUAUUUAACAAAUUGAGCAUGUCUCAAUGGUAAGGACAACGAACAUAGCAACAUGGCAAAUUAUAUUUUUAUGUAAGGUAUUUCCCCAAAGCUUGAAUUUUGCAAAAUUCAAGAUUGGAUGAAUUUAAUUCAAUGUUGCAUGAUGAUUGGUUGGGCAUACCUUGCGCUUGUCAUUCUUCGGAUCUUCUUGCUCCAAUCCUAGAAAGGUUAGUGACACGAAUACCUGAAGGAAUAUUUCUACAAUUAUCUUUAUAUGCUCAAUACACAAGGCAAUGUUGCAAAUAAUUAAAAGUUCAUGUUACGAUCUGAUAAGUCCUUGUUUUAGGACACUAAGCUUGUCCUUGGGAAACCAUCAAAUUAUGUUGGUGAAGUGGUUUCCCCUCCAACACCAACCUAAGCGUGCCUAUAUCAAGAUCGACUCAACGAUAUCUGCAAUAUUUAUUAUAGACAUAUGCAUCAAUAACCACCACUUUAAAGUUUUUAUAAAAAGAAAGGAAGAGGGGGUUGGAGAUCUCAAAUGUGGUAAGGUUGGAGAGACCAUUUGAUUCGGGAGAUGUUUUAUAUGAGCAAGGACUUGGUGAGGUAUUUAUGAAAUAACUUCCAUGCUCAAUGUUGUUUCUCUCAUUCUCAAACUCCAAGGAUGAUUCUUCAUGAAUGCUUAAAAUUCCUCUAGGAUUGUCUCUCAAGUUUGUUUUAUCCAUCCAUUCAAUGGUGAUAGCACAUGGAUUUUUAAUGCCCUCUAGCCAUUGAUGUUGCUCUUCUCGAUCCUCCUUGUGGUCUUGGUGACUCUUAUGCAUGGGAUGUCUAGAGAGAUUCAUAGGAUCAUCGGGAGGUUCAAGAGAAAGAGCAUAGUGUAAAUUAUUAGGCUCAAGGAUGUGGUUAAAGAUAGGUUCGAAUGAGUUAUCAAAAGUGGGCGUAGAAGGGGAGAAGAUGAGAUUGUCGUCUAAAUGGCUUUGCUCUCCUUCUAUUGCAUCAGUUAAGAUGCCAUCCUUGAGUCUUUCUAGAUGUCCAUCAAAGGGAUUGGAUUUGAGAUGCUUUCUAAGAGAUCCCUUCUUAGGAAGGUUCAGACUAUAUGCACUCAAAGGUCUCUUAUGAAGCAGGAAGUUUACGCUCAUCCCAAAAUAAAUUUCCAAAGGUAGAAUUUCUUCUUCCCUUAGAUGAUUUUGGAGCACUACUAGUUUGGGUUGGAUAGCCGAAUCAUGGGAUUGAAAUGUUUGGAAAUCGGCUAUUGAAACUUCCUUUCCUCGUCUGGGAGAUGAUUCCUUCUCUAUCUCUAGGAUUUUUUUAUAAAGACUAGUGCAAGAAGGAUGUCCACGGAUGAAGACAUACCUUGCUUUACUAACAGAUAAAGAAAGAAAAACUCUACCAAAGGUUAUAUGAUCAAGACCAAUGUGAAAAUAUCGAGGAAAAACAUGGUCUUGUAGGGCUAGGUCUAAACUAGAAUUUAUAGAAAGAUUAAAAGUUUCCCCUGGUGUACCUAAAAGUUCAUUAUCUUUUUGAUUAAAAGAUUGGACCUCGGCUAUAUAAAAGGGUUGGUUUUGACCUAUUGCAAUCAACUCCAGACACAGAUCAUAAUUAGGGGCAAAGAAAGGACUUGUUGACUCCCAUGGUCUAUGGCUGGUCUCCGAAGGUGCAAAAAAUUCAAUAAUAGGUGUGGAAUUUGAGUUAUCCAUAAAGAUGGAAAAAUAAAAAGAUAAAAGAAUAAAAGUAUAAAAGUAUAAUACAAGAUAAUAGGAAGACUAAAAGUUAUCUCAGCAAACCGUCUUUCUCCCCGGCAACGGCGCCAUAAAUGCUUGUAGAUAUUUGUUAACCCCGUCACGAAAUGAUCCGCAAGCGCACGGAUAUUGGUGAGCACUUCACCCGGGAGGUUAUCCAGAGUAUCGUAUUUAUAUUUUUACCACUGGGAGAAAGUGUGCAUCUGACUAACCAAAUCUAUUGCUACUACCCUUUAGGCUACAAACAAUGUGAUUCGAUGUGAGCAAUGUAUAGAGAAGACUACAACCGCACUCUCGUUCUAACCUUGGUAAGGGUGAUCUACUGUUCUAUUGGGGAGGCUCACGGAAUCUAGACACCACAAAGGAUGUUCGACCCGCACCUAUAAACCCUAUCGAUCCUGCUAACAGGAUGUGGGCUAUAAAGGUAGCUCGAAAAUGUCACGUUCCGCGCUACUACCACGGUCUGGCUAGACAGGGGAUAUCUAUGAGUACCCUAGCCCAAACACCACGUUUACACUAGCAAUGAUUACUCUAAACUCAACUGGAAGAGAUUAAAGUAAACUCAUAAACCAAAGAACAAUAAGAACAAAAAACUUACUAGAAUUUGGAAGUUGAAAUACUGAAGAAUCCUAGGAGCAAGCCUCGGGUUAGGAGACGUGAUCCCGCAGAUACAACCUCGGAGUAGACACCGACAGGCCGAGAUUCCUCCAAUCUACACCUUCACUCUAUCUCUCUCAAUCUAGAAGAACUUAGAAGAACUAAUUCUAAUCUCACAUUGGAUGCUAAACCCUAUGAGGUUGGAUCCCUAGAGGGACCUCUCUCUUUGAAUCCUCUCUGGAAAAUAUGCUAAUGAAUAAUGGGAUUGCUCUCCUCCAGGGGCCAGGGGGCCUGCUUAUAUAGUCCCCUCAAGUGAACGUGGGCCGUCGGAUCAAACCGACAUUGAUUGAACGGUUCUCCUUGAUCCUUUAGGUCGGUGGAGCAUAAUCCGUGAGAUUGAACGUGAUUGGUUGAAACACUAGGGCGGGCGCCCUGCCCCCGGGCCCGCUCAGCCUCCCGUUCGUUCCCGUGGCUUUUGGAGUCUUCUAGAUGAUAGAAAAUUGUGCGGCAUGUUAAUAUCUCUAUGUAAACCAGACGUGUGGGCCUUUCCUCCAUAUUUCCUGAUAACCCCCUGCAUAAAUAGACAAAUACCAAAACUCGUGGAAUUCUAUCGGAUAAAACCUUAAGUCUGGGUGUUGGUUGCAUUUGAAUCCUUUUCUUUAUUUAUUUGAUGAUUAUAUUUGGUACUUAAGGACCGUCAACACUCCUUCCCUUCAAAUUCUUGAAUUAAAGCCGAACCGAUAACCAUCCCAUCGGUACGCAAGUAUAAUGUGACAGGCUUUCCUUGUUGAGGUGGAAUUAGAACUGGAGGAUUUAUCAAAUAUUUCUUGAUUUCAUCUAAGCUAACUAUUGCCCCUUCUCCCAUAAAAAAUCUUGAUCGGCUUUCAACUUGAAUAAAGGAAUAAAAGCACGAAUCUUACCAGAUAAGUUAGAUAUAAAUCGCCUGAUAAAAUUUAUCUUGCCAAUCAGAGAUUGGAGUUCAGUCUUGUUGGUCGGAGCAACUAUUUUGUUGAUAGCAUCAAUAGAUCUCCUACUAAUUUCAAUUCCUCUUUGAUGCACCAUGAAACCAAGAAAUUGUCCUGCCGAUACACCAAAUGCGCAUUUAUUAGGAUUCAUCUUCAAACCACGCUUCCUUGUGCAUUCCAACACUUUUCGUAGAUCACCAAGAUGCUUUGCGAAGUCUCCAAACUUAACCACCACAUCAUCAAUAUAGAUUUCCACCAACUUGCCGAUAAACUCAUGGAAGAUAAAAUUCAUAGCCCUCUAAUAAGUAGCACCAGCAUUUUUCAAGCCAAAGGUCAUGACUAUCCAUUCGAACAACCCAACAUGACCAGGACAUCUAAAUGCGGUCUUUGGAAUAUCUUCUUCAGCCAUUAAUAUUUGAUUGUAUCCUGCAUUGCCAUCCAUAAAGCUAAUGAUCCGAUGUCCGGCUGCAGCAUCAACUAGCAAAUCGGCAACUGGCAUUGGAUAACCAUCCACUGGUGUAGCCUUGUUAAGAUUCCUGAAAUCAAUGCAGACAUGAAGCUUCCCAUUUUGUAAACUGGAACGACAUUGGAAAUCCACUCGUCAUACCGACAUUGUCGAAUAUAUUUAGCUUCAAUGAGUUUAGUUAUUUCGGCCUUAAUAUCAGGAAGAAUAUUAGGAUUGCAUUGGCGAGCUGGCUGCUGAUGCGACCGAAAUCUAGAUUUGAUAGGUAACCGAUGCUCAACAAUCGAUCAAUCUAAACCAGGCAUCUUGGUGUAAUCCCAAGCAAGGCAAUCCUUAUAUUCUUUUAACAAAUCGGUUAACUGUUGCUUACACUCAUAAUCUAACUUAGCACUAAUAAAAGUAGGCCUCGGUCUAUCACCAUUACCUAUAUCUAUUUCUACCAAAUCAUCGGCCGAUGUAAACCCCUGGCCCAAUUUUCCAUCAUCGGCGAUGUCACAGAACCGACCAAAUUAUAAGAGUUCAAGUGUAGAAACGAUCGACUAGCAAUCAAGUUUCCAAACUUGAGCCCAUACAAUCCCGGUAGUCAACUGAAAUCACGAAGGACUUCAAACCAACUUGCAACAAACCAAGAUCGUAAUAGUUCAACAUAACACAGCGAAUGUUACAGAGUCAUUCACUGCCGUCGAAGCGGCACCACAUCGAAGUUACUUAGUUAUUACAACACAAGUUUGUAGUAGCGGAAGCAAAAUAGUUUACAACACAUAUUCCAAGUUCAGUUCACAAGUUCUUGUUCUGCCAGAGUUUUAUGCCAUCCAUCAAAAGCAACAGGUACGAAGUAGUUAGAUAACCGUGCCCAACGGUUUAGUCCUCAUCCCCAACGGGAUGGAGACAGGUCUUGCAGAAGCCAUCAUAAAAGAUAUCAUCUGCAACAGGUGGGAAUAAACCCUGAGUACGAGGAUGUACUCAGCUAGACUUACCCGUCUAGUAAAACAUAAAGACACCAAGGAUCAUGCAAGGCAAAGUAUAAAGUGUAGCUCGCCUGACUCAACGUUUGCCAAAAGCUUAAGUAGAGACUACACCAUUUGUAAAGGCAUCAUUUUAAGUAUCAUUAGCUUACCACUAAAUUAGCACCUGUACUAAAGCACUUCACUUUGAUUAAUACAAACAAUAAUAACCAUAUCAAGUUCAUCAUAUGCUUUUCUUAGCUAUCAUCAUCAUCACGAACCAUUGUUCAUUAGUGGAUGCUACGUUUGCCGCUGCUCUGUCAAGUUCUCACUAUCCAGGAGAGACGGUGAUUCGAAUCGAUUCCUAUCCAGCUGGAGGGUUAUUCCUAGCACUCACCCAAGCAUCCCCCGUCGGAGAGCCAGCGCAUCACCUUUGGUACGACUCAGAAAUCGCGGCUCCGAUCAACGCCGCACUCCUAGGGCUACCACUCUGCCAGGGAGGUCAGGACUUUUAACUCACCUGCCUUUGGUCUUACGCCAUUGGUCCCCCGCACACCACACUUCCUCCGGUAGUGCGCACUUCAUACUUGCCGGUCUUCCGGCCUGAGUCAUACUACUAGGCUUCGCGGUCGGAACGAGUUAUCCGGCCAACUAAGUGUCAGGCAUGCGUUCAACAUGACAAGAGGACGUACAACGAUCGGUCCUUAGCUGCCACAGACGGAGUUAUUACAACCUUGCAAAACUCCGCCCGGCUUAAGUCAUUUUAAUCAAGUUCUUCCCACGAUAGCACAUAUAGACAAUCGUGAUCCGACACAACCCUAUCUCGCGCAGGUGACAGGAUAUCACCCGACUUCUACCGAUUAAAGCAUGACUAAGCUGCUACUCGAUCCUAACUCUAUAACCAUGUUGUGGUAAGAUAUCUGGACAAGGAAUGAGUAUAAUGCAACAAGGGUUUCAUCACAACUCUUAUACGUAAUGCAUCAAUAGAUAUAACAUAACCAAGUAAGCUUUCGAAAUUAAAUAGGAGACUUAAUAUGCUCCGGGGCUUGCCUUUCACGAAUGAUGCAGUCUCGUGAUUCGGGCACUCAAUCUCCUCUUCGGGCUCCUCGUGUCCGGCUUGCUGGACCUCCACCUCCGGGUUGAUCUCUUGGCCCUCGGGGUUCACCUGGAGCUCGAAUGAAGCUGUCGCGUCCGGCGCACCUAUUGCAUGCAUGAUAAGUAAGAAUGAUUGCAUACUAGAUGGCGAUGAAUGCUUGACAAUAUAAUUAGAACUUCACUGGACACUCAUUUACUAAGUAAACUUCCAAGAUAAACUCACAAAGGAUACUAAUUAACUUAGCAAGACCUAGCAAGUCAAACCAUAAACAGCAAUCCUUGCGUAACAGAGCAGCUCAAGCAAUAAAUCAUAACUGGAGCUAUACAGAUCCAACAAUUAUGAAUGAUGACAUUAUUGAAAGCUUAUGAAAUUGUCUACAUAUAAUCUUUAAACAUUACAGCAAGAUUCAUAAGUUAAACAAGUCAUUUAAACAAAGUUCCAGGUUCUAUCCCAGAAAAACAGAGAACACCUAUUUCUGGAACCCAACUUGGAAAAGCCAUAACAUCAAAACUACUAGACCAAAUGAUCCCAAAAUGAAACCACAGCUAGUUCAUACGGUUUGCAACAACUUUGAUUUAGACAAGUCUUCCAGAAAACCAAGUUAUCAUUAAGCAAUGGUUGGAUUACUCCCUUGCUGUCCAGAACAGUUUUUAACCCCUGAAUUAAUUAUUUGAUGACAUAACCAAAAUAUAUGUAGUGGCAACCAAAUGACUUAUAAACACUAGCAUACCAUAAGAUCACCAGAACAAUAUAUGUUAACCUCAAAACAUUUAAUAACAAGGCAUUUAUUAAUUUAAUUCUAUAAAGGGACAUAAUUACAAGAUGCUAGCAAAGGUGCUCAGAAAAAUCUACAAAAUUUAUACAAGCACAAACAUAGCAUCUUGACCUGACAGUAAAAUUUUCAGAGCAAAUGCACAUGCCAGAUUUAAGAUAAGCAUUUAACCAUGUGACAAGGUGCUUAUUUCAUAAAUUAAGAAACAUAGCUUAGAUAGUGUCAAACAUCAGAUUUCAGAUUAUUUACAUGUAACUAUUACCAUAAACAAGUUUUACACCAGAGUAGAGCACCAGCAUAAGCACCAAUUAAUUAUUAUGAUUUAAGUAAGAAAACAAGCCAUAUCACAAACCUAAAUUACAUAUCACGGAUACGUUACUCAAAAAAUCAUGAAAUAUUUAUCAUAGUAUUCUCAUACCACUCAGAGCAUAGCAUAAAAAUUUCAUAGCAAAAGGAGCAGUAUAACAAGAGAUAUGAAUUUACUCAUAAAUAACAAGAUUAAAUCAUAACAAUUAUUUUUCCCUGAAAACAUGGUACAUUUUAUAUUUUUAUUAAAAACUAGCCAUCUCAGGGAACAUCACAAAAUUUGUUUCACAAUUUUCGGAUCUUAGAAACAGAAGAUAUGAUUUUUGCAAGAAAGUCAAAAACCUAGAUUUGAAUAAAAGAAAAGGAGCAAAAACGAUGUGUCACUGACAGCGGGUCCCGCGUGUCAGGGUCGUCUUCCUCACGACCGAGAUGACUUUUGCCGGCGAUUUCUCCGCGACGGCGAGGUCUCCGGCCAAACCAAGGGUACCAACGUGAUCCCCAGACCCUUGCGAACCGAUUGACCCCCUUUUCCCCAUGGCAGAGCCACCGGAGAUGGCUUGCCGUCGACCAUGGCGGCUCGGCGGUGGUGCUCGGCGUUACGCCGGAGCUCUCAGGCCGGUAGAGCGCGACCUAGGAUUUCCUACAGCACCAGUGAACUACGGCGAAGCUUCCUAGUUAGGUGGCUAGGCUUGAAACAGUGUCGAAUGAGCUGGCCACGAGAGAGCCGAACUCCGGCGGAAACACGACGGCGCUGCGCGUCGUGUCCGGUGACGGUGAGUGCGGUAGAGCGUCCACCAAGUGGCACAAACAUUCGCUAAAGAGCUAAGCUACCUCUAGGACCUAACCAGAGAAGACGAGAGGCUCUGAGGAGCUCAGCAUUGAGUUCGCCGGAGAAGAAGGUCACGGCGACCCGAUUUGGGGGAAGUUGGAAAUGUCGGCUCACCGGAGGGUUUCACGGCGAGUUUGUGGGUGGAGGAUGGAGAGCGGGUCACAGCGGAGCUGUGAGCGAGUUUUGGUGAGCAGCAACGCAGCGAGGAGUGAGUUAGAGCUCGCCGGAGUGAGCUCGCGACGGUGAGCUCGCUUUGGCCGUUUUUCUAGCGAGAGGGCGAGAGGAAGGAGAGAGUGGACGCGUCCACUGCGUCCGUGGCGUCGCCGUGGAGGUCAUGCGUGCGCUGGGAGCUGAUGAGCGGGGCCAGAAACGAUGUGCAGGCGCCAAAUGUCGCCGAGGUUCUGUCGCCGGUCGGCCACGUCGACGAGCUCGAUUCUGAUUGAGACAACGUGAUGCACGACUGACAGAGCCUCUUCGACGAUGAUUAUCUCCCAAACCAUGGCAAGUUAGGAGAUGGUGUAGUUGACAAAGUUGGAGUAAUAACUGAGUUCUACAACAUUGUCAACUAGAGCAAAAGCCAGGUUGGCCUAGAUUGAGAGAUAUGAGGUUUUCAAAAUCGAUCGCGCAAACUGGUGGUGCCAGGACUUAGCCAAAUUCGGUUAAGUGCCAAAACAGCACCCAAAACUGCCUUAAAAGCACUUUUUGAGCAAGAUGUGGUCAUUUUCAUGAGAUGGCCAUAAAACAACUUUUGUUCCUUAUAACAUGUGCUACAACUUUGCUGUAGAAAGUUUUGACAUGCAAACAUUUUAUGAACCACUUUUUAAAAGCCUAUUCAAAAGAGGUUUCUAGGGCCUAACAUGGCAGUAUGACUUAAGUACUUAAUUUGGGGAAGUGAUCAACAUGAACAUUGUUCCUAAGGUUGAGUUUAACAUAGAUAAACUAAUUACCAAGGUUUAUCACACAAGCAUGAGCAUGGUACAAACAAACACAAGCAUAGGAAGCAUGAUUAAACAAGUUAAAGCACACUUAAGCAUAAAAUGACAUGGCUCAAGGUAGAUGAUGAUCAUGGAAUGAUUGAGUAGAUGAUGAUGCUCAUGUUAUGCAUGUGAUUGAUGCAACCAUAACACUGGGGUGUUACAGCCCUCCCCCCUUAUAAAAAUCUGGUCCCGAGAUUUGGAAGCUUACUGAUUUUCGAAGAAGGUUUCAUAAACUUCUUUUAGAUAGUCCUCUGUUUCCCAAGUGGAAUCUUCCUCCCCGUGGUUACUCCGCAACACCUUGUAGAACUUAGCCACACGAUUUCGUGUCACCCUUUCCUUGUGGUCAAGAUCCGCUACCGGUUUCUCCUCGUACACCAAGUCAGACUUCAACUUGAUAUCCCGAACUUCCACUCGCUCUUCCGGAACACGAAGGCAUUUCUUUAGUUGCGAUACGUGGAAGACGGGAAAAAUAGCUUGAAGCUCAACUGGUAGUUGAACCUUAUAUGCCAUGUUCCCUUUCCUCUAGAGAAUUCGAUAAGGACCCACAUAACGGAGUGCAAGCUUUCGCUUGACUCUGAACCUUUGUACACCUUUCAUCGGAGACACCUAGAUAUACACAUGGUCACCGACUGCAAAUUCAAUCGGCUUCCUUCUCUUUUCAGCAUAACUUUUCUGACGAGCUUGAGCAGCUUCCAGAUGUUGCUGGAUGGUACAGACUUGCUGCUCCGAUUCGUUCACAAAAUCGAUGCCAUAAUACCUUCGUUCCCCGGAUUCCACCCAAUUCAACAGGGUUCGACAUUUCCGACCAUACAGGGCUUCAAAUGGAUCCAUCUUGAUGCUCUCUUGGUAACUAUUGUUAUAAGAGAACUCAGCUAACGGCAACCACUUUACCCAAGAUCCCUUUGAAGAGAGAGCACAUGCCCUCAACAUGUCUUCUUGGAUUUGGUUAACACGUUCAGUUUGGUCGGCCGUUUGGGGAUGAUAAGCAGAACUACAAACCAAGUGAGUACCAAUCUGCUCAUGUAGACACUCCCAAAAACGGGCGGUGAACUGUGGUCCACGAUCUGAUAUGAUAGUUCGAGGCACACCAUACUGACGAACAAUGUGCUCGAAGUACAAUUCUGCAUAUUGAUGUGGACGAUAGUCUGUUCGAACUGGAAUAAAAUGAGCAACCUUGGUCAAACGGUCUACAAUUACCCAGAUAGAGUCGUAACCCUUAACAGAAGUUGGGAGUCCAACGAUGAAAUCCAUGCUGACUUCUUCCCAUUUCCAUCCUGGAAUUGACAAGGUUGAAGUAAGCCUGCUUUCAUGUGAACGGCCUUCACACGACAACAGUUAUCACAACGAGCGACAAAAGCAGCAAUCUCCUUUUUCAUCUUUGUCCACCAAAACAGAGGUUUCGGAUCCUGAUACAUCUUGCUACUACCAGGAUGGAUAGACAACUUGGAUGAAUGAGCCUUAGAUAAGAUCUGAUUUCGCAGCUCACGGUCUUUUGGGACCACGAGUCUAUCCUUGAACCAUAGGAUUCCGUUCUCAUCAACCCGGAAAUGCUUGGUUUCUUCUUCUUUCAUUUUCCUCUUUAUAUGGUAGAUACCUACAUCUGUAUGCUGCAAUUCGAUGACUCGAUUGCGAAGAGUACUCUCUAGAGAAAUCUCGUGGAGCACAAGUGGGUGCAUAAGAUGUGACAACAAUGGAUCUUCCAUUUGAACUGAAUGACAGUGCGCUUUCCAACUCAAGGCAUCCGCAACCACGUUUGCCUUGCCCGGAUGGUAGUGCACUUGAAGAUUAUAAACUUUAAUCAACUCAAGCCACCUUCGCUGCCGCAUGUUCAAUUCAGGUUGAGUGAAGAUGUACUUGAGACUCUUAUGAUGAGUGUAGAUAUUGCACAGAUUACCCAGCAAGUAGUGCCUCCAGAUUUUCAAGGCAUAGACAACUACAGCCAAUUCUAAGUCAUGAGUAGGGUAAUUGACCUCAUGCUUUCGAAGUUGGCGCGAGGCAUACGUGAUAACACGACCUUCUUGCAUCAACAGACAGCCCAAACCAAUACCCGACGCGUCACAAAAGACAUCGAAGGGCUUCUCGAUAUCAGGCUGGGCUAGAACAGGAGCUGAUGUUAGCAAUGUCCUCAACUUGUGGAAUGCCUCUUCACAUUCAGGCGUCCACACAAACUUCUCAUCUUUCUGAAGUAGGCGAGUCAUAGGCUUAGAUAUUUUUGAGAAUUCCGGAAUAAAUCGACGAUAAUACCCAGCCAGACCGAGAAAACUCCGAACCUCAUGCACCGAAGUUAGAACCUUCCAAUCCAGCACUUCUUGCACCUUAGCCGGAUCCACCGAGAUACCUUCUUGAGAAAAGACAUGGCCCAAAAAAGGUACUUUCUUCAGCCAAAACUUGCAUUUGCUGAACUUAGCAUAAAGGUGAUGCUCACGCAAGCACGACAACACUACACGCAUAUGCUCUGCAUGCUUUUCUUCAUUGCGAGAAUAUACCAAGAUAUCAUCAAUGAAGACCACCACAAACUUGUCCAAUUCGGGCAUAAACACCGAAUUCAUGAGAUACAUGAAUUGAGCAGGUGCAUUCGUGAAACCGAAGGACAUGACGAGAUACUCAUGCAACCCAUACCUUGUCGAGAAAGCUGUCUUGGGUACAUCCUCACGACGGAUCUUGAUCUGAUGAUACCCAGAUCGCAAAUCAAUCUUGGAAAAAACCUUAGCUUUAGACAACUGAUCAAACAAGAUAUCAAUGCGAGGAAGAGGGUAUUUAUUCUUGAUGGUCACCGCAUUCAGAGGACGAUAGUCCACACACAUGCGCAAGGACUGAUCCUUCUUCUUCACACAGAUAGCCGGACAACCCCAAGGAGAAGAACUAGGACGAAUAAGACCCUUCUUUAACAACUCAUUCAACUGCGUCUUAAGCUCAGCUAGCUCAUUUGGUGGCAUUCUAUAUGGCCUUGUAGAGAUAGGAGCGGUACGUGGGAUCAAUUCAAUUUUGAACUCCACAUCCCGAUCGGAAGGAAGCCCGGGCAAAUCAUCAGGGAAUACAUCCAGGAACUCACACACGACCGGAAUAUCUCUGAUGGCCUUAGAUGUAACUGCAUUCAUCGUGCUACGGAUAUGAAUAUCUCGAGGAAGUUGCACUAAGAAUGCCUCUUUGGUAUUCGGGUUUCUCAACAUCACUACGCGAGUGGUGGUGUCGAUAAGAACUCCGUUGCUACUCAUCCAUUUCAUACCCAGAAUUACAUCUAUACCCACACCGGGUAAAACAACCAGAUCAGCAAGAAACUGACGGUCUCCUAUUUCCAGAGUUGCCCCCAAAACCACUUGAUUGGUAGAAAUAUCAUUUCCAGCAGCACUAAUGCAAUAACUACCCUUAUCAAGUGUAAUUGCCUUGAGAUUAUGCUUAGACACAAAGUCUGAACUCACAAAAGAAUGUGAUGCUCCGAAAUCAAAAAGUACAAGUGCUUCACAUUGGUUGACCAGAAACUUACCAGCCGUAACUACCUCUAUUGACAUCGUUUUUGGACACGUACCCAGGGACCUGUGGAGUAUAGAUCGGCAGGUGGAGCAACGGUAACUGGUCUGCAGAAGAGUUGCCGAUGAGGAUAGUUGCCGAUGAAGAGACGAUUGAAUAUGACUAAGUCCAGGGGUGGUGACGUGUUCUUACCGAUGAUCAAUGUUGGUGUUUGCCGAUGGCCAUAACAGAAAGGUUGUCGAUGACUCUGAAGGGAAGCAUGGAGAUUGCCGAUCGAUCUGUAGUGGUGUCCUGGUCGGUUACAAGGGGGUAGUUUUAUGUUUUCCUUAGUUAUUUAAAUUCGUUUUGUAUACGGAUUCUGUUUAAAUUGGAAUUCGAGUCCUAGUCGUGUCUUAUUGUAGCUCUUUGAGCAGGGUAUAAAUGUAGACCCUAGGGCCUUGUAAUGAGAUAUCUAUCAAUCAAUCAAACACAAGUUUUUACUCAUAUUCCAACAUCUACUUUUUCGAUGACUUCGUCAUAUUUUCCUUUUUACUACGAGUUCUUAAGAUUUCGUUGACUUAAGCUCGGCGUAUUCUCGAGUUCCGCGUGAAUACCUCUUUGCCGUGACAUCCGGGCGCAUCGCUGUUGUCGGGACCAAAGUAUUUGAGUUAUCACCUUUGACGAUAGUAAGGUCAAAUCGGCUGGCACGCCCUAACGUUUAAAUCGGGUAUUAGCCCUUUGUGUUUGCAGAUCCACUUUUGCACCAACACUUCUUUUGGCACGCCUGGUGGGACUAGAUUCAAGAUCAAGAUUGACAUGUCGACUACCGAGUUCGAUUUGGAGAACGUUAUCCCCGUGACGGAAGCCAAUCUCAGAGAUGAGCAGAAGCAAGCUAUUGCAAAAGCUAUGGAGGAUUACAAGAAGCAAUGUUUGAAGUCCUUCAGUAUCAACAGGAGUGGCGAGGUGAUCCAGAAGGAAGCACUGCCGGCGCCUCGGCAGGUUACUUUUGAUGCCAAUCCUGGUAAACUUCAAGACAUGGUUGAUAGUGCUAUUAACCGUGCCUUGAUCAAUCAAGCCGGUGUGCUGUCCAAUACAGUUUUCAACGCCGUGGCCAGAACUUUCAAAGAGGGACAAUUGCCACAAAAUUAUGUGAGCCCUGUCUAUCAUCAGCCAGGAUCACCAGUUGUCACAGCUCCAUUGGCUACUACGGCCGCUGUGGGUACAGAAACUACUACUCCCCCAAGCACAUUAGGGCUCACUAAUGUGCAAUCUAUGUCGAUGACAACCAAUCCAUCAACUUUAGAUGAGCAGAUCAAGCUUACCACAGAUCUAUUGGCAUCGGCGAUGUCGGGGUCCGUUCCUCCCAACUGGUGGGGUUAUUGUAUGCCCCCAGAGAUGAUGUUGAAGACACCUGGAACAUCUCAGACGGCUGACACGAGAGACAAGGCUCCUAUGGCAUCGGCACCUCCAAAUUUGCCGAUGAAUCAGAGUCCCCAGUAUACUACAACUACUACUGCAAGACCUUACACUGGGAAUUCUCAAGCUCCAAUGUUUCAGAUGCCUAACGCCUCAGCAGAUUCAAUGCCGACGCAACAGAGGUUUAUGACUCAACCAGGGUUUGGCAAUUCAACGAUAAUGCCCAAUCUUCAGUCAUCGACAGGGUUUAUGCCGAUGAAUGCCAACAUUGGAUGGACGGGGCAGUUAGUCUUUCCACAAAUGCCUCAACAGAAUCAUCAGGCUUUAGGGUUCCAACAAGGCCAGAUCCAACCCAGGUUCUAGAAUCAAGGGUUGCCUAACCAGCCGAUGAGUCUUGGUCAACAGUUUGGUGGUCAGACAAUCAACCCCAUGUUCCAUGCAGAUCGUGCGCCUCAGCGACACGUGGAAGUGUAUCAGCAGGCGCCAGAUCCACAACCACCCAAUCGGCAAGAUGCCGAUGCUUAUUGGGCCGAUAAGAUUGCUGAAGUAAUGAGGGACCAAUUUGGGAUAAAACCCAAAGUCAACACUUACUCUUAUCGGACACCGUAUCCUCCUGCAUAUGAUUUAAUCCCUCUUCCAAAUCGGUACAAGGUGCCGGAUUUUACUAAGUUUUCUAGACAGGAUGAUACAUCGACCAUGGAGCAUGUCAACAGGUUCAUCAUCCAGUGUGGGGAAGCUGCUAACAGGGAUGAAUUGAGAGUUCGACUGUUUUCAUCAUCUUUAUUUGGAUCGGCUUUCACCUGGUUUAUAUCAUUGCCUCCUAAUUCAGUGAUUACUUGGGCCAAUCUGGAGAAGCAGUUCCACAAGUACUUCUUUUCUAGAGUCCAUGAGAAGAAGAUUACCGAUUUGGUCAGAUUGAAACAGCGCAAUGAUGAAUCAGUUGAAAGUUUUGUGCAGAGGUUGUGGGAAGUCAAGAAUAAAUGCUAUAGUCUGGUUUUGGACGAUCGGCAGCUAGCCGAUUUGGCUUUCCAGGGUUUGUUGCCACAUAUCAAGGACAAAUAUGCUUCCCAAGAGUUCGAGAGCCUGAGUCACUAGGUCUAGAGGAUUUCCGACCAGGAUAUUAAGCCCUUUGAACCUAAGAGAGCUUGGAACAAAAAGGUGUCAUUUGUUGAUGAGGCAGCAAGCUCAGAUUCUUAUGAAGAGCCAGUCAUUGGCUUGGCAGAAUGGGUGAAAAAAAAGAACCCGAUGUCUUGCCCUUUUGGGCAUAAAGAGCCGGAGAAGUUCGCAUUUGAUAUCACCAAAGCCGAUAGGAUAUUUGACUUUCUACUUUAGGAAGGUCAGAUCAAAUUGUCACCCAAUCAUGUAAUACCAUCGGCUGAAGAGUUGAAGAAGAUGAAAUACUGCAAGUGGUACAAUGCAACCUCUCACAGCACCAAUGAGUGCAAAGUUUUUAGACAACAGCUGCAAUCGGCUAUUGAAUCUGGGAGAAUCAAAUUAGAUAGUUCCAAAGCUCAGAAGCCGAUGAAGAUCGAUCAACAUCUUUUCCCAACAAAUAUGUUGGAUGCUAAGGGAAAAACCAAGGUCUUGACCUCAGAAGCAGCUGAAAGGAGUGCAUCGGUAGAUCCUCAGCAUCAAAUUACUAUUGCUGAUGCCAAAGGAAAAGGCUUAAUCCAAGAGGGAACUAACUCAGGAUGGCCUCCCCGAUCUGGUAUUGUGAUAACUCAUAGAAGGCCUCAGGAGACUUGGCAGCAACGUGAGAAUCGGUAUCGGCGUCAGCAAGAAGACUAUCAUCGGGAAGAAGAAAGACGCCGACAGGAGUGGAAUCGGCACAGAGACCAUUGCAACUGCCCAUUCUUUAUCCAUUGCUGGGAGUAGAACAUCAAGUUGCCCACUGUUAGAGAUUGCCCUGAGUGCAAUGGUUAUGAUCGAUAUGACAGAUCCGAUCGGCACUAUCACAAAGAUGGUCGACGAUUUAAUGGGCCGAUUAGGGGGAGAGCGUCAGUUCAAGAUCGGCUAGGGGGCAGACUCAGUGUACAUGACAGGCUUGGUGAUCGCAUUGAAUAUUUUUCCAGGAAUCAGGAAGAGCUUGAAGAUAUGGCCAAUGCUCGAGUUCCCGAUGAAUUCAUAUUUUGUAGAGACGCUAAUACUUAUCGGAUGGAGUCAAGGGAAAGUCGUCGCCCGUCGGCAAGGCAGUCACCACUUCCCCCAUGGUGUCCAGAGGGGUUGACUAAAACAUAGAAAAGAAGACUGCAACGCGAAAGACGAGAAGAGCUAAGCAGGGGUGAGAACUCUGGCCAGUCUGGGGAUCAGCAACAGCCAGAUCCUAAGGGGAAAGGGCCAUCGGCAGAUGUUAACAUGGUAUUCAUGUUGCCGAUGGAAUUCCUUGCGCCAUCCAGUGAUGAUGAGGAGUUGGAGUUUUCCGACCAGAUAGCUCAGUUGGCUCUAGAUCUGAUGACAGCUAUCUUUGAAAAGCCUGCCGACAAUGAAAGGCAGCAUUUUAAAGCUCUGUUUGUCAAAGGAAGGGUUGAUGGUCAGCCAAUGACCAAGAUAUUAAUUGAUGGUGGAGCUACUAUCAACAUCAUGCCAUACGCAGUCUAUCGGAAGCUUGGAAAAGGAGAUCAAGAUUUGACCAAGACCGAUAUGAUGCUAAAGGAUUUUGAAGGAAAUGUAUCUCCGGUUAAGGGGGCAAUCUGUGUCGAGUUGACCAUCGGCAGCAAAACCUUGCCGACAACUUUCUUCGUGAUAAGUGGAAAAGGUGCUUAUAAUCUAUUGCUAGGGAGAGAUUGGAUCCAUGCCAACUGUUGUAUCCCAUCAACAAUGCACCAAUGCUUGGUUCAGUGGGUAGGUGACAAGAUUGAGAUUGUCUCGGGAGAUUCUUCUCAUGUCAUUGCAUCGGCAGAAGCAGACACCUGUGGAAGAACUAGGUGUAUCUCGGGAGAGAUUUGGGAGAAGGAUUUCCUCAAAGUUGCCGAUUAUGAAAUUCCACCGAUCCAAGCAGUCGGUUCUGAUGAGGGGUUUUAAUGGAUAGAUUCGCCGAUGAUGGAAAAUUAGGCCAGGGAUUCACAUCGGCCGAUGAUUUGGUAGAGGUAGAUAUAGGUAGUGGUGAUAAACCUAGGCGUACUUUUAUUAGCGCUAAGUUAAAUUCUGAGUGUAAGCAGCAGUUGACCGAUUUGUUAAAGGAAUAUAAAGAUUGCUUUGCUUGGGAUUAUACUGAGAUGCCGACCGAUCGAUUGUUGAACAUCGGUUACCCAUCAAGUCUAGAUUUCGACCACAUCAGCAGCCGGCUCGCCGAUGUAAUCUUAAUAUUCUUCCUGAUAUCAAGGCCGAAAUAACUAAACUUAUCGAGGCUAAAUUUAUUCUGCAGUGUCGGUAUGCCGAGUGGAUUUCCAAUGUUGUUCCUGUUUGCAAGAAAAAUGGGAAGCUUCGGGUUUGCAUUGAUUUCAGAAAUCUGAAUAAAGCUACACCGAUGGAUGGCUACCCAAUGCCGGUUGCCGAUCUACUAGUUGAUGCUGCGGCUGGGCAUCAGAUCAUCAGCUUUAUAGAUGGCAAUGCAGGAUACAAUCAAAUAUUCAUGGCUGAAGAAGAUAUUCCAAAGACUGCAUUUAGAUGUCCUGGGCAUGUUGGGUUGUUUGAGUGUAUAGUCAUGACCUUUGGUUUGAAAAAUGCUAGUGCUACUUAUCAGAGGGCUAUGAAUUUUAUCUUUCAUGAGUUCAUCGGCAAGCUGGUGGAGAUUUAUAUUGCUGAUGUGGUGGUUAAGUCUGGAGAUUUCACAAAGCAUCUUGCCGAUUUACGAAAAGUGUUGGAGUGCACAAGGAAGCAUGGUUUAAAGAUGAAUCCCAAUAAGUGUGCAUUUGGUGUAUCGGCAGGACAAUUCCUUGGUUUCAUGGUGCAUCAAAGGGGGAUUGAAAUUAGUAGGAGAUCCAUUGAUGCUAUGAAUAAAAUAGUUGCUCCCACCAACAAGACUGAGCUCCAAUCCUUGAUCGGUAAGGUAAAUUUUAUCAGGCGGUUUAUAUCUAAUUUGACUGGUAAAAUUCGUGCUUUCAGUCCUUUGCUUAAAUUGAAAGCCGAUCAAGAGUUCAUAUGGGGGAAAGAGCAACAGUUGGCUUUAGAUGAAAUCAAGAAUUAUUUGAUAAAUCCUCUAGUUUUGAUUCCACCUCAACAAGGAAAGCUCUUCAGGUUAUAUUUAUCUACCGAUGGAAUGGUCAUCGGUUGGGCUUUAAUUCAAGAAUUUGAAUGGAAGGAGCGUGUGAUUUACUAUCUAAGCAGAAGAUUGGUUGAUGUUGAGACCUGGUAUUCGGCCAUUGAAAAGUUAUGUUUAUGCCUAUAUUUCUCAUGUAUUAAAUUGAGGCACUAUUUACUAUCGGCCGAAUGCACUGUUAUAUGCAAAGAUGAUGUGGUCCGGUAUAUGCUAUCUAUGCCGAUCAUGAGUGGCAGAAUCGGUAAAUGGAUUUUGGCACUGUCGGAAUACGAUUUGCGUUACGAAUCGGCUAAGGCGGUUAAAGGACAGAUUAUGGCUGAUUUGGUAACUCAACAUUGCGGUAUAGUGGAAACUUUGGAAAUUGUACCUUGUACGCUCUUCUUUGAUGGAUCCACGUGUGACCGGGGGGUAGGGAUCGGCAUAGUGUUAAUUUCCCCUCGGGGAAGGAAAUAUGAGUUCUCCUUGCCGAUUGUUGCCACGUCAACGAAUAAUCAAGCCGAGUAUCAAGCUUUGAUAAAGGGGUUGGAAUUGUUAAGAGAAGUCCAUGCUGAUGCUGUUGAAGUCUUCGGAGAUUCUAUGCUGGUUAUAAAUCAAUUGGCUGGAAGCUAUGAAUGCCGAAGCGAAGUCUUGAUAGCUUACUAUGAAAAAAGUAUGCGACUAUUAAAGGAAUUCAAAGAUUUUCGAUUAGAGCAUAUUCCUCGGUUACAUAAUGAGGAGGUUAAUCAGUUGGCUCAGCAUGCUUCGGGGUAUCAACCUAUGGUUAACAUGUUAUCGGCAAUCGGUGCUGAUGAUUGGAGGAAAGAGAUUGUUGAUUAUUUAAAGGAUCCAUCCAAGAAAGUUGAAAGGCGUGUUCGGUUUCAAGCCACCAAGUAUGUGCUCCUCGAGGAUGAAUUAUAUUAUCGAACAAUUGAAGGAAUUCUUCUCAAAUGCUUAGGUGAUGACGAAGCUAAAAGUUUAAUGGGAGAAAUCCAUGAAGGAGUGUGUGGAGCACAUCAGUCGGCUUUUAAGAUGAAAUGGAUGAUUAGGAGGAAUGGAUAUUAUUGGCCAACCAUACUUGAAGAUUGUUUUAAAUAUUUCAAGGGGUGUCAAGGAUGUCAGAAAUUUAGCAAUAUUCAAAGGGCACCCGCAUCGGCCAUGAAUCCCAUUAUUAAACCUUGGCCUUUCCCGGGAUGGGCUAUUGAUCUGAUCGGCCAAAUUUACCCACCAUCAAGCAAAGGACAUAAAUUCAUAUUGGUUGCCACCGAUUAUUUCACCAAGUGGGUUGAAGCUAUUCCUUUGAAGAAAGUCACAUCGGCCAAUAUGAUUGAUUUUGUGAAAGAGCAUAUUAUUUACCGAUUUGGAAUUCCUCAAACAAUUACUACCGAUCAGGGUACUAUGUUUACAUCAGGGGAGUUUGAUGAAUUUGCAAUCAGUAUGGGAACUAAAGUAUUAAAUUCUUCUCCUUAUUAUGCUCAAGCUAAUGGGCAGGCCGAAGCAUCUAACAAAGGAAUUAACAAACUCAUUAAACGGAAGAUUGAAGAAAAUCCUAGGAGGUGGCAUACGUUGUUUAAUGAAGCUUUAUGGUCAUAUCGGAUGGCUUGUCAUAGGUCGACCAAAGUUUCACCUUAUUAAUAGGUGUAUGGACAUGAUGCAGUGCUACCUUGGGAAAUUGGUGACUAUCUUUUCAAGAUCAAUUGGCUGCCGAUGAUUAUACUACUUUGAUGACAGACGAGUUGGAUGAUCUAGCAGGGCAUCGGCUAAGGGAUUUGAUAAGUAUAGAAGAAAAUAAGAAGAGAGUUGCCAGAUGGUAUGAUAAGAAGGUAAAGGCUAAGGAGUUUGCCGAUGGAGACUUAGUAUGGAAACUAAUCUUACCGAUCAGGACUAAAAGUUCAAAAUUUGGGAAGUGGUCUCCCAAUUGGGAGGGUCCCUCUCGGAUAAAUCGAUCUGCUCCUGGCAACGCCUAUAUCUUAGAAACUCUGGAAGGAGUUGAAUUUCCCAGAGCAUUGAAUGGCAAAUAUUUGAAGAGAUAUUACCCCAGCAUAUGGCUUGAUGCAUGAAAGUUUAUGUGCCGAUAACAUUCCUAUCGGCUGAAUUAAAAGUGUAUCUGGGGCCGGACUUAAUGUUUUAAAAGGAUGCCGAUAACAGUCCUAUCGGCUGGACCAAAAUCUUUAGAAGAAAGAACCAAAGAACCCCGCCGAUGAAGAGUUCACAUGUUUAACAGAGCCUGGAUCGUCGAUAUGGCGCGCAGACGGAUCUGGUUGGCUUCUUCUAUCUCCUUCACGUCAUCAUCGGCAGAGCCUUCCACUGGCUUCAGUUUCUUCUUCAUCUGCAGUGCUUUACGGGCCUGGAUGUUUCGCUCUUGUUCAAGAGUCUUGAUUGCUUCAGGCAAUUGGCUUUCUUCCUGUUGAGCUUGGGACAGAGCUUCUUCCACUUGUCUGAGUUCAGCUAACAGAGCUUCCCUUCUCGUCGAUAGAUCAGAAAUAUUUUGCUUCAGUACAUCUCCUGAGAAUUUCAGAAUGCCGAUGCUCUUAUGCUUCUCAUCGGCAAGGAGCUUCACUUUCAUCGUCUCCUCUUAGAGUUAGGCGUGAGCAGCUCUAUCAGCAAGACGCUGGGCAGCCUUUUGAUACUGCAGCUGACGACUCUCUAAAUGUGCAGCCUGAAAAAGAACCUCCUCGGCAUCGGUAGGAUUUGACCUUUGAGAGCCUUGAACAGAACUUUGGCUAGAUCAGAGUCAUCGACCAAUUGCGCUAUGUCUUGAUGGAGAAGGGUUGACAGAUCCGCCAGCUUUGCUCUAAUCUCUGCCGAUGAGAUUCCAACUGCUCGAGAAGAACUUGCUUCCUUGCCUUCAUCCUCAGAGAUCUCGAUGGCGAAGGAGAACAAGCUGUCGGGUGAAUCCUGUUCCUGGAAAAGAAGACAGGAUAAGUUAUUUUAUGAUCAAGUACUGAUAAUAAUAAAAAUAAGGAUCGGAUAACUUACUUGCUUCAGAGCUAUCUCUCGCCUCUGACUAGUUGAAGCCGAUGGAACCAUAGGUUGAUCGGCUGAGAUUACUGAUGAGACUAUGUCAGCUGAAAGAUUAACAGAGGUAAUUACAAAUUGGAAAAAAGUGGGUUCAUCGACAAUAAAUAAAGAGUAUGUUACCUUGAGGAGGUGCAGUACUAGUCUGAAUUGAGGAAACUACCGAUGUUUCUUCUGGCUGAGGUACUUCUGGUUGAGGUUCUUCUGGCUAGAGUUCUUCUAUUUGGGUUUCUUCUUGUGGUUGAGGAGGAGACGGUGCUGGUUGUAUCUGGGCUUCUGGAGGAGAAGGGGAUGAUUCUACUAGGAUCGGAGAUAUUGGGGGAGGAGAAGGCAUUGCUGUUCUCUGGCGCUUUGCUUGUAAUCUGGUACUCUUGGAACCUUUUCUCUUCUGGUCUUUGCCGAUGUACUGGUGUGCUGAUACAACAGAGAGAAGUUUAUAAGUACAAGUGUAAUAAGUAUAAGAAUGGAAUUGGUAUGAGUAAAAUAAUUUGAAAAAUUUAUCUUGAAGGCUUGUGCUAAGGUAGAGGCAACUACCGAUGGGGAUAUCUUCGCCUGCUUGGUGGUAACUUUCUUGAGACGCACACCGCGAUGCAUUAUAGCAGCCAAGGUUGGAGUGUUGUUGCCAAUCAAAGAGAUCGGGCCCGAUGGAAGGAGCUCAAUCGGCAUACCACUCCUUGUACUGAGAGUUGAUCAUGCCACGGUAUGUGAGAGCCGAUCUACAGAACAGGUGUUCUUUCCAUUCUUCCCACCACUGUUUGUAUGCUUGAGUGAUGAAGAGAGCCGGGAUCCAAGCCGAUAGAUCGACAUGUGUAUUGGCGUUUGGUGGAAGUUGGGCUACCCUGAUCCAUUCUAGACGGCUGGUAAUAAUCUCCCUCGGCGUUAUCACAUCGGCGUAGCAAAGUGCAAUCGGCAGUUGGCCGAAAGCCAGUUGGCGAGCUAGUGCCGAUGGAUUAUAAAAUUCGUAGGUCAGGUUGGAGGUUUUCCCACUACCGAAGAAAUUCACUGGUAUGGCCCUUAGGGUGAUAAUUGCCAUCAUCACGUCGCGGUCCUUGUUGAGAGCAUCGUUGAAGGGGUGGAAAGUCAAAGGAAAUAUGGUAUCUAGAUCUUCAUAAGGCAUCCAUGCCCGUUGUUCUCUGGUUAGACCCUCAUACAGAGUUUGGAAGAAUCGGCUAACGUGAUCUACGUUACCACCUGUGCCAGGCAAAACUAUGGCAGCUUCGCCAAAGUUCAGAGCGGAACGAGUUGCCGAUUCUUCUUCAUCCAGUUCAUAAUCCUCGGCUAUAUCCCUGGGGAAGCGCUGUGCAAAGAGGUCGAACUCAAGGCGCUUGUGCAUGUGAAGACUAAGCCACAUAUUGAUGAACCACCAGGGACCCCCUAAGUUGCCGAUGGGUUGACCAAGCAGUAGUUUCUGGGCUACCUGGUGGAGGAGGUGAUAAGCCAAGCCUAGCAAGUAUCGGCCAAGAGGAAAUCGGCCGCCAUUAGCUAAUCUUUCUGCUGCCGAUAAGUAAACAGAAGUUGGUCCUGCCGAUCGGCCACAGAAGACGAAUUUAUCUAGCCACAUGUUCAGAAAAGUGGUCUGUUCCUUUACAUUGACAGGGCCUGUUCUUCGGUACUUCUGGAUGUACCCUGACCAACCGCCGAUAGAACGAGUUUCCACCAUAGCACUGGGUUUGGUAUCAAACAGGUGGGUGGUAUCGGGAGUGGAUAUAUCUAAGCCGAUGAGCAUAAGCACAUCGGCAAGUGUAGGAGAAGCAGGGCCAUGGCCAAAUACAAAAGCAUUGAGUGUAUCUGACCAAAAGUAUGAGGCAGCUAUCAGUAGUGACUCAUUUCUCUCCAUAUCGGCAAGAGACAAUCUAAUGCACUGAUCUAAUUUCCGUUCACCCCAUUGGACCUCAUUUGAGUUGCUGACUCUCAGAAACCAAUCCUUCCAUCCCUUGGUGGGACUGGGCCAGGAGCGGAAGGCAUCUUUCCAUAGAUCUAGAGAAAAAUUCUCGGCUCUAAAAGGGAUUCUGUUUGUCUCUGCAUUUAUAAAAUCGGUGGGAUCCAAGUUUCCUAGUGGACCAAGGCAUUGGAGAUGGGGUUGAUCAGUGGGAAUAACGAUCUUAUCAGCCAAAUCCUAGAAAUUUUUGGGAAUGAAAUGAAAAAAAAAGAAAAAGAUUUGGUAAGAGAGAUUGCGGAUGAACAAAAAUACAGUAGAAACGUGAAAAAGAAUGGUAGUGAACUGACCUCAGGAACAGUGAAGUUGAUGGCCAUUUUCCCGCGAGGAAAAAGAUCGAAAACUUGGGGGUUGUUGGAGGAAGUUCCUGCUGGAGUUCUUGAAGUUCUCAAACAGUACCGCCACCAGGAAAGCAGAGUUUGGGCUGUAGAAUGAUGCGAUGGAGAAGGAGUACCUAAGAAGGAAGUAUUUAUAGGACAAAACGGGCAAGGGCAAAUUUGACUUAUCUCUUCGCCAUAUCCGUGAAAUCCGAGGGUACUCAGGUGGAUAUGGUAACUGUUCGCACGGUAAUCAAGGGAUUGCGCAGGUGAUUUGACAGGAAGCGAUCAUGAUCUGGAGAUAUUUCACUGUGCGGGAUUUCUUGGUCGAUCCAUCGGCAGUUCCCUCUAACGGUAAUAUUGCCGAUGGGCGCAUAAAGUGGAGAGAUCCGGUUCAGAAGGUUGAGGAAUUCGAGGAACCUGUAGGAGAAUCGGGCCAAGGUUGUUCAGAUUUAAACAGUCGGUUACCAAAUUGGGAGAAUUAAUUGCGGAAAGGCAUCAUUACUGCAGAGAAUUUUGGAGCAUUAAUGAUUUUAUACUCUGAAAUUGGGGGGCAUGUAUUGACACCGUUUUUGGACACAUACCUAGGGACCUGUGGAGUAUAGAUCGGCAGGUGGAGCAACGGUAACUGGUCUGCAGAAGAGUUGCCGAUGAGGAUAGUUGCCAAUGAAGAGACGAUUGAAUAUGACUAAGUCCAAGGGUGGUGACGUGUUCUUACCGACGAUCAAUGUCGGUGUUUGCCGAUGGCCAUAACAGAAAGGCUGCCGAUGACUAUGAAGGGAAGCGUGGAGAUUGCCGAUCGAUCUGUAGUGGUGUCCUGGUCGGUUACAAGGGGGUAGUUUUAUGUUUUCCUUAGUUAUUUAAAUUCGUUUUGUAUACGGAUUCUAUUUAAAUUGGAAUUUGAGUCCUAGUCGUGUCUGAUUGUAGCUCUUUGAGCAGGGUAUAAAUGUAGACCCUAGGGCCUUGUAAUGAGAUAUCUAUCAAUCAAUCAAACACAAGUUUUUACUCAUAUUCCAGCAUCUACUUUUUCGACGACUUCGUUAUAUUUUCCUUUUUACUACGAGUUCUUAGGAGUUCGUCGACUUAAGCUCGGCGUAUUCUCGUGUUCCAUGUGAAUACCUCUUGGCUGUGACAUCUGGGCGCAUCGCUGUUGUCGGGACCAAAGUAUUCGAGUUAUCACCUUUGCCGAUAGUAAGGUCAAAUCGGCUGGCACGACCUAACGUUUAAAUCGGGUAUUAGCCCUUUGUGUUUGCAGAUCCACUUUUGCACCAACAACCUCACCAGCAGGGAUUGCUUCCAUAGUUGUAUAGUGAACACGCCCCUGACGGACGUUCCCUUAGUUGCCCUUCUUUGGCGGGUAAGGACAGUUGCUUUGCCAGUGUUCGGUCUGAUUGCAGUUCUAGCACGGACGGUUGGCCGGCGGAGUCUUGGCAUAACUGGGACCCGUGUUGCCCCUAGGAAGAGCAAUAGAGUAACCCUUGCAAAAACCCAUCUUUGCCUGAUUCUUCUUCACUAGAGGGCGAUAUCGCUGGUUAGGAGUUGGAGCGCGAUACUGGGGCCUAGCUGCCACUGGAGCCUUGGACUGAGAUGCCCCUGCCCCGGCCUCAAAAGCCCUCUUGUGAGUCUUGGUCGCAGUGUACAGAGUGUUGUAGUUCUCUUGGGUAAGAGCAUCACUACCAAACUCAUUGAAAGUUGCACACUUAGUGCGGCCCAUAGUUUUCAGCAACUUGGGGCCAAGACCCCGCUUGAAGCUAGCAAUCUUCUUCGCCUCAGUGUUCACAAACUCAGGAGCAUACCUAGACAAAUAAUUGAAAGCAUGAAAUACUCCUUCAUAGUUUUGUUUCCCUGAGUUAACUGCAUGAACUCAGUAUGCUUCAUCUCCAUGACACCAGGAGGUAUGAAAUGCCCCUUGAAAGCUUCAUGGAAGAGAUUCCAUUCAAGCACAGUAUUGUCCGAAAGGGCCUCCCGAUACUGAUUCCACCAUAUGCCUACCGGACCCUACAGUUGGUGAGCUACAUACUCGGCCUUCAAACCCACGGUCAGCCGAAGCAAGCGGAACUUUUGUUCCACCGUGUUCAGCCACUCCUCCGCUUGAAGGGGUUCUUCAGCCUCUCUGAUGGGGGCUUCGUAUCCAUGAAAUCCUUGAAGCUACUGUACUGGUUAGGUGCUAGCCCACCCGGUGCAUUCUGACCACCCUGGUUUGCCAUCCGGUUGAUGGUUUCAGUGAGCAUCCUCUAGUUUUCCACCAUCAUUUGCAUCAGCUCAGCUGGAUUUGGUGGUGGAGGAGGAGGGGGUGGGAUCAUGUUCGCACGUUGUUCCGCACCUCGAGUGCCACGAGACAUCUGUAAAGACACAAUCAGUGAGCAUUGAUGAUGACAAGAUUUUCCAUAGAAGAACUUAUAUUUAUGCCCGAAAGUAUUUGAGAGAAUAACUUUACAGAGAAUGGCACAAUAAUUCAAUUCCAUAAAACAACAUCACCAAUCCAACACAUGACACAGAUAUCCGCAAUAUGCACAAUAACGGAAAACAUCGCCAUAUCGGUCGAACAGGAUAAAGCUUAAACAACAUUAGGUCCAUAAAGUUAUUACACCAUCCCAGUACAUGACAUGAGUCAGAGAUCAAGGUUCCAGAUUAUAACAUGAUUACAAAAGCACAACUGCUGAAAGUCAUGCUACAAAAGAUCAUCAUAACAACUACCAACUACCCACUACACUCCUGGCUCAUCGUCCGAGUCAGCGUCAAAGAUCGCCUCUCCAUCCUCGUUGCUAACCGGCUCAAGCUCCUCGUCCUCCACGUCCUCGUGCAAAGGUGGUGCAGCCGCGGCUGGUCCAUCUACCUCCAUACCAUCAUCAUCGGCCACGAUCACCUGAGGCCCACCUCUGGAUACACUGGUGCGGGGCAAGGAAUAGGGUGUAGUAGGUUGUUGAGACGGUGAAUCUCCACAAGACCAGCCUCAAUCUGAUCCUGCAGAUAGUUCUCCCGCUCAAGCGACUGGAUCCGGUGCAUCUCCCAAGCCCGGCGCCUGUUCUCCGACACGUGGAGCGCAGUAUCCCUCUCACGAGUGAUCUGCACCAAGCGCUCCUGCACUGUCUCCCUCUCUCUAGCCAACUGACUCAUCUGAUCCUAUUUGUGAUCUCUCUCUCUAAUGGCCUUCACCCACUGCUACCUACGGUACUCCGCAAUGUCUUCCCAGUCAUUGCGGUCCUUCUGGGCUUGCUCCAGGAGUCUAGCUUGCUUGCGAAACUUGCGAGCACACUUUUCCGCCUUCUGUUGCAUCUCCUGAGCCUGGCGAACAGCCACCAUCACUUGGGCAUAGGUGUCCUCUCGCCGACUGAACAGCUUGAGCACAGCCAUCAUAGCACUCAUAGCAGGACUAGAACUCUCAGCUCGCUCUCCUCGGCCUCGGACCAACGCACAACCAUCAGCUUGCUUCCACUCCGCUGCUGCUGGGUCAGCACGGGGAAUGGAGGCCGCUGGCUCUCCUGUCACCUCUCGCCAAACCUUUGACAUAUGUUUAGUAGCAUAGCAUGGGCUGCAACCUGAGCUGCUUCCCAUUGAGUCUGCCCAUCAGAGUUGCAGUUUCACCCUAUCCAGGCAGGCCUGCCCCCAUGUGGUGGGACAACCCCUUGCACAGCGAACCACUGCAAACCUCCUGUCAUAUCCACCUCCCACUAGGAAUACUGAGGUGGCUCAGUAUACCCUACAGACUGUAGCACCCUCCAGAGCAAAGUAGGAGUGCCAAACUCGCUCAAGAAGGUGUCACUGGGGCGAGAUGAAGCGGGCACGUCAAUCCGUGGAAAGGAAUAACCGUGGGUAAGAGAAGAUUAAUUUAAGCAACAUUUAUUUAAUUAAAAAGGGACGACAUUGUAAGGGAAGGAGUAGACAGAAUGUAUGUAUGAAUGCGACAUGAUGCAUGCACGAACCGUACGUCCUCACAAACUUAGAAAAUUAAUAUUCUAACGGAUAUACAGUGGCAUUCAUUCAUCUCUCGAUGCGAUAACUAUCGAUUUACACGUGCGCUGUUAGAGUACCUACAGAAAACUUCAUUGCAGCCCAACAGUUCCCAAUAUAUCACUCAAGAAAGCAGUAAACUAAGUGCACAUUGCUUGUACACACCCAACAUGCACAAACAAUGACACCAUAGCUACCCGAGAAAUUAAAUACUCCCCAAUUAAGUUUCUUUCGUGGUUCCAUGGUUAGACAUGUAACCACUCUAGAAAACCAUUGCGAACACUCCCCUAGAUAGCCGUUUGGACGAUCAUGCUCUCAUAGCUCACACUUACCUGAGCGUAAGUGCGAUGUUGCAUAAUUUAGAUCUAGCGACAUAUGUGGCUAAUUCACAUAUGAAGGCUACCUCUACCAUUAGACCACAGGGUAGCAUAGUGCGGUCAUCACACAUCCAUACCUGAGUACUGCCGGAGAUGCAUAAAUAAAACCCCCCAAGUCAGUACUUAAAUAGCCACCUAUAGUCCUUAUAUGGGCAAGGAGGAUUCAACCACUGGCAUAAUUAAGUGUUGAUUUUCACAAUUUUAUUUAAAAACUCUUUUGUUUUUAAAUACACAAACACUGCAUUUAUAAUGCUGAACUUGCUCCGAUGCCAGCUGUCAUAGAACCGACCAAAUUAUAAGAGUUCAAGUGUAGAAACGAUCGACUAGCAAUCAAGUUUCCAAACUUGAGCCCAUACAAUCCCGGUAGUCAACUGAAAUCACGAAGGACUUCAAACCAACUUGCAACAAACCAAGAUCAUAAUAGUUCAACAUAACACAGUGAAUGUUACAUAGUCAUUCAUUGCCGUCGAAGCGGCACCGCAUCGGAGCUACUUAGUUAUUACAACACAAGUUUAUAGUAGCGGAAGCAAAAUAGUUUACAACACAUAUUCCAAGUUCAGUUCACAAGUUCUUGUUCUGCCAGAGUUUUAUGCCAUCCAUCAAAAGCAACAGGUACGAAGUAGUUAGAGAACCGUGCCCAACGGUUUAGUCCUCAUCCCCAGCGGGAUGGAGACAGGUCUUGCAGAAGCCAUCAUAAAAGAUAUCAUCUGCAACAGGUGGGAAUAAACCCUGAGUACGAGGAUGUACUCAACUAUACUUACCUGUCUAGUAAAACAUAAAAGACACCAAGGAUCAUGCAAGGCUAAGUAUAAAGUGUAGCUGGCCGGACUCAACGUUUGCCAAAAGCUUAAGUAGAGACUACACCAUUUGUAAAGGCAUCAUUUUAAGUAUCAUUAGCUUACCACUAAAUUAGCACCUAUACUAAAGCACUUCACUUUGAUUAAUACAAACAAUAAUAACCAUAUCAAGUUCAUCAUAUGCUUUUCUUUGGUAUCAUCAUCAUCACGAACCAUUGUUAAUUAGUGGAUCCUACGUUUGCCGCUGCUUUGUCAAGUUCUCACUAUCCGGGAGAGACGGCGAAUCGAAUCGAUUCCUAUCCAGCUGGAGGGUUAUUCCUAGCACUCACCCAAGCAUCCCCCGUCGGAGAGCCAGCGAGUCACCUUUGGUACGACUCAGGAAUCGCGGCUCCGAUCAACGCCGCACUCCCAGGGCUACCACUCUGCCAGGGAGGUCAGGACUUUUAACUCACCUGCCUUUGGUCUUACGCCAAUGGUCCCCCGCACACCGCACUUCCUCCGGUAGUGCGCACUUUAUAAUUGCCGGUCUUCCGGCCUGAGUCAUACUACUAGGCUUCGCGGUCGGAACGAGUUAUCCGGCCAACUAAGUGUCAGGCAUGCGUUCAACAUGACAAGUGGACGUACAACGAUCGGUCCUUAGCUGCCACAGAUGGAGUUACUACAACCUUGCAAAACUCCACCCGACUUAAGUCAUUUUAAUCAAGUUCUUCCCACGAUAGCACAUAUAGACAAUCGUGAUCCGACACAACCCUAUCUCGCGCAGGUGACAGGAUAUCACCCGACUUCUACCGAUUAAAGCAUGACUAAGCUGCUAUUUGAUCCUAACUCUAUAACCAGGUUGUGGUAAGAUAUCUGGACAAGGAAUGAGUAUAAUACAGCAAGGGUUUCAUCACAACUCCUAUACGUAAUGCAUCAAUAGAUAUAACAUAACCAAGUAAGCUUUCAAAAUUAAAUAGGAGACUUAAUAUGCUCCGGGGCUUGCCUUUCACGAAUGAUGCAGGCUCGUGAUUCGGGCACUCAAUCUCCUCUUCGGGCUCCUCAUGUCCGGCUUGCUGGACCUCCACCUCCGGGUUGAUCUUUUGGCCCUCGGGGUUCACCUGGAGCUCGAAUGAAGCUGUCGCGUCCAGUGCACCUAUUGCAUGCAAGAUAAGUAAGAAUGGUAGCAUACUAGAUGGGGAUGAAUGCUUGACAAUAUAAUUAGAACUUCACUGGACACUCAUUUACUGAGUAGACUUCCAAGAUAAACUCACAAAGGAUACUAAUUAACUUAGCAAGACCUAGCAAGUCAAACCAUAAACAGCAAUCCUUGCAUAACAGAGCAGCUCAAGGAAUAAAUCAUAACUGGAGUUAUACAGAUCCAACAAUUAUGAAUGAGGAUAUUCUGAAAGCUUAUGAAAUUGUCUACAUUUCAUCUUUAAACAUCACAGCAAGAUUCAUAAGUUAAACAAGGUAUUUAAACAAAGUUCCUGGUUCUGUCCCAAAAAAACAGAGAACACCUAUUUCUAGAACCCAACUUGGAAAAGCCAUAACUUCAAAACUACUGGACCAAAUGAUCCCAAAAUUAAACCACAGCUAGUUCAUACAGUUUGAAACAACUUUGAUUUAGACAAGUCUUCCAGAAAACCAAGUUAUCAUUAAGCAAUGGUUGGAUUACUCCCUUGCUGUCCAGAACAGCUUUUAACCCCUUAAUUAAUUAUUUGAUGACAUAACCAAAAUAUAUGUAGUGGCAACCAAAUAACUUAUAAACACUAGCAUACCAUAGGAUCACCAGAACAAUAUAUGUUAACCUUAAAACAUUUAAUAACAAGGCAUUUAUUAAUUUAAUUCUAUAAAGGGACAUAAUUACAAGAUGCUAGCAAAAGUACUUAGAAAAAUCUACAAAAUUUAUACAAGCACAAACAUAGCAUCUUGACCUCACAGUAAAAUUUUCAGAGCAAAUGCACAUGCCAGAUUUAAGAUAAGCAUUUAACCAUGUGACAAGGUGCUUAUUUCAUAAAUUAAGAAACAUAGCUUAGAUAGUGUCAAACAUCAGAUUUCAGAUUAUUUACAUGUAACUAUUACCAUAAACAAGUUUGACACCAGAGUAGAGCACCAGCAUAAGCACCAAUUAAUUAUUAUGAUUUAAGUAAGAAAACAAGCCAUAUCACAAACCUAAAUUACAUAUCACGGAUACAUUACUCCAAAAAUCAUGAAAUAUUUAUCAUAGUAUUCUCAUACCACUCAGAGCAUAGCAUAAAAAUUUCAUAGCAGAACGAGCAGUAUAACAAGAGAUAUGAAUUUACUCAUAAAUAACAAGAUUAAAUCAUAACAAUUAUUUUUCCCAGAAAACAUGGUACAUUUUAUAUUUUUAUUAAAAACUAGCCAUCUAAUGGAACAUCACAAAAUUUGUUUCACAAAUUUUGGAUCUAAGAAACAGAAGAUAUGAUUUUUGCAAGAAAGCCAAAAACCUGGAUUUGAAUAAAAGAAAAUGAGGGAAAACGAUGUGUCACUGACAGCGGGUCCCGCGUGUCAGGGUCGUCUUCCUCACGACCGAGAUGACUUUCACCGGUGAUUUCUCCACGACGGCGAGGUCUCCGGCCAAACCAAGGGUACCAACGUGAUCCCCAGACCCUACCGAACCGAUUGACCCCCUUUUCCCCACGGCGGAGCCACCGGAGAUGGCUUGCCGUCGACCAUGGCGGCUCGGCGGUGGUGCUCGGCGUUACGCCGGAGCUCUCAUGCCGGUAGAGCGCGACCUAGGGUUUCCUACAGCACCAGUGAACUAUGGCGAAGCUUCCUAGGUAGGUGACUAGGUUUGAAACUGUGUGGAAUGAGCUCGCCACGAGAGAGCCGAACUCCGGCGGAAACACGGCGAUGCUGCGCGUCGUGUCCGGCGACGGUGAGUGCGGUAGAGCAUCCACCAAGUGGCGCAAACGUUCGCUAAAGACCUAAGCUACCUCUAGGACCUAACCAGAGAAGACGAGAGGCUCCGAGGAGCUCAGCAUUGAGUUCGCCGGAGAAGAAGGUCACGGCGACCCGAUUUGGAGGAAGUUGGAAAUGUCGGCUCACCGGAGGGUUUCACGGCGAGUUUGCGGGUGGAGGAUGGAGAGCGGGUCACGGCGGAGCUAUGAGCGAGUUUUGGUGAGCAGCAACGCAGCGAGGAGCGAGUUAGAGCUCGCCGGAGUGAGCUCGCGACGGUGAGCUCGUUGCGGCCGCUUUUCUGGCGAGAGGGCGAGAGGAAGGAGAGAGUGGACGCGUCCACUGCGUCCGGGGCGUCGCCGAGGAGGUCAUGCAUGCGCUGGGAGCUGACGAGUGGGGCCAGGAAUGACGUGCGGGCGCCAAAUGUCGCCGAGGUUCUGUCGCCGGUCAGCCACGUCGACGAGCUCGAUUCCGAUUCAGACAACGUGAUGCACGUCUGACAGAGCCACUUCGACGAUAAUUAUCUCCCAAACCAUGGCGAGUUAGGAGAUGGUGUAGUUGACAAAGUUGGAGUACUAACUGAGUUCUACAACAUUGUCAACUAGAGCAAAAGCCAGAUCGGCCUGGAUUGAGAGAUAUGAGGUUUACAAAAUCGAUCGCGCAAACUGGUGGCGCCAGGACUUAGCCAAAUUCAGUUAAGUGCCAAAACUGCCCCCAAAACUGCCAUAAAAGCACUUUUUGAGCAAGAUGUGGUCAUUUUCAUGAGAUUGCCAUAAAACAACUUUUGUUACUUAUAAAAGUUGCUACAACUUUGCUGUAGAAAGUUAUGACAUGCAAACACUUUUUGAACCACUUUUUAAAAGCCUAUGCAAAAGAGGUUUCUAGUGCCUAAACAUGGAAGUAUGACUUAAGUACUUAAUUUGGGGAAGUGAUCAAAAUGAACAUUGUUCCUAAGGUUGAGUUUAACAUAGAUAAACAAAUUACCAAGGCUUAUCACACAAGCAUGAGCAUGGUACAAACAAACACAAGCAUAGGAAGCAUGAUUAAACAAGUUAAAGCACACUUAAGCAUAAAAUGACAUGGCUCAAGGUAGAUGAUGAUCAUGGAAUGCUUGAGUAGAUGAUGAUGCUCAUGUUAUGCAUGUGAUUGAUGCAACCAUAACACUGGGGUGUUACAGGCUAACCAAUCCAUUAAAACUCCUCGUGAGAACUGACUGCUUGGAUCGGUGGAAUUUCAUAAUCGGUGACCAUGAGAAAAUCCUUCUCCCAAAUUUCUCCUGAAAUGCAUUUGGUCCUUUCAUAAGUAUCUACUUCUGCCGAUGCAUUGACAUAUAAAGAAUCCCCUGGGACAAUUUCAAUCUUGUCACCUACCCACUGAACUAAGCACUGGUGCAUUGUAGAUGGGAUGCAACAAUUGGCAUGAAUCCAAUCUCUCCCCAACAACAAAUUAUAAGCACCCUUUCCGCCGAUGAUAAAGAAAGUUGUCGGCAAGGUUUUGCUGUCGAUGGUCAACUCAACACAUAUGACUCCCUUGACUGGAGACACAUUUCCUUCAAAAUCCUUCAACAUCAUAUCGUCUUGGUCAAGUCAUGAUCUCCUUUUCCAAGCUUUCGAUAGACCGUAUAUGGCAUAAUAUUAAUAGUAGCCCCACCAUCAACAAGUAUAUUGGUCAUCGACUGCCCAUCAACCCUUCCUUUGACAAACAAAGCUCUAAGAUGUUGUCUCUCAUUUUGAGCGGGCUUUUCAAAGAUAGCCGUCAUGGAUCCAGAGCCAACUGAGCUAUCUGAUGAGGAAAAUCUACCUCCUCAUCAUCACUAAAGGGUGCAAGGAAUUCCAUCGGUAACAUAAACACCAUAUUAACGUCUGUCGAUGGACCUUUUCCCUUAGGAUCUGACUGCUGCUGAUCUCCAGACUUAGCAGAAUUCUCUCCUCUACUCAGCUCUUCUUGUCGCUCCCACUACAGCCUUCUUUUCUGUGUCCUAGUUAACCCCCCUGGACACCAUGGAGGAAGUUGUGGUUGCCUUACCGAUUGACAACGAUUUUCCCUUGAUUCUACCCGAUAAGUAUUAGCAUCUCUGCAAAAAUAUGAACUUAUCAGGAACCCGUGCAUCUGCCAUCUCUUCAAGCUCCUCUUGGUUUCAUGGAAAAUAGCCAACACACUAACCAAGCCUAUCAAGCACACUGAGCCUGCCCCCCAGCCGAUCAUGAACUGAUGUCCUUUCCCUCAUCGGCCCACCAAAACGCCGAUCAUUGUUCUGAUACUGCCGAUUUGGUCUAUCAUACCGAUUAUAACCAUUGCAUUUAGGGCAGUCUCUAAUGGUUGGUAGCUUAAUGUUUUGCUCCCAACAGUGGAUGAAGAACAGGCAGUUCCAAUGAUCUUUAUGCCGAUUCCACUCUUGUCGGUGUCUUUCAUCUUCCCUGCGACGAUCUUCCUGUUGGCGACGAUACCGAUCUUCACGCUGCUGUCGGGUUUCCGGAUGCCUCCUAUGAGUGAUUACAAUGCCAAACCGAGGAGGCCUUCCUGAGCUGGUUCCUUCCUGGAUCAAGCCCUUGCCUUUGGCGUCAUCGGUAGUGAUCUGAUGCUGAGGAUCUACCGAUGCACUUCUCUCAGCUGCAUCUGAUGUCAAGACUUUAGUCUUUCCCUUAGCAUCCAACAUAUUAGUGGGGAAAGGAUGCUAGUCAAUCUUCAUGGGCUUCUAGGCUUUGAAACUAUCAAAUUUAAUUCUUCCAGAUUCUAUAGCCGAUUGCAGCUGCUGUCUAAAUACUUUGCAUUCUUUUGUACUAUGAGACGUUGCAUUAUGCCACUUACAAUACUUGAUCUUCUUUAACUCUUCCGCCGAUGGAAUGACAUGGUUAGGUGACAACUUGAUCUGUCCCUCCUGAACCAAAAAGUCAAAUAUUCUAUCGGCUUUGGUAAUGUCAAAUGCAAAAUUUUCUGGCUCUUUAUGCCCAAAAGGGCAAGACAUCGACUUCUUAUUUUUUACCCAUUCUGCCAAGCCGAUGAGUGGUUCUUCAUCAGAAUCUGAACUUGUUGCCUCAUCAACAAAUGACACCUUUUUAUUCCAUGCUCUCUUAGGUUCAAAAGCUUUGAUGUCUUGGUCAGAGAUCCUUUGCACUAGAUGACUCAGACUUUCAAAUUCUUGAGAAGCAUACUUGUCUUUAAUAUGUGGCAACAACCCUUGGAAAGCCAAAUUGGCUAGCUGCCGAUCAUCCAGAACCAGACUAUAGCAUUUGUUCUUAACAUCUCGCAACCUUUGCACAAAACUCUCAACCAAUUCAUCAUUAUGUUGUCUUAGCCUGACUAAAUCAGUAAUCUUCUUCUCAUGAACUCCAGAAAAGAAAUAUUUAUGGAAUUGCUUUUCUAGAUCGGCCCAAGUGAUUACUGAGUUUGGAGGUAACGAAAUAAACUAGGUAAAAGCCGAUCCAGAUAAAGAUGAUGAGAAUAAACAAACCCUUAACUCAUUUCUAUUAGCAGCUUCCCCACACUGGAUGAUGAACCUGUUAAAAUGUUCCAUGGUUGAUGUAUCAUCCUACCUAUAGAAUCUGGUGAAAUCCGGCACCUUGUACCGAUUUGGGAGCGGGAUUAAGUCGUAUGCAGGAGGAUACGGUGUCCGAUAAGAGUAAGUAUUGACUUUGGGUUUUAUCCCGAAUUGAUCUCUCAUCACCUCAGCUAUCUUAUCGGCCCAAUAAGCAUCGACAUCUUGCCGAUGAGCUGGUUGUGGAUCUGGCAUCUACUGAUAAGCCUCCACGUGUCUCUAUGGUGCAUGAUCUCCAGGGAACAUAGGAUUAGCCAUCGCCUAUUGACCACCAACUUGCUGGGCAAGAUUCAUCGGCUGAUUGAUCAAUCCUUGAUUCUAAAAACUAGGUUGCACUGGUCCCUAUUGAAAUCCCAUAGCCUGGUGAUUCUGCUGAGGCAUCUGUGGAAAGACAAACUGCCCUAUUGAAAGCCCAAGUUUGGUUUUGGUAAUUAAUGACACCAAGGUUCUAAUAGUUUGUGUUCAAGUGAUUUGAGUUAGGCACUGCAACACAUUUGAAGAAGGAGCAAUAUGACAAGAGUGGUGGACACAUGAUCAUAAAGAGAGGAAGCAUGAAGUGGAGAUCAUGGUGAUGGACAAGGAGUAAAAUGAUCAAGGCAAAGGUAUAAACAUAGGAUUUUGCUUUUGCCGGUCUAAGAUGAGUAAAGAAGUGAUUGACCGGAUUUAGGAUAGCUAGCCAUACUAUAAAGAGGGGAAAUCUUUAAUUGCAAUGGUUAUCUAGUGCCACUAAGUGUGAGCCUCAUUUGCAUAUACAAAGUGCUUAGUGACGUGGUGAGUUGCAUGAGAAAGCCUAUAAAAAUGUUUGUGAAAUGCUAACACACAAGCACAUGGUGGAGUACACUUGGUGGUGUUGGCACUUUUGUAAAGGAGAAGGUGUUGGAGUUGAUUUUGAUCAACUUGGUGAAGAGAGAGAAGUCUUUCGGUGUUCUCUGGACAUUAGGAUGGCUUUUAGAUUGAAAUACUUCUUUGAUCCAUUAUGACUUGGAUUUAUUAUUCAUAUGGAUUGUAUAGCCCUCUGAGUAAGCUUUCCAAAAUGUCCAAGAUCAUCGAAUUCGGAGUUCGGAGCUAAAAGUUAGCAACCUAACAAGGUUUGAGAUGGCGCUGAGAAUGCAGGACCGGAAGUUCCGGUGGAACUUCUGGUGGUACUUCCAGGCCUAAACGGAAGUUCUGGUCAGCCUGACAUGAAGUUCCAGUUGGGCUGUGAGAGGUGCUCUUGCAUUUGAGAAAACACUUCUAGUGUCUGACCGGAAGUUCCGGUCCAUGACCAGAAGUUCCGGUCCUUAACUCGAAGUUCCGGUCCAUGAAUGGAAGUCCACAUAGGAGCCUUUGUGCAUGGCCUCGCGUGUCAGGAUUCACUUCCGGUCUUUGACCGGAAGUUCCACUUCCGGUGGGUCCGAGUCUAUCACAACGGUCAGAUCUGCUUGGCCACAACGGUCAGAUCUGCUUGGAUCGAGGCUCCAACGGUCAGAUCUAGUCAGACUGGAAGUUCCGGUCCUAGGCACCGAAACUUCUAGUGCCACACUAUAAAUACUCGUUUCCCUUGUUUCUAACCGGGCACUUCGCAUAAAACACAUUUUCUGACUUCCGGUGGCUCUUCCAAAGAGUAGAGAAAGCUCUCCCCUCCUCCUCUCUCACUCCCUAAGCUUUGUGCUCCAUUCAAGUGAGAGAUUGAGCCCUAGUGAUAGAUCUGAGAGCUUCAAGAGCAUCUCUUCCCUCUCCUCUCCAUCCCCAUAGCUUGGUGCUCUUUGGUGAGAGGAUUUGGGGAACCCUAGUGUUGUGCAUUUGUGAUUUCAUUCUUGUGGCAGUAGGUGGUGAUUGCAAGUGUGGAUUUCUUGUUACUCUUGGGUGUUUCCCGACGCCCUAGACGGCUUGGUGCAAGGGAGGUGUUGACCUCGUGAUUGGAGAUUGUUUCGAGCUUCACCAAGUGAUUUGUGUGGGGUUCUUGAGCCUUCCCCACGGGAGAUCGGAAUUGGCUACUCUAGUGGAUUGCUCGUGGCUUGGAGGAUCCCCAUCUUGUGAGUGGAUGUGCGGCAUCCGCUGAGGGUUUGGCUCUGGAUUGCCAAUUAGCUCAUGAUCCAUCAAGUGGGUGUAUCGCCACAACGUGGACUAGCUUGCCGGGAAGCAAGUGAACCUCGAUAAAAAAUCUUGUGUCAUCUCUUGCCGAGGAUUCUCUUGUAAUUGUGAUUGAUUGAUUGGCUAUAUUUCUACUCUACAACGUUGGUAUAACAAUCACUCUCCUCUCCAUUACUUAUGUGCAUACCUUUCUAGUUGUGUAGCUUGUUUAGCUUAGCUAUCUUGUUUAGGAGUGUAGCAAGCUUCUAGUUGUGCUUUCUUGUUGUAACUAGUGUUUAGCUUUCUUGCUAGACCUGUGUAGGUGGCUUGCAUAGCUUAGUUGUGCUAGUGCUAGAAUAGCUUCGCCUUUUGUUUUACUAAUCAACUUGUCUAGUUGAAGUUUGUAGAAAAUUUAAAUAGACUAUUCAACCCCCCUCUAGCCAUUUGGACCUUUCAAGUGGUAUCAGAGCCGAGGUACCGUUUAUUUGAGGCUUAACAACCUACGUUGAAGAAACACCAAGAAGGCACCUUUCUUUGAUGGCACCAAUUAUGCUUAUUGGAAGGUCAAGAUGACCUCUCAUCUUAAGUCAAUCAAUAGAGAGGUUUGGAAAGUGACCGAAAUAAAGUUUGAGGUUGCAAAUGAGAAUGCACCAACACCGGUCGAAGAGAAGAAGCUACAAUGCAAUGAUAUUGCCAUUAGUGCUCUUCAUGAAGCUCUUGAUGACAAGACCUUUGAGCAAAUCAAGAACAUUGAGAUUGCUCACGAUGCAUGGGUAAAAUUAGAAGAAACAUUUGAGAGAACCAAGGGAACCAAGACCGCCAAGGCAUACAUCCUACAAGAAAAGUUCUCAAGCUUCAAGAUGCAAUAAGAUGAAAGUGUGAUGGAGAUGUUUCACCAGUUGCAAGUUAUUGUGAAUGAGCUCAAGGUACUUGGGGAAAAAGUGAAGGAUAGUCAAUUCUCUAUGAAGUUCUUGAGAAGCUUGCCCAAGAGAUUUGACACAUUGAUCACCGUGCUAGUCAAGACAACACUUAGUGAAUCAACUCCCCAACAAGUGUUUCAAGAAGUGAUGACCGAUGAUGCUUAUAGAGAAGAUGAUGAGAAGGAUGAGUUGAUCGAGAAGAAGAAGAAGGAUAGUGAGAAGAAGGAUGAUGAGAAGAAGAAAAGUGUGGCAUUCAAGGGCUCCUCAUCUAAGGGCAAAGCCAAGAUAAAGUCAUCAAGUGAAGAAGAAGCAAGCUCUUGUGAUAGUAAUGAAGAUGAGGAGAUGGCUCUUCUUGUCAAGAGAUUUGGCAAGUUUAUGAAGAAGAAGGGCUACCGGGCAAGAAGGAAGAAGAACUCCUCCAAGAAGAAUGACCAUUCCAUGAGGUGCUUUAGAUGCCAUAGCAAGGAUCAUCUCAUCACCAAGUGUCCCUAUGAUAGUGACGAUGAGGAUGCUAUCAAGAAGGAAAGAAAGAAGCAAAAGAAGAAGCAAGAAAAGAAGGAAGGCUCAAACAAGAAUAAGGGUGAUGCCCAUGUUGCAACUUGGGAUAGUGAUGACUCCUCAAGUGAUAAUGAGAGCACGAAGAAGAAGGGGCACGCUAGCAUUGCAAUUCAAGGAAAGAGCUCCACCUUCGACACUCCAUCAUGCUUCAUGGCUAAGGCCACUAAGGUAUCAUCCGAUGAUGAGAGUGACCAUGCUAGUGAUAGUGAUAGUGAUGAUGAUGAACCAACUAAAAAUGAACUAAUCACUGUGGUAGAAAAUUGCACUCAUCACUAUAAAGAAACUAGAAAGGAGUGCAAGGCCUCGCUCAAGGAUAAGAAAACCCUUAUGCAAGAACUUGAUGAGCUUAGAGCAUCCUAUGAGAGUCUAAAGGUAGACCAUGAGAAGCUACAAAAGGCUCACACUAAGCUUGAAGAAGCUCAUUCCUCUCUAGUUAACAAAUGUGAAAAUGAGCCAACUAAAAUUGAAAAAUCUAAAACUUGCAACAUAGGCAUAACAUGUGAUAUCUUGAGUAAGCCUAUUGUUAUUGCUACCACUAACCAUUAACGUUGCACAUCUACAUCAUCCUCAUCUAGUAGUGAUGGUUUCACUUGUGGCACCACACUAAAAGUUGAGAAUGAAAUUCUCCAGAAGGAGGUGAAAGAGCUCAAUCAGACCUUAGCCAAGGCUUAUGGUGGUGAGGACCGCUUGGUCAUGUGCUUGGGUAGCCAAAGAGCUUCUCUCUAUAAAGAGGGAUUGGGCUAUAACCCCAAGAAAGGCAAGGUCGCCUUUGCUCCUCACAAGACACGUUUUGUGAAGAACAAUGGCCGGUAUUGCAAAGCUUGCAAGCAAGUUGGUCACUUAGAGCAACAAUGCAUGAACAAGAAAUCCAAAGCAAAUGUAUCCUCGAUUAAGCUUAAUUCUUUCUAUGUGCUUACUAAGGAUACAAAAGGUGUUCAUGCUAAGUUCAUUGGUGCACCAUGGAUGGUCUCAAAGAACAAAGCCAUUUGUGUGCCAAUGAUCUUAGUUGCUAACCUUGGAGGACCCAAUGAAGUUUGGGUACCUAAAAAGAAUUGAUCUUGUCUUGUAGGUCAAUUACAAAACCGGAGGAAGGCAUUGGGUGCUUGAUAGUGGGUGCACUCAACAUAUGACCGGAGAGUCUUGUAUGUUCAAAUCAAUUGAUACUAGUCAAAAUGGUGGCUUUGAUUCUAUCAACUUUGGCAACAAUAAGAAAGGCAAGGUCAAGGGGCUUGGUAAAAUUGCUAUCUCAAAUGACAUGAGCAUAUCAAAUGUGUUGCUAGUUGAGAGCCUUGAUUUCAAUCUCUUUUCUAUUGCACAACUUUGUGACCUUGGUUUCAAGUGCAUCUUUGGAAGUGAUGAUGUUGAGGUAGUUAGUGUUCAUGGAUCAAACUUGAUAUUCAAAGGAUUUAGGCAUGGUAGCUUAUACUUGGUUAAUUUCAAUGACAACGAGACUCAAUUGACAUCAUGCUUGCUUAGAAAUCUAGUUUGGGUUGGCUGUCGUAUAGAAGGCUUGGUCAUGUUGGAAUGAAAUAAUUGAAUGAACUAUUGAGGCAUGACUUAGUUAGAGGCUUGAAGGAUGUCACUUUUGAGAAGGAUGAACCAUGUAGUGCUUGCCAAGCCAGAAAGCAAGUUGGAAAUGCACAUCCUAAGAAAAGUGAAAUGAGCACAUCAGAGGCAUUUGAGCUAUUACACAUGGAUUUGUUUGGGCCAACAACAUACACUAGCAUUGGUGGCAACAAGUAUGGAUUUGUGAUAGUUGAUGACUACACUAGAUACACUUGGGUGUUCUUCCUCUAUGACAAGAGUGAUGUUUGUGACCUAUGUUGAUAUUUGGUAACGCAAUAAGGAAUUGAUCCGCAAGCACACGGAUAUCGGUGAGCACUUCACCCAGGAUGUUAUCCAGAGUAUCGUAUUUAUAUUUUUACCACUAGGAGAAAGAGUGCAUCUGACUAACCCGGUCUAUUACUACUAACCUUUAGGCUACAAAGAAUGUGACUUGAUGUGAGCAAUGUAUAGAGAAGACUAUAACUGCACUCUCGUUCUAACCUUGGUAAGGAUGAUCUACUGUUCUGCUGGGGAGGCUCACGGAAUCUAGACACCACAGAGGAUGUUCGACCCACACCUAUAAAGCCUAUUGAUCCUGCUAACGGGAUAUGUGCUACAAAGGUAACUCGGAAAUGUCACGUUCCUCGCUACUACCACGGUCCAGCUAGUCACAGAAUAUCUAUGAGUAUCAUAGCCCAAACACCACAUUUACCCUAGAGAUAAUUACUCUAAACUCUACGCGAAGAGAUCAAAGUAAACUCAUAAACCAAAGAACAAUAAAACAAGAACUUACUAGAAUUUAGAAGUCGAAAUACUGAAGAAUCCUAGGAGAAAGCCUCGGGUUAGAAGACUUGAUCCCGCAGAUACAACCUCGGAGUAGACACCGACAGGCCGGGCUUCCUCUGAUCUACACCUCCACUCUAUCUCUCUCAAUCUAGUAGAUCUAGUCUACUCUCACAUUGGAUGCUAAGCUCUAAGUCUAUGUAGAGGAAAGGUUAUCCUUCGAGGGCACCUCUCAACUCUGUAAUGAACUUGUUCUCCUCUAGGGGGCCACGGGGGAUGCUUAUAUAGUCCCCUCAGGUGAACGUGGGCCUUUGGAUUGAUUGAACGGUUAUCCUUGAUCCUUUAGGUCGGUGGAGCAUGAUCCGCGAAGUUGAACGCGAUUGGCCAAAACACCAGGGCGGGCGCCCUAGGGGGGAGGGCGGGCGCCCUGCCCCCGGGCUCGAUCGCCUUCCAGUUCGUUCCCGUGGCUUCUGGAGUCUUCUAGAUGAUAGAAAAUUGCGCGGUACGUUAAUAUCUCUAUGUAAACCCGACAUGUGGGCCUUUCUUCCAUGUUUCCUGAUAACCCCCUGCAGAAACAGAUAAACAACAAAACUCGUGGAAUUCUGUCAGAUCAAACCCUAAUUCUAGGUGUUGUUUGUAUAUUCAUCCUUUCCCUUGUUUAUUUGAUAAUUAAAAUUGAUACUUAAGAACCGUCAACAAACACCCCCAUACUUAGGCUUUUACUCGUCCUCGAGAAAAGGAUGGUUAAGAAAAAUAUCUGGGGUUAAAACUUUGUAAAGCAUUCUCUUUAUACCUGCAGGGUACCAUAGUCAGGGAAAUAUAUGGUCAAGAGUAGAGAUCCUUUCUUCUCAAUCUUGUUACUUGGAGUUUUUGUAUAUUUUUGAAAAGAAAUUUAGCAUACCUUUAUCCUCAUAGGUUCUCUCAGGUCACUCAUUAUCUUUUAUAUAUCUCACUGAGGCUGUUUUAAUUUACAAAAAUUCUCAAGCAUACUUACCUUGCAUUUAUUGCCUGAUCAAAACGGGAUCCGAGGAGAGGAAUGUCAUACUCUUAGACCAAAGACUUUGGAAAUUAAAAAUUUGUCAACUCUUACUGGCAUAUUGCUUAUUAGAGGGACCAUGGGCUAUCAUUUUCUUUCUUUUCUCUUCUUUUUUUUUCAGGUGGAUACCGAGGUACCCCUAAUUCUACUGCUGGAUACUUGUCUAUUUUUUCUGUGAGGUUGUCGAGCACUUGCCCCUUUUUAUUUCCUCAAAAUAUCCUUAUUUUUGCAUAGCCCAUGCCUCUAACGCAAUAAUACUUCGGAAGAGUGAAUCUUUCUAAAUAAAUGUCUUGAUCUUAGGAGCAUGAUAAAUCUCUCAACAAGGGUCUAACUCAUUUUGAACAAACUCAAUACAGAGCAGAUAGCUUUUAUAAUUAUUAAUAUUUUCAGUUUUAUCAGGCAUAUAAAACACUGAGGAUGGUAGCUAGAAUUUUGAAAUAAAUUCUCCAAGCAACAAUGAUAUCAACAAUAAGGUACUCAUACUCGACCAUCUCAUAUUCCACAAUUACUUAAGUAACACAGGGUUUAAAAAUGAUUUUUCAAUAAUUGUAGGUUUUCAGGAAAUAUCAUAGAGUGAGAUUAAUCAUGAUUAGAAACAUUUUAAUCUUUUUAAUUUAUCAUGUUGAAGACAAUAUUCUGCAUAAUCCAAGAUAUAUAUGUAUGUGUAAAGUGUGCAGAGUAUGUACCUGAAUCGUGGAGUGGUGUAGUCGAAGUACGUUUGGCGUGUCGAGGGAUCUCCCCCAUACUUGUUUUCUGCUUUCUUGCAUAAAAAUAAAGUAGAGACACACAAGACAUAAUAAUAAUAAUAAUACUCUUUAUUAAUCUUGAGGUAUUUAUUACAAAUGACUAGUAAUAUACUGAAGCUAAUAAUAGAUCUAAACCGAAUUUAAUGAUAAAUAACUAAGAUGCAUUUCCUCAAGAUCUAAUCUAGAUAACUUAGCGGCGCUCUAACUCCAUAAUCUUCUUAUUGGCACUAGCAAGAUCAUGCCUAAGACCUAGUAUAACGGUGUUAUGGUUAGAGAGCUACCUAGUGAUAGAGUUAACCGAGGACUGGAACACUAUGAUGACCCUGUCUAGCCUACAAACGUCCUCAUCAAUAUCUACUAUAGUCUUGCAACGCUUAGGAGGUGUCUCGAGAGCAUUGAGAGCGUGCUUCGGGGCUGCCUUUGGAGGGAUGAAACGGACUUUGGCUGCUCCAAUCCCCUCAAAGUAAGGCCUCUCCUCCUCCGUAGUGUAGCGGAUGCUGCUGAUCUCGCCGCUCCGGUUGGUCUUGACUCCAACGACCCUCUCAUUGGGUCUGGGUGGCAGGAUCCUUGUGCCGGCUGGCACCUUGCCGGUGGCCUCCUUCUUGGCUGACGGUCCCUUGAGAAGUAGGGGCUAUGGCGGUGCAGUGAGAACUGGUUGAGCAUGGUAGGAUUGGGUGGAGCUACGCUAGCGUAAUGGCAUGACUUCUAGCUGUCGCUCUAUGUAGGCCGGGACGAGAGCGUAGGCGUCGGUGUCUUCCUUGGGCUUCUUUUUGAGGUCGUAGGGGAUGACUUCCCAAUCGUCGUGGAACUCUUCGGCAUUGGAGCAGCGAGGGACUUAGCAAGUUCUAAUAGAAGAAGGAGAGAAGGCUUGUAUGAAUUGGUGUUUGAAAACUGACAUCAGGGGUCUGUUUAUAUAGGGGUCAAAAAGUGCCUCUAGGGUUUGCUCGGGCUACUCCCGCCGCCGUGCGUGCGAAACUUUCCAUCUGUAUGAUUAUUUAGUUUACCAUAAAUGUGUUUAUCUUGACGGAGGAAAUCGGGACUGAGAGGGGACAGGGGCUGGGCGCCCGCCCUCAUCAUCAGGGCGCCUGCCCUGUGCCUGGCCCCUCUGUGGGCCCGCUUCCUUGAGCGUGCUUCUAGAUGCAGACUUUAUUCGAAAAAUAUAUACGUGGCCCAAAAACGUCAGAUUAAAAAGGUCAGGCUCUAAUUCUCCAUGGGAAGGUAGAAAUGGAUCACGUCUAUGUCUUCUAAUUCUUUAUUGGGCUCUAAAAAUAAUUUAAGACGUUGACCAUUUACCUUGAAUAACGUACCUUCGUUAUUUUGAAGUGUGAUAGCUCUGUGGGAUGAUGAAUUGAUUACCUUGAAUGGUCCUUCCCAUUUACUCCGAACUUUUCCAUGCCCAAAAAGCUUCACCCUGGAAUUAAAAAGUAAUACCUUAUCUCCGGGUGCGAACUCCUUCUUCUUGAUCCUCUUGUCAUGCCACCUUUUGACUCUUUCUUUAUAGAUCUUCGAAUUGUGAUAUGCUUUCUAUCGCCAUUCUUCCAAUUCUGAUAGUUGCAUUCUUCUAUGAUCUCCAGCGACAUCUAGGUCCAUAUUCCAUCUCCUUAUGGCCCAGUGUGCUUUGAAUUCUAAUUCAACAGGUAGGUGGCAAGUCUUCCCGUACACCAAUUGGUAUGGGGACAUUCCAAUUGGGGUCUUGUAUGCUGUCUGGUAUGCCCAGAGUGCAUCGGGUAACUUGUCUUUCCAUGCUGUUUCCAUCUCAUUGACUGUUUUCUGAAGAAUAUUCUUGAUUUGCUUGUUGGAAGUCUCUGCUUGGCCACUUGUCUGAGGAUGGUAAGGGGUAGCGACGUUGUGACGGAUUCCAUGUUUUGAUAGAUAUUGCUUGAAGCAUUUGUGAAAGGUCCUAAUAUGGCUAGAGGGGGGUGAAUAGCCUAUUUAAAAAUUCUACAAACUUCACUAGAGCAAGAUGUUAGUAAAUAACAAAGCGAAGCAUUUUGCUCUAGCUCUAAUGGGGUGUUUGCAAGCCACCUAUCCAACAAUUCUAGUUGAUAUAAUCACUAGGCACACAAGAGCUAUGUCACUACUUACACUAGAAAGCUACCUAAAGUUUCUAUACAAGUAAGUAAGCUACUCUAGUUUGCGGGAAUGUAAAAGAGAUGGUUUGAACUUUAUACCGCCGCGUAGAGGGUAUGAACCAAUCAAUAAUAUGAAGUCCAAUCACCGGGAGAAAUCCAAUGAACAAUCACAAUGGAGACACACAAUUUUUCUCCCGAGGUUCACGUGCUUGCCAGCACGCUACGUCCCCGUUGUGUCGACCAACACUUGGUGGUUCGGUGGCUAAGAGGUGUAGCAGGAACCUUGUCCUCAGUAGGACACCACAAGAACCAACCCAACAGUGAGGUAACUCAAUGACACGAGCACUUUACUAGAGUUACCUUUCGGCUCUCCGCCGGGGAAGGUACAAGACCCCUCACAAUCUACGCGAGAUGGCCAUGAACAAUCACCAACUCGUGCCAAAGCUCCUCUGCUGCUCCAUGCCGUCUAGGUGGCGGCAACCACCAAGAGUAACAAGAAAACCGCAGCUAGAACGAUCCCCAAGUGCCACUAGAUGCAAUCACUCAAGCAAAUGCACUUGGAAUCACUCCCAAUCUCACAAAGAUGUAUAAUCUAUGAAGGAGAUGAGUGGGAGGUGUUUGCUUAGGCUCACAAGGAUGUCUAGUAGUCAAGAAUGCCAAGAGGGUGAGCCCUAAGCCGGCCAACAACUAUUUAUAGACCCCUCAAACAAAUAGAGCCGUUGGCUCUCUCACUGGGUCUGACUCGUGGUCACUGGACGCUCUUUAAGGGGCACCGGACGCUCAACACCUGCGUCCGGUGCUCCAACGUGAGCCGCGUGUCAGAAACUAACGGUAACCUGCAGAGCACCGGACUCAUGCGCAGAGAGGGUCGCCAAACCACCCGCACACCGGACUCUAAGUACAGAGAGGUCUGCAGAAACAUAGGGUCACCGGACGCAGAGCACCGGACGCUCCAGCCUACGUCCGGUGCUCACCGGACUUAAACCCAGGGAGCACUGCAAAAAGCGCGGGGCACCGGACUCACACCACCGGACGCUCCAAGCUGCGUCCGGUGCGUAUCGUCCGGUGCCUAACCCUAACCGAGCUAGGCUGCCUGCUCACCGGACGCACAGGCACAACGUCCGGUGCUUCUGGGCCAGUGACCGGUGAGUGUUCUUCAGCGAGAAACACUCACCGCGACUUCUCCAAAUUUCCCACCGACGCAAUAGAAAAUAUGCACUUAAUUUUCUCAAAAGCGUCGAACUCCACCUCCUUCUCAAAGUGUGCCAACACCACAAUGUGUAAACCAACAUGUGCACGUGUGUUAGCAUUUUCACAGUCAUUUUCUUCGAAGGAGUUAAGUUAGCUCACUAGGUUCUAAAUGCAUGCACAUGAACAAUGACACCUAGUGGCACUCGAUAACCGCUUAGCCAAAGAAUUCCCCUCUUUAUAGUACGGCUAUCUAUCCUAAAUGUGAUCACACCCUCUAUGGUGUCUUGAUCACCAAAACCAAAACCCUAACCAAUACCUUUGCCUUGAUUUCCAUAGGGUUUUGUUUUUCUCUUUCUUCUUUUCCAAGUUGAGCACUUGAUCAUCUUGUGGUCAUCACCAUCAUCACCAUGAUCAUCACUUGCUCCAUCACUUGGCAUGUAUCAACCUCAUUAAGUAUACACACACUUAGUAUAGAGGUUAAUACUAGGGUUUCAUCAAUUAUCCAAAACCAAACUAGGGCUUUCAAUCCCCCCUUUUUGGUAAUUGAUGAUAACCCUUUUUACAAAGAUUUUUAAUAAAAUUUUCUUGGAUUCAUGUUGCUUGCCCAAGCAUUUUACCAUGUGCAAAGGUUAUGGACAAGUUUCACAAACCCAAAUUUGGUAGCAACUGCUCCUCCUACAUAUGUGCUAAGAGUUUGGAUUUGAAAGCUUGCACAUAUGCUUGAAUAGGAAAAAUAUGAGUCAAUUUCUACCAAAUGAUGCUAAGGUGUAAAGAAUGGACCUUUGAAGCGUGAUACCAAUUGGAGUUGCCAAUGUACACCAUCCUUAGCACCAUUAGUAACUAGGCUUUCACAAAACUAGAACACCUCGUGAGAUCAACAUUAUAAACAAGGUUCUAGUACCACUUGUGAAGUAACUAAUAGUCUAGUUAUACUACCUAUGCAUGCUAGUUCUUCAUUUCAUCAUUCAAACCUACAACUAGCAUAUAUCACACAAGCAAGGAAUUGGAGAGAAAGCUUCUAAAACUAAUGCAAAUGCAAGCAAACAUAUGUGAUGCACAUUCAAAUGCAACAUACAAGUUUAUGAGCUUGCUCCCCCUACUUGUGUGCUUCAAAUUUUAAUUGAUCCCCUUCUUUUAUUAUGUUACUUCCCUAUCUUUGUACUUCUCAUGUUACUUCCCUAUCUUUGUACUUCUCCUAUAAUUUCUCCCCUUUGUCAUCAAUGACCACAAAAGGUGAGCUCAAAUUUUAGAUAAGUUAGUGUGAAACCAUGUGAAGUGAGAUCAUUUUCCCAAAUUGGUUCAAUCUAGAUUACUUGCCUAAGAUAUUUAACUUGGUUUGAUCCAAGGACAAGCUUCUUCACACCUCCAAAUAAGGGUUAUCUUGUACCAUGUUGAGUUAAACACUUAUAGCUCAUAUUCUAGAUCAAACACUAGGAUUGCAAGCCCACAAACAUGUCAUAUGCUACCAUUAGAUAAAGUCAAUCAUAGAAGCAAUAGUGGUACCAUACAAGCAUCAAAUUCAUUUGAUUUUCAUGAAUGAUCCUAGGACAUGUAAGUAAUGACUAGAUGCACUAAACAAGUCCUUAGCAUAUGAUGAAUGACAUGUCAAUCAAUUUUACCAUGCUUUUGCUCGAAGGAGAGGCAUGUCAUAAAGUGGGGGUGCAUCAACACAUAUUUGAGAAGUCAAGUAUGUUAAAUUCAUUCCUUAGCUUGCAAAACCUCUUCUCAUCAAGUGGCUUGGUGAAUAUAUCGGCAAGUUGAUCAUCGGUGCCUAUACUCUCAAUGCAAAUGUCCCCUUUUUGUUGGUGAUCUCUCAUGAAAUGAUGGCGGACAUCUAUGUGCUUUGUUCUUGAGUGUUGAACCAGAUUGUUGAUGAGCUUCACGGCACUUACAUUGUCACAUAGCAAUGGCACUUGUUUGAAGUUGAUUCCAAAGUCCUUCAAUGUUGCCUUCAUCCAUAGGAUUUGUGCACAACAACUACCGACCGCAAUGUAUUCCACUUCGGCGGUUGAUAGUGCAACACUAUUUUGCUUCUUGGAUGACCAUGAGACAAGUGAUCUUCCCAAUAGUUGGCAUGUGCCCGAUGUGCUUCUUCUUUCAACUUUGCAUCCCGCAUAGUCCGAAUCGGAAUAUCCAACAAGUUCAAACUUUGCACCUUUGGGAUACCACAAACCAACAUCUUGUGUAUGCUUCAAGUACCUCAAUAUUCUCUUUGUCGCCUUCAAAUGACUUUCUCUUGGUGAGGCUUGAAAUCUUGCACACAUGCAUACACUAAACAUGACAUCCGGUCUUGAUGCGGUCACAUAGAGUAGGCUUCCAAUCAUAGACCGAUACAACUUUUGAUCCACCAUAUUUCCACUUGUAUCACUAUCUAGGCUUCCAUUUGUUCCCAUUGGAGUGCUAAUUGAUUUUGCAUCAUCCAUACCAAACUUCUUGAGCAUGUCUUUUAUGUACUUGCCUUGACUCACAAAUGUACCAUUCUUCAAUUGCUUGAUUUGAAGACCAAGGAAGUAACUAAGCUCUCCAAUCAUUGACAUUUCAAACUCAUUAGACAUCAUGUUGCAAAACUCCUCACAAAAUUCUUGGUUGGUUGAUCCAAAUAUGAUAUCAUCAACAUAUAUUUGCAACACAAACAAGCCUUUGCCAAUCUUCUUGGUGAAGAGAGUGGUGUCAACCUUGCCCAUAUUGAAACCUUUAGAGAGUAAGAAAUCUCUCAAUCUCUCAUACCAUGCUCUAGGUGCUUGCUUCAAACCAUAUAAUGCCUUUCUUAGCUUGUAAACAUGGUUGGGUUUCUUGUCAUCUUCAAAACUGGUAGGUUGCUCAACAUAGACUUCUUCAUUGAUAUAGCCAUUGAGAAAUGCACUCUUGACAUCCAUUUGGUAUAGCUUGAUGUUAUGAGCACAAGCAUAGGCCAACAAGAUCCUAAUUGCUUCCAAUCUUGCAACCGGGGCAUAGGUUUCACCAAAGUCAAGACCUUCAAUUUGAGUAUAGCCUUGUGCUACCAAUCUUGCUUUGUUUCUUACAACUAUCCCAUCUUGAUCUUGUUUGUUGCGAAAGACCCAUCUAGUACCAAUGACAUUGUGAUCACUAGGCCUCUCAACUAAUUCUCAUACUUGAUUUCUCUUGAAAUUAUUAAGCUCUUCAUGCAUGGCAUUAACCCAAUCAACAUCUCUCAAUGCUUCUUCAAUCUUCUUUGGCUCAAUGUGAGACACAAAGGAGAAAUGCUCACAAAAUGAUGCUAAUCUUGAUCUAGUUUGCACUCCUCUUUGAAUAUCACCAAUGAUAUGAUCCAAUGGAUGAUCUAUUGCAAUAUUUGUAGGUUGGAGUAUUUGCACUUGAUUGCUUGCACUUGGUUGAUCAUGAGAUGAUGUACUAGCUUGGUGAUCUUGCGCUUGUGUACCACUUGUACUAACUUGAUUUUGAUCAUGAGAACGACUAGCUUGCACAUUAGAGGUAGGAAGUACUUGAUCUUUGUCAUCUUCAACAUCAAUCACCUCUCUAGGCCUUAAAUCACCAAUAUCCAUAUUCUUCAUUGCAUCGGCCAAUUGAGUGCCUCUUACAUCAUCUAGAUUUUCAUCUUCCUCUUGAGAGCCAUUGGUUUCAUCAAAUUCAACAUCAUGCACCUCCUCAAGAGUACCACUAGCCAAAUUCCACACUCUAUAAGCUUUGCUAGUAGUGGAGUAACCAAGCAAGAAACCUUCAUCACAUUUAUUUUCAAAUUUACUCAAUCUAGUGCCUUUCUUCAAUAUGUAGCAUUUGCAACCAAAAACCCAAAAAUAUGCAAUGUUGGGCUUUCUUCCAUUCAAGAGCUCAUAUGGAGUCUUCUCCAUCAUUGGGUGACAAUAGAGUCGGUUGCUAUAGUAGCAAGCCGUGUUGAUUGCUUCGGCCCAAAAAGAAUGACUCACAUUGUAUUCACUCAACAUUGAUCUUGCCAUGUCAAGCAAGGUUCUAUUCUUUCUCUCAACAAGACCAUUUGAUUGUGGAGUGUACUUGGCCGAGAAUUGAUGCCUAAUGCCAAAUUCAUCACAAAGCUCAUCAACUUUUGUAUUCUUGAAUUCACAUCCAUUGUCACUUCUCACUUUCUUGAUGGUUGUAUCAAACUCACUGUGUAUUCUCUUGACAAAUGAUUUGAAGGUUGCAAAAGCAUCACUCUUGUCACUAAGAAAGAACACCCAUGUAUAUCUUGUGAAAUCAUCCACUAUCACAAAUCCAUAUUUGUUUCCACCAAUACUUGUGUAUGUGGUUGGUCCAAAUAAGUCCAUGUGUAACAACUCAAAUGCCUUGCAUGUACUCAUGAUGCUCUUCUUUGGAUGAGUGUUGCCAACUUGCUUUCUGGCUUGACAUGCACUACAAAGCUUGUCUUUCUCAAAUGUGACAUCUUUCAAGCCUCUAACAAGAUCAUGCUUGACUAACUUGUUUAAUUGUUUCAUUCCAACAUGACCAAGCCUUCUAUGCCAUAACCAACCCAUGCUAGAUUUAGUGAGCAAGCAUGUUGAUAAUUGAGCUUCACUGGCAUUAAAAUCAACCAAGUAUAGAUUCUCAUAUCUAAAGCCUUUGAAUAUCAAGUUGGAGCCAUCUACACUUAUGAUCUCCACAUCAUCAACUCCAAAUAUGCAUUUGAAACCAAGAUCACAAAGUUGAGCUAGGGAUAGCAAGUUGAAGUUCAAGCUUUCUACUAGUAGCACAUUGGAAAUGCUCAAGUCAUUGGAUAUAGCAAUUUUACCAAGCCCUUUGACACCAUUGUCAUCAUUUGGAUUGAUUGAAUUGAACAUUCUUGAAUCACCGGUCAUGUGUUGUGUGCACCCACUAUCAAGCACCCAAUGCCUUCCUCUGGCUUUAUAGUUUACCUACAAAACAAAUCAAUGUUUCUUAGGUACCCAUACUUGUUUGGGUCCUUGGAGGUUAGUGACUAAGCUUUUUGGUACCCAAAUGGCCUUCUUCUUUGGACCCACAAUUGGUGUACCAACAAACUUAGCAUGCACACCGUUCUCACCCUUGGUAAGCACAUAACAAGAAUCAAAAGGAAUGUAAGGUACAUUAGCAAUUUUCUUGUUCUUGUUCAUUUUAUUGAAAUUAAGCUCUAGGUGCCCAACUUGCUUGCAUUUCUUGCAAUACCGACCAUUGCUCUUCACAAAGCUAGGCUUGUGAGUUGCAAAGGCUUUCUUGCCCUUCUUAGGUGUAUAGCCUAAUCCCUCUUUGUUGAGAGAAAACCUUUGGCUACACAAGCACUUUAGCAAGCGGGCCUCACCACCAUAGGCUUUGCCUAGGGCGUGAGUGAGCUCAUCCACCUCUCUCUUGAGAGUCUCAUUCUCAACCUUUAGUGAGAUAUCACAAGUGACACCGACACUAGAAGUAGAGGUAGAGUUGGUUGUGGUGGAUGAAGACCUACAAGAAGAGUUAGUGGCAACAACAGUAGAUGGGUUGGGUGAUUCUUUAAUUAAGUCACAUGUUGUGCCCACAUCACAUAAUACAACAACCUUUUCCUUAUUCUCUUCUAACAACAAGGAGUGAGCUUUCUCAAGCUUGGUGUGAGCCUUGCCAAGCUUCUCAUGGGCUUCCACUAGCCUCUCAUGAUUAGCAUUGAGCUCAUCAAAGGAUUGCUCAAGAGCUUUUAACUUCUUGGCCAAUUCUUUGCACUUCCUGUUUUUAGAUUGAAUAAGAGAAUCGACUUGUUCUAGCAUGUCCAUAAGUUGUUCAUUAGUGAAUUCAUUUUCAUCAUCACUAUCACUAUCAUGUUCAUGUUCACUUUCACUUUCACUCUCAUCAUAUUGUACCUUGUGGCCCUUGGCCAUGAAGCAUGAAGGAGUAUCAAAGAGUGAUGACUUGUUGAUAGCAAUGCUUGCAAGCGCCUUCUUCUUGGAUGCCUUGUCAUCAUCACUAGAAUCAUCAUCCGAAGAAGCAUCACUAUCCCAUGUCACAACAUAGGAUCCACCCUUCUUCUUCUUCUUCUUGAAGACCAUCUUCUUGACCUUCUUUUUUUCUUCUCUUUCUUGUUCUUCUUCUCAUGCUCAUCAUGAUCACUAUUGUAUGGACAAUCCACCAAAAUAUGAUCGGGGCUCUUGCACUUGUAGCAUAGCCUCACAUAUUCCUUGUUCUUGGAGUUGUCCCUUCUUUUUCUUGUAUGGUAGCCCUUCUUCUUCAUCAUCUUGCCAAACUUGUGGACAAAGAGUGCUAGUGCUUCAUCAUCACUAUCAUCAUUGGAGCACUCCUCAUCACUAGAUUCUUCUUUCUUAGCCUUGCCCUUGUUCUUGCUCUUGGAUGAAGAUCUAGCUUUGAAUGCUACACUCUUCUUCUUCUUGUCAUCAUCAUCCUUCUUCAUGACCUCAUCAUCAUGAUUAUCAUUGUAUUGAUCUUCGGUCAUGACAUCUCCAAGUACCUCAUUGGGAGAUACACCCGUCAAUCCACCUCUAAAGAUGAUUGUUCUCAAUGUCUUGAACCUCUUGGGCAAGCACACCAAGAACUUGUAAAUGAAGUCCUCAUCCUUCACUUUCUCACCAAGACCCUUGAGAUCAUUGAUGAUGACUUGGAGUCUAUAGAACAUCUCCGGUAUAGACUCAUCAUCCUUCAUCUUGAAGUUGGAUAGCUUGUCCUUGAGCUUAUACAAUUUGGCACUUUUUACCGUUGUAGUGCCCUCAUAUGUUUCUUCAAGUCUUGUCCACACUUCACUUGCCUUCUCAAGAUCUUUGACUUGUUCAAACAGUUUUGAAUCAAUGCCAUUGUAAAUUGUGUUGAGAGCCAUAGUAUUGCAUUAUUUGUCGGUGGGGUUGGCGGGGUCAAGGAUCACAAAAUCAUUCUCCAUGACUUCCCACACUCUAUCAUUGAUUGAUCCAAGGUACAUCUUCAUUUUUCUCUUCCAAUAGUCAAUAGAGCUUGUGCCAUCAAAGAACGGUGGUUUGCCCCCAACAUGGUUGAACACUAUUCGAGCCAUAAUUUGAGCACCGAGGUUGUUAAACCUUCAAAAACCGUGACCACGGCUUUGAUACCACUUGAAAGGUCCUAAUAUGGGUAGAGGGGGCUGAAUAGUCUAAUUAAAAAUUCUACAAACUUCACUAGAGCAAGAGGUUAGUAAAUAACAAAGCGAAGCUUUUUGCUCUAGCUCUAAUGGGGUGUUUGCAAGCCACCUAUCCAACAAUUCUAGUUGAUAUAACCUUUAGGCACACAAGAGCUAUGUCACUACUUACACUAGAAAGCUACCUAAAGUUUCUAUACAAGUAAGUAAGCUACUCUAGUUUGCGGGAAUGUAAAAGAGAUGGUUUGAACUUUGUACCGCCGCGUAGAGGGUAUGAACCAAUCAAUAAUAUGAAGUCCAAUCAUCGGGAGAAAUCCAAUGAACAAUCACAAUGGAGACACACAAUUUUUCUCCCGAGGUUCACGUGCUUGCCGGCACGCUACGUCCCUGUUGUGUCGACCAACACUUGGUGGUUCGGUGGCUAAGAGGUGUAGCACGAACCUCGUCCUCACUAGGACACCACAAGAACCAACCCAACAGUGAGGUAACUCAAUGACACGAGCACUUUACUAGAGUUACCUUUCGGCUCUCCGCCGGGGAAGGUACAAGACCCCUCACAAUCACCGGGAGAUGGCCACGAACAAUCACCAACUCGUGCCAAAGCUCCUCCGCUGCUCCAAGCCGUCUAGGUGGCGGCAACCACCAAGAGUAACAAGAAAACCGCAGCUAGAACGAUCCCCAAGUGCCACUAGAUGCAAUCACUCAAGCAAAUGCACUUGGAAUCACUCCCAAUCUCACAAAGAUGUAUAAUAUAUGAAGGAGAUGAGUGGGAGGUGUUUUCUUAGGCUCACAAGGAUGUCUAGUAGUGAAAAAUGCCAAGAGGGUGAGCCCUAAGCCGGCCAACAACUAUUUAUAGACCCCUCAAACAAAUAGAGCCGUUGGCUCUCUCACUGGGUCUGACUCGGGGUCACCGGACGCUGUUAAAGGGGCACCAGACGCUCAACACCUGCGUCCGGUGCUCCAACAUCAGCCGCGUGUCAGAAGCUAACGGUAACCUACAGAGCACCGGACUCAUGUGCAGAGAGGGUCGCCAAACCACCCGCACACCGGACGGUAAGCACAGAGAGGUCUGCAGAAACACAGGGUCACCGGACGCUGAGCACCGGACACUCCAGCCUACGUCCGGUGCUCACCGGACUUAAACCGAAGGAGCACUGCAAAAAGCGCGGGGCACCGAACUCACACCACCGGACGCUCCAAGCUGCGUCCGGUGCGUAUCGUCCGGUGCCUAACCCUAACCGAGCUAGGCUGCCUGAUCAACGGACGCACAGGCACAACGUCCGGUGCUUCUGGGCCAGCGUCCGGUGAGUGUUCCUCAGCGAGAAACACUCACCGCGACUUCUCCAAAUUUCCCAUCGGUGCAAUAGAAAAUAUACACUUAAUUUUCUCAAAAGCGUCGAAGUGUGCUAACACUACAAUGUGUAAACCAACAUGUGCACGUGUGUUAGCAUUUUCACAAUCAUUUUCUUCGAAGGAGUUAAGUUAGCUCACUAGGUUCUAAAUGCAUGCACAUAAACAAUGACACCUAGUGGCACUCGAUAACCGCUUAGCCAAAGAAUUCCCCUCUUUAUAGUACGGCUAUCUAUCCUAAAUGUGAUCACACCCUCUAUGGUGUCUUGAUCACCAAAACCAAAACCCUAACCAAUACCUUUGCCUUGAUUUCCAUAGGGUUUUGUUUUUCUUUUUCUUCUUUUCUAAGUUGAGCACUUGAUCAUCUUGUGGUCAUCACCAUCAUCACCAUGAUCGUCACUUGCUCCAUCACUUGGCAUGUAUCAACCUCAUUAAGUCUACACACACUUAGUAUAGAGGUUAGUAUUAGGAUUUCAUCAAUUAUCCAAAACCAAACUAGGGCUUUCAGUUUGUCGAUGAAGUGUGCUCCUCCACCACUUAUCACUACUCUGGGAACUCCAAAUCUUGGAAAUAUAACUUCUUCGAACAUCCUCUUUGAACUGAUGUUGUCGGCGUGCUUGCAAGGUAAUGCGUCUACCCACUUGGAGACGUAGUCAACUGCCACCCAGAUGAACUCACACUUCUUUGAUGGGGGAAAUUGACCCAUGUAAUCUAUUCCCCAGUCAUCAAGGAGCUCAAUCUAAAGGUUGUUGGUGAGUGGUAUGGCAUCUCUUGUGUUUAUGUUUCUGUGCCUUUGACGUGGCCCACAUCUUCUGAUAUAUUGCUUCGUGUCUUCAUACAUUGUAGGCCAGUAGAAUCCACACUACCAGAUCUUUGAAUGUGUGCGGAAUGCUCCAUAAUGACCUCCAUAUGGUGAUGAAUGACAUCUGUCGAUGAUCUUGCAUCCUUCCUUAGUGGUCACACAUCUCCUGAGUAAGCCAUCAGAGCAUACUCGGAAGAGGUAUGGCUCAUCCCAUAUAUGUGAACGACUUUCUUGAAUAAGCUUCUUCUUGUUUGCUCCUGGUGGUACAUACCCUGAAACCAUAAAAUUAACAAUAUUUGCAUACCAGGGGUCAGACCUGAUAAUCCCGUAGAGCAUGUCGUCCCGGAGUGAAUCAUUGAUGGGGUUUCCUGUGGAUUCUUAAAAUACAUUCUAGACAAGUGAUCAGCAACAGAAUUUUCUACUCCCUUUUUUUCUUUUAUUUCUAAGUCAAAUUCUUGAAGUAAUAAGAUCCAUCUAAUCAGGCGAGGUUUAACAUCUUUUUAGUGAGCAGAUGUUUUAGUGCAGCAUGAUCAGUGUAAACAAUUAUUUUAGCUCCAACCAAAUAAGAUCUAAAUUUAUCAAUGGCAUAGACAACGGCUAGAAGCUCUUUUUUAGUGGUAGCAUAAUUAAGUUGAGCUCCUGUCAAAGUUUUCCUGGCAUAAGCAAUUGCAUGAUGCUUCUUAUUUUUAGUUUGUCCCAAAACUGCCCCCACAGCAUAAUCACUAGCAUCACACAUAAUUUCAAAAGGCAAUGACCAAUCAGGGGGUUGAAUGAUUGGUGCAGAGAUGAGUGCAUUCUUUAAUAAAUUAAAAGAUGUUAGGCAUGCAUCAUCAAAUUCGAAAGGAACAUCCUUGGCUAGCAAAAGAGUAAGUGGUCUAGCAAUAAAUGAAAAAUCUUUUAUGAAUCUGCGAUAAAAACCAGCAUGGCCAAGAAAGCUUCGAACUCCUUUUAUAUUUACAAGUGGAGGUAGUUGUUCAAUUACUUCAAUUUUAGCUUUGUCUACCUCAAUACCUCUUUCAGACACUAGGUGUCCCAGCACUAUUCCUUCCCUAACCAUAAAAUGACAUUUUUCCCAAUUAAGGACUAAGUGCUUUUCUUCACAUCUUUGCAAAACCUUGACUAAGUUUUCAAGACAACUAUCAAAAGUUUUUCCAUAAACAGAGAAAUCAUCCAUAAAAACUUCCAUAAUUUCUUCAAUCAUAUCAGAAAAUAUAGGCAUCAUGCAUCUUUGAAAAGAAGCUGGUCUAUUACAUAACCCAAAAGACAUUGUACGGUAAGCAUAAGUUCCGUAUGGGCAUAUAAAAGUGGUUUUGCUUUGAUCAUCGGGAUGGAUCGGGAUCCGGUGAUACCCUGAAUAUCCAUCUAAGAAACAGAAGAACGAAUGGUUCGCUAAUCGCUCUAGCAUCUCAUCUAUGAAAGGUAAAGGAAAAUGAUCCUUUCUCGUGGCUUUGUUUAGUUUUCUAUAGUCUAUGCACAUCCGCCACCCUGUGACGGUGCAUUGCAGAAUUAGCUCGUUCUUUUCAUUCAUAACGACAGUCAUGCCUCCCUUUUUAGGCACAACUUGAACUGGGCUCACCCACUCACUGUGCGGCACAGGAUAUAUAUAAUCCCUGCAUGCAGCAACUUUAUAACUUCCUUUUUAACUAUCUCUCUCAUCGCGUUGUUCAGACUACUUUGGGGCUCUCGAGAAGGUGAAACAGAAGGAUCUGUCAGAAUAUGAUGGGUACAAAUCAUAGGACUGAUUCCUGUAAGAUCUUGGAGUGAGUAGCCGAAAACUGAGGAUGUUUCUCAAGAAUGGUCAUCAAUCUUAGAGUUUGCUCUUGAGUGAGUUUAUCACUAAUGAUCACAGGAAACUCUGGAUUAUUGUUUAGGAAAGUAUAGAAAAGACUGGGUGGUAAAGUUUUAAGCUCUAUGGGAGGUCUAGGCGUUUCUGCAAACUCGUCUAAGGGUUCAGGUUCAGAUGGUUCAGCUUCUUCUUCUAUGAAGAAAGGAGCUUCGUCUUCUAAGUCUGGUUCAUCUAAAAGCUCUAGAGAUGCAGCAUUUACCUCCUCCAUAGGAUCAGGCAAAAGAUAUGACUCAACCUUAUUAUUUAAGGAGUGUGAAAUCGUUAUUGGAAAUUUAAAAGUUUUUCCAAAAGAAUGUGUAGCUUUCCAGUAUGACCUUCAUAAAGAGUCUUCUAAAAGGUUGUCCUAUCAACAGGUCGAAGUCUCAUGUAUCAAAGAUAUAAAAGUUCAAAUGAACCAUGGAGCCUUCUACCAUAAGGGGUAGGACAUUAAUAAUUCCAAGAUUGGGGACUAAUCGUCCUGAAGAUUCCUUUAUGACCUUUGUUGUGGGGGUUAAGACCAAAUUUUUAAAUAAUUUAAGUGCAAAAGAUUCAGACAUGAUGUUGAUCCCCACAACAGGAUUAUAGAGAGCAUCAAAUUGAUCAGAAUCAUAAGCACAACGUAUAGUUAUAGGAGGUGUGUCCAAACGGAUCACAUCAGAGGAAAGCUCUGACUCCUCCAACCAUUCGCUAUUCAUGACUGUGAUAAGCUCUCUCAAUUGAUGUUCUGUUGGCAAACAAAUGCUAAAAUGGCCGUUUUGGGGUCUGUCAAUAGAAUGGUAGUUUGAAAUGUUUCCAAAAUCGGCAAAAAGAUCAAAUUCUAUAUCCAGCAUGAAAUCAGGUGGUGGAAUUUCUUCCUUUUGUGGCUCAGAACUUGGGAUAGCUAAAGUAGAUGGAGAAUUUGGUAAAGUGUCUACUUUGGCUUCAUGGGUUUCAUCAUGAAGGGUAUUAUCCAUCUCAGCUUAUAGGAUUCUAUCUAGGAUCGCUCUAGCAUCAUCAGUAGGGAUGUGAAAGAAAUAACCUCUAGACAUUGUAUGUAGCAUUUGUUUAUGAUCUUUCUAAAGACCUCGAAAAAAGUGAAAUAAAAGAACAGUGUCUUCAAGAUUAAGGUUUGGACCAAAUUCUAAAAGAUUAGAAAAACGUUUCUAGGAUUUUCCCAAAGUUUCAUUAUCUUUUUGUUUAAAAGAUAGGACUUCGAGUCUAAGGUCGCCAAUACGGUCGAGGGAAUAAAAAUCUAGGCAAAAGUUGGCUCGUAAAACUCCCCAUUCACCUCGUUGUUGACUUACCUUCUGACUAUACCAAUGUCUAGCUUCUCCCCUUAAAGAAAAAGGAAAAAGCUUCCAACGUAAAGUCUUAUCAGAAAUGCCUUCAAUGCGAAGACAAUCACAUGUUUGCUCAAAAUCUCUAAUAUGAAGGUAAGGGUUUUCGUCUUCCUUUCCAGAAAAGGAUAGGUUUUGAAUCAUGGCAAUUAACCUGGAACUUAACCUAUACUGAGAUGUUUAGAUAUGCUGUGAUGACUCCCAUGGUAAAAGGUCAGUUUCCGAAGGUGUUGGAAAUUGAUAGAUUGAUUUAGAAUCUUGGUUUUCCAUAAAGUAAGAGUGAAGAAAAUAAAGAAUAUAAAAAGAUAAGAAAAGAAAAAAGUAUAGAUACAAGCUAGUAGUAAGACUCAAGGUUAUCUCAGCAAACCGUCUUUCUCCUCGGCAACGGCGCCAGAAAUGCCUGUUGAUAUUUGGUAACGCAAUAAGGAAUUGAUCCACAAGUGCACGGAUAUCGGUGAGCACUUCACCCGGGAUGUUAUCUAGAGUAUCGUAUUUAUAUUUUUACCACUAGGAGAAAGAGUGCAUCUGACUAACCCGGUCUAUUACAACUAACCAUUAGGCUACAAAGAAUGUGACUCGAUGUGAGCGAUGUAUAGAGAAGACUACAACUGCACUCUCAUUCUAACCUUGGUAAGGAUGAUCUACUGUUCUGUUGGGGAGGCUCACGGAAUCUAGACACCACAGAGGAUGUUCGACCCGCACCUAUAAACCCUAUCGAUCCUACUAACGGGAUAUGGGCUACAAAGGUAACUCGGAAAUGUCACGUUCCUUGCUACUACAACGGUCCAGCUAGUCACGGGACAUCUAUGAGUAUCCUAGCCCAAACACCACGUUUACGCUAGAGAUGAUUACUCUAAACUCUAUGCGAAGAGAUCAAAGUAAACUCAUAAACCAAAGAACAAUAAAACAAGAACUUACUAAAAUUUAGAAGUCGAAAUACUGAAGAAUCCUAGGAGCAAGCCUCGGGUUGGAAGACAUGAUCCCGCAGGUACAACCUCGGAGUAGACACCGACAGGCCGGGCUUCCUCCGAUCUACACCUCCACUCUAUCUCUCUCAAUCUAGUAGAUCUAGUCUACUCUCACAUUGGAUGCUAAGCCCUAAGUCUAUGUAGAGGAAAGGUUAUCCUUCGAGGGCACCUCUCACCUCCAGGCGCCAGGGGGGUCUGCUUAUAUAGUCCCCGCAGGUGAACGUGGGCCGUCGGAUCAAACCGACAUUGAUUGAACGGUUAUCCUUGAUCCUUUAGGUCAGUGGAGCAUGAUCCGUGAAGUUGAACGCGAUUGGCCGAAACACCAGGGCGGGCGCCCUGCCCCCGGCCCCGAUCGCCUUCUCGUUCGUUCCCGUGGCUUCUGGACUCUUCUAGAUUAUAGAAAAUUGCGCGGUACGUUAAUAUCUCUAUGUAAACCCGACAUGUGGGCCUUUCUUCCAUAUUUCCUGAUAAGCCCCUACAGAAACAGAUAAACAAUAAAACUCGUGGAAUUCUGUUAGAUCAAACCCUAAUUCUAGGUGUUGUUUGUAUAUUGGUCCUUUCCCUUGUUUAUUUGAUAAUUAAAAUUGAUACUUAAGAACCGUCAACAAUCUAUUCAAGUCUUUUGUCAAGAGAGUGCAAAAUGAGUUUGAGACCACUAUCAAGAAAAUUAGAAGUGACAAUGGUAAUGAGUUCAAGAACACAAGAAUUGAGGAUUUAUGUGAUGAUCUUGGCAUUGGGCAUCAAUUCUCUCCAACAUACACUCCUCAAUCCAAUGGUGUAGUUGAAAGGAAAAAUAGAACCUUGAUUGAUAUGUCUAGAUCAAUGCUUAGUGAAUACAAUGUUAGUCAUUCAUUUUGGAGUGAAGCUAUCAACACAGCUUGCUAUUGUAGCAACCGUCUCUAUUGCCAUGGGAAGCUUGGGAAGACACCAUAUGAGCUAUUGAAUGGAAGAAAGCCCAAAAUUGCAUACUUUAGAGUGUUUGGUUGUAAAUGCUACAUUGUCAAAAAAGGCACUAGAUUGAGCAAAUUUGACAAGAAAUGUGAUGAAGGGUUCUUACUUGGUUAUUCCACCACAAGCAAGGCAUAUAAAGUUUGGAACUUGGCAAGUGGCACAUUAGAAUAAGUUCAUGAUGUGGAGUUUGAUAAAACCGAGAGAUCUCAAAGUGAAGAUAAAAAUCUUGAUGAUGUGAGGGGAGAUCAAUUGGCAAAUGCAAGUUGAUGAUGAUGGUGAUAUUCACAUGAUCAAUCAAGAAGUGCAAAUUGAUACAAAUCAAGCUAGUACUAGUGGCUCUCAUGAUGAUAAUCAACAUCAAAGUCAAGCAAGUGGAAGCAAUCAACUCCCAAUACUCCAACCUACAAGCAUAGCAAGGGAUCAUCCAUUGGAUCAAGUCAUUGGUGGUAUUCAAAGUGGUGUACAAACAAGAUCAAGGCUAGCAUCUUUUUGUGAGCACUAUUCAUUUGUCUCAUUUGAAGAACCAAAGAGAAUAGAAAAUGCAUUGAUGGAUUCCGAUUGGGUAAAUGCCAUGCAUGAAGAAUUGAACAACUUCACAAGAAAUCAAGUGUGGGAGCUUGUUAAGAGGCCAAAGAACUACAAUGUAAUUGGUACCAAGUAGGUCUUUAGAAAUAAGCAAGAUCAAGAUGGUGUAGUUGUGAGAAACAAAGCAAGACUAGUAGCACAAGGCUACACACAAGUUGAAGGUCUUGACUUUGGAGAAACUUAUGCACCAGUUGCAAGAUUAGAGGCAAUUAGAAUCUUAUUAGCCUAUGCUUGUGCCCACAACAUCAAGCUAUAUCAAAUAGAUAUGAAGAGUGCAUUUCUCAAUGGAAACAUCAAUGAGUUGGUUUAUGUUGAACAACCUCCCGGUUUUGAAGAUGACAAGAAACCCAACCAUGUUUACAAGCUCAAGAAGGCAUUGUAUGGUUUGAAGCAAGCACCUAGAGCAUGGUAUGAGAGAUUGAGAGACUUUCUUCUCUCUAAAGGGUUCAAGAUGGGAAAGGUUGACACUACCCUCUUCACCAAGAAGCUAGGCAAUGACUUGUUUGUGUUGCAAAUCUAUGUUGAUGAUAUCAUUUUUGGAUCAACCAAUCAAGACUUUCGUGAAGAGUUUGGAAGAAUGAUGGCUAAUGAGUUUGAGAUGUCCAUGAUUGGAGAGCUUAGUUACUUUCUUGGUCUUCAAAUCAAGCAAAUGAAGAAUGGCACUUUUGUAUGUCAAGGCAAGUACAUCAAGGACAUGAUCAAGAAGUUUGGGUUGCAAGAAGCUAAACCAAUAAGCACACCUAUGGCCACAAAUGAUCAAUUAGGAUGUGAUGCAAGUGCCAACAUGGUAGAUCAAAAGCUAUACCGUUCUAUGAUUGGAAGUUUGCUCUAUGUCACCGCAUCAAGGCCAGAUGUGAUGUUUAGUGUGUGCAAAUGUGUAAGAUACCAAGCUUCACCCAGAGAGAGUCACUUGAAGGCAACCAAAAGAAUAUUAAGGUAUCUCAAGGGCACUCAUGAUGUUAGAUUAUGGUAUCGCAAGGGGUCUAACUUUGAGUUGAUUGGAUAUUCGGACUCCGACUAUGGUGGAUGCAAGAUUGAUAGAAUGAGCACAAGUGGCACUUGUCAAUUGCUAGGAAGGUAUCUAGUUUCAUGGUCAUCAAAGAAACAAAAUAGUGUUGCACUAUCAACCGCCGAGGUCGAAUACAUUAGUGCUGGUAGUUGUUGUGCACAAUUGCUUUGGAUGAAAGCUACUUUGAAUGACUUUGGAAUCCAAUUCAAGAAUGUGCCUUUGCUAUGUGACAAUGAGAGUGCAAUCAAGAUGACACAAAAUCCGGUUCAACAUUCAAGAACCAAGCAAAUUGACAUAAGGCACCAUUUCAUAAGAGACCAUCAACAAAAAGGUGAUAUUCGCAUUGAAAGCAUUGGCACCGAAGAUCAACUAGCCGACAUCUUCACAAAGCCACUUGAUGAGAAGAAAUUUUGCAAGUUGAGGAAUGAAUUGAACAUACUUGACUUCUCCAACUUGAGAUGAGUACACCCCUACUUUCUAUAUGACAUGCCUCUCCUCCAACAAAGCAAGGUAAAGUUGGUUGACAUAGCAUUCAUACUUUGCUAAGGACAUGCUUAGAACAUAUAGACAUGUUUGCAUGACAAUAGGCUCAUUCAUGAAAAUCAAAAGGAUUUGACGUAUGUAUGGUACCACUAUUGUUUAUAUGAUUGAUUGAUCUAGUGGUAGCAUAUGACAUGUUUGUGAGCUUGCAAGCCUAGUGUUGAAUCUAGAAUAUGAGCAUAUGAUGUGUAAUUUAACAUGGUCAAGAUAACCCUUGUACUUAAUGAGGUGUGAAAAAGCUUGUCCUUGGAUCAAACCAAAUUACAUGUUCUAGGCAAGUGAUCUAGAUUGAACCAUAAUUUAACCCUCACAUUGAUUGACUUAAUUCUCAUUAAAAAUUUGAACCUUUGUGGUCAUUGAUGACAAAGGGGGAGAGAAACAAAGAUAAGUCAUAAAGGGGGAGAAAAGUGCUUAAGGGGGUGAGAAAACUUUUGAAAAUAGAAAGGGAUAAAUUAAAACUUGAGCACACAAAUAGGGGGAGCAAGCUCAUGAACCAUUUGUUGCAUUUCUAUGUGCACUAACAUAAUGAGGUGUUACAUUGCAAGUUUAAAUUCACUACUCUUGUUUGAUUGGUGAUUGCUAGAAAUAAAACUUGAAUGAUGCUUUGAAUUCUAGCAUAGAGUUCUUAUUUUCAUGUGGUAUCUAGACAUAACGUGAUCUCACGAGGUAUCUUGAGUUUUUGAUGUAUGUCUAGCUACAUUGGUGCUAAGGAUGGUAUAUUGGCAACUCCGAUUGGUAUCACGCUUCAAAGGUCCAUUCUAUAUACCUUAGCAUCAUUUUGGUAGUAAUAAAUCUCCCAAAAUUCUAAUUCAUACAUAUGUGCAAACUUGAACCGAACUCAUGUUAGCACAUAUGUAGGGGGAGCUAGUACUACCAAAAUCAAAAUUGAAAUAUUUGUCCAACCUUGUUUCAUGAUCAAAAUGCUUUGGACAAGCAAUUCAAGUUCAUUAUGAUUUCAUUUCAUAUCUUUGUGAUGGUUGUCGUCAAUUACCAAAAAGAGGGAGAUUGAAAGCCCAAGUUUGGUUUUGGUAAUUAAUGACACCAAGUAGCUAAUGCUUUGUGUUCAUGUGAUUUGAGUUAGGCAUAGCAGCACAUUUGAAGAAGGAGCAAUAUGACAAGAGUGGUGGACACAUGAUCAUAAAGAGAGGAAGCAUGAAGUGGAGAUCAUGGUGAUGGACAAGGAGUAAAAAGAUCAAGGCAAAGGUAUAAACAUAGGAUUUUGCUUUUGCCGGUCUAAGAUGAGUAGAGAAGUGAUUGACCGGAUUUAAUUGCCAUACUAUAAAGAGGGGAAAUCUUUAAUUGCAAUGGUUAUCUAGUGCCACUAAGUGUGAAUCUCAUUUGCAUAUACCUAGUGCUUAGUGACGUGGUGAGUUGCAUGAGAAAGCAUAUAAAAAUGUUUGUGAAAUGCUAACACACAUGCACAUGGUGGUGUAAACUUGGUGGUGUUGGCACUUUUGCAAAGGAGAAGGUUUUGGAGUUGAUGUUGAUCAACUUGGUGAAGACAGAGAAGUCUUUCGGUGUUCUACGGACAUUAGGAUGGAUUUUAGAUUGAAAUACUUCUUUGAUCCAUUAUGACUUAGAUUGAGUAUUCAUAUGGAUUGUAUAGCCCUCUAAGUAAGCUUUCCAAAAUGUCCAAGAUCAUCGAAUUCCGAGUUCGGAGCUAAAAGUUAGCAACUUAACAAGGUUUGAGAUGGUGCUGAGAAUGCAGGACCGGAAGUUCCGGCGGAACUUCCGGUGGUUUUUCCGGUGCCUGACCGGAAGUUCUGGUCAGCCUGACAGGAAGUUCCGGUUGGGCUGUGGGUGGUGCGCUAGCAUUUGAGAAAACACUUCCAGUGUCUGACCGGAAGUACCGGUCCAUGACCAGAAGUUCCGGUCCUUAACCGGAAGUUCCGGUCCACGAAUGGAAGUCCGUGUUGGGCAUUCUUAACGUCACUACCAAAAGUAGACUUAGUUUUCUAAUUCUGAUAACGGCGCCAAAAAUGCCAAACCUAUCCCUCAUGCCACUUAAGCCAAGUUGUCAUCCCCAGCAUGACAUGACAGACACGGUGUUGACGGUCCUUAAGUAUCAAAUUUAAUUAUCAAAUAAAUAAAGAAAAGGAUCCAAAUGAAAUCAACAUCUAGACUUAGGGUUUUAUCUGACAGAAUUCCACGAGUUUUGGUGUUUGUCUAUUUCUGCAGGGGGUUAUCAGGAAAUACGGAAGAAAGGCCCACACGUCGGGAUUACGUAAAGAUAUUAACGUGCUGCGCAAUUAUCUUACAUCUAGAAGACUCCAGAAGCCACGAGACCGAAGCGGAGGCGAAACGGGGCCAGAGGCAGGGUGCCCGCCCUGUUCCCCUGGGCGCCCGCCCUCUCCAGGAGUCCAAUCAGGACUCUGCUUCGCGGGAGAUCUCCACCGACCCAAAGGAUGAAUCUAAACCAUACAAUCUAUGUCGGUUUGAUCCAAUGGCCCAUAUUCACUUGAAGGGACUAUAAAACCAGACCCCCUGGCCCCUGGAGCAGGGAGCCUCUCAACCCUAAUUCAUUGUUCCAUCAAGGGAGAAGAAGCCUCUGAUCAAGAUUAGAGCCACCACAUCAAUUAGAUAUCUAGAUUAGCAUAGCUACAUAGGAUUAGAACUAGAAGGAGUCAAUCUUCGAUUGGUUUUCGGAUCUGUCAAGAGGAUUCUUGGUAAUUCUCUAAUUGUGCUUCUAAUUGCUUUCUAAUUAUCUUUGUUCUUCAAUAUUAUGAAUAUGACUUUGUUCUAUUUCAAUAUAUUGCUUAUGACUUUGCUCUACUUGCUUAUAUUCAAGAUUAUAUUGUUCUUAGUUUAUCAUAGUUAUGUACUUAGCUUAGUUAGAUUGGAUCUAUAUACAUGCUUAGGAUCGUAUAAUCUUUAUCCAUCGGAUUCAUGGGUAAAUGAUAGAUAUUGUGUAGGCGUGGUGCUUAUACCGUAUUUAUCUGCGAUUGUACCCAAUAUGCCAGAUCGUGGGGUGGUUCGUGAUAAUGACAACUUCAUUGAUUCUUAUAUAGUCCCCCUCUCGUGUAUUGGGCUGGCAGAGCAACAUUAUUACAGGGGAGUGAUUGAUAUGUUUCUCAUAUUCCUUGCUAAUAUCACUAUGCAUGGGCGUAGUCUUAUCUCGCAAUGAUUGCUAAGUAUGCUUGCACUAACUAUGAUAUGCUAGACUAUAUAGUUGAGAAUAACUUAGGGAAUAUUCUUGUAGUUCGUUCUAAUACCAUGCUAAUGACUUUCUAGAGUAUCUAAUUGAGGUGCUUAUCAUAUUUAUUAUGUGGCUAGAUCAGAUUAAUUAUCUUUGUCACUAUUAUUAUUUCAUAUAUCUUUUAUGUGACACUUAUCCCUGUAUGAAAGAGUUAGAUAAAUGUUCUCAAUUAUACAUGCAAUGAUAGAUGCUCAAUCUCAUAUUCUAUUCUGUAAUCAAUAUUGAUGAUUGCUAAUCCCUUCCCAGUGGUAAAAAUAUAAAUAACGAUACCUGGAAUACUUCCCGGUUAAAAUGCUGCAUCGGUAUUAAUCUGUGCGCUUGCAGAUCCCAUUCAUUAUUUAUUUAGAAGAGCAAUUGCAUAUUUCAAUACCGUGUCUCUUAUAUCAUGCUGGGGAUGACAACUUGGCUCAAGUGGUGUGAGGGAUAGGUUUGGCAUUUUUGGCACCGUUACUAGAUUUAGAGAAUUUAGUCUACUUUUGGUAAUGAUGUUAAGAAUACCCAACAAGCAUUUUUGGCGCCGUUGCCGGGGAAGGUUGAUUACCAAUCAGGAAUGGAAUAAAGGAUUUUGAGUUAUCAUUCGCAUCACUAAUAUGAUUGAGCUUAUCUAUUCUCUCAUACAGUUUUACUCCGAUAUUUUUCUAUUUCAUCUUAUGCAGGGGAAUGUAUGAAUAGAAGACAUCUUCCAGGAAAUUUUGUUGACAAUCCCGAAGCAUUAUUCAAGAAGACGAGAGCCAAGCUCAAGAAGAGAUCAUCAACACUUCAGCAAUAAGCUUCAUCCAAUCAAGAAGAUCACCGAACUUGUCUUCAGAGUUUGAAGCCAUGGCGAACAAAUCAAUCCGCGAGUUCUCAGCUCCCACUACGGACAACAUCCGCACUGGACCUGCUGCAGAGAUCGAUGGCAACUUUGAGCUCAAGCCUGGACUUAUCAACAUGGUGCAAUCGACUGUGGGAAGGCACACGAAGAUGCUAGUGCUCAUUUACAACACUUCCUGGAGAUUUGCAACACAUUCACCAUAUUAGGAGUUUCCAAAGAUGCUAUACUACUUCGCCUCUUCCCAUUCUCACUGUUAGGAAGAGCGAAGUAGUGGUUCUACGCUACAAAGGAGAAGAAUACUACGUGGGCACUCUGCUCAACAAACUUCCUAGCUAAGUUCUUUCCCAUGGGCAAGACCAAUGCUCUCCGUGGGAAGAUUACAAGUUUUCAGCAACAAAAUGAUGAAUCUGUUCUAGAAGCAUGGGAGCGCUUUCAAGACUACAUCCUAGAAUGUCCCCAUCAUGGAAUGGAGAGUUGGCUAUUAAUGCAGACGUUUUAUCAUGGGCUCGGCAACAGUGCCCGAGAGACCAUGGAUGCUGCAGCUGGAGGAGCAUUCUUAUCACUUACUAUACCACAAGCCACAGCUCUUGUGGAGAAGAUGGCGUCCAACCAAAGCUGGAAUGAAGAGAGGACCCAGACACGCAAGAGAGGUGGAGGUAUGCAUCAGCUGAAAGAGGUAGACAUGCUGUCUGCAAAGCUAGACCUGCUCAUGAAGAAGCUCGACGAUAGAGCUGGAGAUAAGAAAGAAGUUAUGCACAUCUACGACUCUCACAUGACUUGUGAGGAGUGUGGAGACACUGGACACUCAGGCAACCACUGCCCUGAGAUACUUGAGGAUGUGAACUACAUCAACAACAACAACAAUAACUACUACAACCGUCCUCAACAAAAUCAAGGUUGGAAUCAACAAAGGCCUAACUACUCAGGUAAUUAUCAAGGUAACAAUUCUUACAACAAUAAUGCUAAUAAUUUUCCACCUUUGAGAGAGUUAGUGUCUAAUCAAGGAAAGCUAAUGGAUAACCUGUCUAAGAAAUUGGCAUCUAAUGAUAAAAUGCUAGAAAAUAUAAAUAAUAGAAUGGAUAAUUUCUCUACUGCCAUCAAGAAUCAAAUUAGCUUUAAUAAAAUGAUUGAAUCUCAGUUAAAUCAAAUAGCUGCUGCUGUUCCUACUACUAACCCCGGUAUACCAUCACAACCGAAAGGAUUAGAAUCUGCAAAUUUUGUAGACACGUUUGAUGCUAGUAAUUGGAGUAACCCCAUCAAUGAAUUCUCUACUGACCUUCUGCCGGUCAAGAGAGGCGAUCGAGGACGCCCCGUCAUCCCGAUCUCCAUCGGCAUGGUGGACGUUCCAGAAGCACUCUGCGACUUUGGCUCCAAUGUCAACAUUAUACCCAGGGUACUCUACGAAAAAUUCUUUACAUAUCCUUUAUUAGAAACAACCAUGUGUUUGCAGUUUGCAGAUCAGACGAUAACUUUUCCAAAAGGAAUAGUGAAGAACCUUUGUGUCUGAGUUGGUACCUUAUAUGCCCCAGCAGACUUCGUAGUGGUAGAGACCGGAAAUGAUGAGAGAGCACCUAUCAUCUUAGGGAGGCCAUUCUUGAACACCACGGGAGCUAUCAUCUACGCCAGUACUGCCAAGAUCAGUUUCUACGUCAAAGGGAAGAAGGAGACAUUUUUCUUCAAGAACAAGACUACACAAAUUCCAGAUCAAUCCAGAUGUGAAUCAAGGAAGAGGACCAACAGGAGGAACAGGAACAAGCAAGUGUGGACCGAGUCAGCUAAGAUGGUCACUGUAGUUCAUGGAGGCCAAGAUCACCAACUCAAGUCACCGCUUUUGACCAAGAAGGACGACCCAGGAAUGCCAAGCAUUUACUGCUCCAUAAAUGGAUACAACUUCUACAAGACAUUUUGUGACACCGGAUCGGGCGUCAACAUAAUGGCCGCAGUCACCUAUCGGCUCUUGUUCGGAACCAUGCCACUAAGACCAACAUACAUUCAGCUCCAGAUGGCAGAUCAGACAUUUCGAGAAGUUAAAGGAAUAGUAACUGAUGUCCCAGUCAAAAUAGACGAUCACUUUGUCUACACAGACUUUCAGGUUAUUGACAUGGGAGAAGACGAAUACGAUCCACCCAUCAUCCUUGGAAGACCGUUCCUCAGCACCGUUAAAGCAAUUAUCUACAUUGGAACCGGAGAAGUCCAUAUGCACUUCCCCUCAGAGAAGGUACGCCGUUACUUUACUGACCCUAACUAUAUCAUUGAAGAAUCUAAGCAGGUCAGAAAGAGACGCAACCGCAACCAGAGGAGGCAAAUCAUCAAGGACGGAUGGGCAGACUAUGAAGGAGAAGUUGUAAGGUCAGAAGACGUAGAGUUUAAACAGAAUUAUCCAGAGGAGACGGAAGCACCGAGUCAGGUAUGGAAAAAGAAGAUAACUAUACAUGAAGAGGAGGCACUGCCGGAAGUACCGACUACGCCACCCAACGAACCUCAGGACGAUUAAGAAAAUGGAGAGUCCCGUUCGGAGGACUUAAAAACACCGAACGCCUUGCCAAGAGGUAAACUUGGUAGUUAUCCUUUCCCUUUCAAUUAUUUCAAAUAGUUUAUUUAGUUAAUCAUGUUCAUGCUAUCUUAAAAAGAAAAUAAAAAUAUAAAAAACAGUAAGCCCCAUGUGAGUAUACGAGUGGCAUAAAACCCAUAAGUACAUUCACUGUGGUGGCAUAAAAAUAAAAAUAAAAAUUUCUUUUCUGCUUUAUAAAAUGAAAAUAUAAAAACAGGGAGUAAUAAUUAUUAAGGAGUCUCAACAUGAUAAAGGCUAGAUAUUUAUGCUAACACUUAAUCAGUUCCACAAGCUUUGUUGUCUAUUUGAGCUCCACAGAAUUUAAGAAGACUAGCAGACGGAGGACAUUCGAAUCGCUGUCAGAAUGCUGCUGACUUUCAAAUACACCUCUGCCACCUGUUAGCUACAUCAAGAGAAAUUACGUCAAAAUUCAGCUUGGGGGAGAGCACCCCCAUUUAUCUCAAUAAGUAUUUCUAUCUAUCUAUCUUUAUACUUAUAUUAUUUUAGAAUAUAAAUAUACAUAACUAUGGAAAAAUCAAAUAAAGAUUUUAUGCUUAUAUAUAUAUAUGUCUUUUGCUUAGUGUGUUUAAUAAAUAAAUAAAGUGGCUAUGCUAAUCUGUAUCUAAAAUAAAACUUAAGCAUGGAUAUGAUGAAUAGUUGCUCUGCCUAAUUUGCACAUUUUAAGUUCUCUCUCAAGUUUAGACAUAACUCUUAUAAUUUAAAGCUUGCUCUAGACCUAAACUUGUGGGAUGAAAACUUGAUCUGAAGUCUAAGUUGUUAACGGAUAUGAUAUGGGAAGGUUGAGCUGUUGUUUAUCUGUUCCUAGAGAUGCUAGAAUUCUGGAGAAUUUUAUCUUUGAAAAUCUUUAAAAUGUUGCAUGAUGAGUUCCUGUAUGAUGAGAGUUUAAAUUCCUACCACAGCUAUAUAUACAUGCUUGCUAGACUUUGAGCCACACAUUUACUAUUUACUGCUUAUGAGCAUUGAGUGUGGUCAAGCUGUGUAGACCCUUAGGAACUUGUCAUGUGGUUAAAUCAAGAUUUCACUUGCACGUUCACUCAUAUAUGCUACUUCUACUCCGGAAGUACCAUCCACAUAUAUCCAUCCAUUUCCAUCUCCAGAACCACCUAAAAAUAUUCUACUCCUAAUCCAGGAGAGAAUAACCAAAAAUAUUUUUGUUUUUCCCUUGUGAAAUAAAUGCUCAAGUUAUCUUGUUACUACCACUUGCUAUAUUAUCUCAUGAGAUGAGUGCUCUAAAAAAAAGAAAAUAAAAAAGAGAAAUACGAGGAAAUAAAAAGGAGCAAGUGCUCGGAACCUCGAAAGAAAAGAAAGAGUGAGACGAGAGGUAAAAAUGGACAAGUGUCCGAUGGUAGAAUUAGGGGUGCAAGAUACCCACCUGAGAGAAAAGAAAAAGAAGAGCAUCUCAUUCUCCUCAUAAAGUUUCAAAAAAGCAAGGAAGGUAUGUAUCCCCUCAAAGAGCAAAGUAGAAUUAGACUUCCACCACCAUUGUUUCUACCAUUGUUAUCACCAUCACCACCAUACAUCAUUCAUUCGCCACACAUGCACAUCUUGAUUAAACUUAUUGGCUUGUUUCUUUGGAUCCAUGGUUUAACUAUGCAAUACAUGUCUUGUAAGUAUGUAUAUUUUAUUUCCCACCUAUGAGCUCCAGAUAUUAAAGCCUUAUUAGAGUAGGGUGAGAGAGAAGGCAAUGUCACUAUGCCUUAUACCACAAAUACUACAUAUCUUGAGAGAAGGCAUAUACCAUCACUGCCUUGGUAAGGAUCCAGAAAUACCACAAAAGAGAGACCUGAGAGAAUCAUACAAGGAAUCUCUGAGAUUUAUUUGAAAAUCUGCAAAAAACCCCAGAGCUAUAGCUGAUCAAGAAUAAGAGACAUGGCACUUGACUAGACUGUUCUAUCUUUUAACCACUCAAGACAGAAGUGACGGUUACAGGUCCCAUGGUGAAGGUAAAGUAAGUAAGUUUUAAGUCUUGACAGUUUACUCUAACUUAGAGAUAAGAUCUUAUUUAAAAAGCAUGUGUACCGUCAAUUUUUAAAUAUAUUGCAACAACUUAUAAUCCAUAGCUGAGUCUAUCCUUGCUCAGGGACGAGCAAGAGGUAAGCUUGGGGGAGUUUGUUGACGGUCCUUAAGUAUCAAAUUUAAUUAUCAAAUAAAUAAAGAAAAGGAUCCAAAUGAAAUCAACAUCUAGACUUAGGGUUUUAUCUGACAGAAUUCCACGAGUUUUGGUGUUUGUCUAUUUCUUCAGGGGGUUAUCAGGAAAUACAGAAGAAAGGCCCACACGUCGGGAUUACGUAAAGAUAUUAACGUGCUGCGCAAUUAUCUUACAUCUAGAAGACUCCAGAAGCUACGAGACCGAACCGGAGGCCAAACGGGGCCAGAGGUAGGGCGCCCGCCCUGUUCCCCCGGGCGCCCGCCCUCUCUAGGAGUCCAAUCAGGACUCUGCUUCGCGGGAGAUCUCCACCGACCCAAAGGAUGAAUCUAAACCAUACAAUCUAUGUCGGUUUGAUCCAAUGGCCCAUAUUCACUUGAAGGGACUAUAAAACGAGACCCCCUGGCCCCUGGAGGAGAGAGCCUCUCAACCCUAAUUCAUUGUUCCAUCAAGGGAGAAGAAGCCUCUGAUCAAGACUAGAGCCACCACAUCAAUUAGAUAUCUAGAUUAGCAUAGCUACAUAGGAUUAGAACUAGAAGGAGUCAAUCUUCGAUUGGUUUCCGGAUCUGUCAAGAGGAUUCUUGGUAAUUCUCUAAUUGUGCUUCUAAUUGCUUUCUAAUUAUCUUUGUUCUUCAAUAUUAUGAAUAUGACUUUGUUCUAUUUCAAUAUAUUGCUUAUGACUUUGCUCUACUUGCUUAUAUUCAAGAUUAUAUUGUUCUUAGUUUAUCAUAGUUAUGUACUUAGGUUAGUUAGAUUGGAUCUAUAUACAUGCUUAGGAUCGUAUAGCGUUUAUCCAUCGGAUCCAUGGGUAAAUGAUAGAUAUUGUGUAGGCGUGGUGCUUAUACCGUAUUUAUCUGCGAUUGUACCCAAUAUGCCAGAUCGUGGGGUGGUUCGUGAUAGUGACAGCUUCAUUGAUUCUUAUAUAGUCCCCCUCUCGUGUAUUGGGCUGGCCGAGCAACAUUAUUACAGGGGAGUGAUUGCUAUGUUUCUCAUAUUCCUUGCUAAUAUCACUAUGCAUGGGCGUAGUCUUAUCUCGCAAUGAUUGCUAAGUAUGCUUGCACUAACUAUGAUAUGCUAGACUAUAUAGUUGAGAAUAACUUAGGGAAUAUUCUUGUAGUUCGUUCUAAUACCAUGCUAAUGACUUUCUAGAGUAUCUAAUUGAGGUGCUUAUCAUAUUUAUUAUGUGGCUAGAUCAGAUUAAUUAUCUUUGUCACUAUUAUUAUUUCAUAUAUCUUUUAUGUGACACUUAUCCCUGUAUGAAAGAGUUAGAUAAAUGUUCUCAAUUAUACAUGCAAUGAUAGAUGCUCAAUCUCAUAUUCUAUUCUGUAAUCAAUAUUGUUGAUUGCUAAUCCCUUCCCAGUGGUAAAAAUAUAAAUAACGAUACCUGGAAUACUUCCUGGUUAAAAUGCUGCAUCGGUAUUAAUCUGUGCGCUUGCAGAUCCCAUUCAUUAUUUAUUUAGAAGAGCAAUUGCAUAUUUCAAUACCGCGUCUCUUAUAUCAUGCUGGGGAUGACAACUUGGCUUAAGUGGUGUGAGGGAUAGGUUUGGCAUUUUUGGCACCGUUACUAGAUUUAGAGAAUUUAGUCUACUUUUGGUAAUGAUGUUAAGAAUACCCAACACACGGUAUUGAAAUAUGCAAUUGCUCUUCUGAAUGAAUAAUAAAUGAGAUCUGCAAGCGCACAGAUUAAUACCGAUGUAGCAUUUUAACCGGAAAGUAUUCCAGGUAUCGUUAUUUAUAUUUUUACCACUGGGAAGGGAUUGCUAAACAUCAAUGUUGAUUAUGGAAUGGAAUAUAAGAUUGAGUAUCUAUCAUUGCAUGUAUAAUUGAGAGCAUUUAUCUAUCUCUUUCAUACAGGGAUAAGUGUCACAUAAAAGAUAGAUAAAGUAUGAAUGGUGACAAAGAUAAUUAAUCUGAUCAGCAUAACUCAGCCACGUAUAAUUAUGAUAAGCACCUCAAUAGAUAUUCUAGCAAGUCGUUAGCAUGGAACUAGGACGAACUACAAGAAUAUUUCCUAAGUUAUUCUUAACUAUAAAGUCUAGCAUAUCAUAGUUAGUGCAAUUAUACUUGGCAAUCAUUGCAAGACAGGACUACGCCCAUGCAUAGUGAUAUUAUCAAGGAAGAUGAGAAACAUAGCAAUCACUCCCCGGUAAUAAUGUUGCUCUGCCAGCCCUAUACAAGAGAGGGGGACUAUAUAAGAAUCAAUGGAGCUGUCACUACCACGAACUACCCCGCGAUCUGGCAUAUAGGGUACAAUCGCAGAUAAAUACGGUAUAGGCACCACGCCUACACAAUUCUUAUCAUUUACCCACUGUACACCUGGAUAAACGCUAUACGAUCCUAAACAUGUAUAUAAUUCCAAUCUGACUAAGCCAAGCAUAUAACUAUGAUAAACUAAGAAUAAUAUAAUUGCAAAUAUAAACAAGUAGAGCAAAGUCAUGAUCAAUAUAUUGAAGUAGAACAAAGUCAUAUUCAUAAUAUCGAAGAACAAAGAUGAACAAUUGAAGAACAAUAGAGAAAUUACUAAGAAUCCUCUUGACAGAUCCGGAAACCAAUCGAAGAUUGACUCCUUCUAGUUCUAAUCCUAUGUAGCUAUGCUAAACUAGAGAUCUAAUUGAUGUGGUGGCUCUAAGGCUUGAUCAGAGGCUUCUUCUCCCGAGAUGGAUAAUGAAUUAGGGUUUCUGAGGGAUAGAGGUGCCCUCCUCCAGGGGCCAGGGGGUCUGCUUAUAUAGUCCUUCCAAGUGAAUAUGGGCCGUCAAAUCAAACCGACAUUAAUCGCACGGUUUUCCUUGAUCCUUUAGGUCGGUGGAGCAUGAUCCGUGAGGUGGAGUGUGAUUGGCCCCGAGGUCAGGGCGAGCGCCCAAGGGGGGAUGGCGAGCGCCCUGCCCCUGGGCCCGAUCGGCCUCUCGUUUGUUCCCGUGGCUUCUAGACUCUUCUAGAUGUUAGAUAAUUGCGCAGCACGUUAAUAUCUCUAUGUAAACCCGACGUGUGGGCCUUUCCUCCAUAUUUCCUAAUAACCCCCUGUAGAAAUAGACAAACACCAAAACUCGUGGAAUUCUGUCAGAUAAAACCCUAAGUAUGGGUGUCGGUUGCAUUUGGAUCCUUUUCUUUAUUUAUUUGUUGAUUAUAUUUGAUACUUAAGGACCAUCAACAAACUCCCCCAAGCUUACAUCUUGCUCGUUCCUGAGCAAGGAUAAUCUCAGUGAUGGAUCAAAAGUUGUUGUAAUGCCUUUAAAAGUUGACGGUACACAUGCUUUCAAAUAAGGUCUCAUCUCAGAGUUAGAGUAAACUGUCAAGACUUAAAACUUACUUAUUUUACCUCUCACCAUGGGACUUGUAACCGUCACUUCUGUCUUGAGUAGUUAAAAGGUAGAACGGUCUAGUCAAGUGCCAUGUCUAUUAUUCUUGAUCAGCUAUAGCUCUGGAGUUUUUGCAAAUUUUUCAAAUAAAACUCAGAGACUCUCUCAGAUCUCUCUUUUGUGGUAUUUCUGGAUCCUUACCAAGGCAGUGAUGCUAUAUGCCUUCUCUCAAAGUAUGUAGUAUUUGUGGUAUAAGGCAUAGUGACAUUGCCUUCUUUCUCACCCUACUCUAAUAAGGCUUUGAUAUCUGGAGCUCAUAGGUGGGAGAUAAAGUAUACAUACUUACAAGACAUUUAUUGCAUAGUCAAACCAUGGAUCCAAAGAAACAAGUCAAUAAGUCAAAUCAAAAUGUGCAUGUGUGGCAAAUGAAUGGUGUAUGGUGAUGAUGGUGAUAACAAUGGUGAAAGUCUAAUUCUACUUUUGCUCUUUUGAGGGGAUACAUACCCUUUCUUGCUCUUUGAAACCUUUGAGGAGAAUGAGAUGCUCUACAUUUUCUUUUUCUUUCCUCUCAGAUGGGUAUUUGUAACACCCUAAAAUUUGCUCCUUUCAAAAUAGAUGAAAAUUAAUUUAGUUUUGUAUUUGAGUGCUCAUGAAAAUAUAUGAAAAAUAAAUUUGCUCCUUGUUCAACAUAUCUUUAUCUUUUUCUACAAUCAAAUUCCCUGUUUUCAGCCUAUGCUUUAAUUCUGAGGUUCUCAAAAUCUUUUCUUUGUAACCCAAAUCACUCUGUUCAGUUCCUCAUCUGUCAAUCAAUCUCUAAAUACUUUACUUGUGAUCUUCAUAUUCUAAAAUAUCUCUAAUAAUUUUCCCCAAAUUAUUGGAGCCUUCGGAUUGUUUUUCGGACCUUAAAUAUCAAUUCUAGAUUUUCUGCAAUUAUUUUUAUUCACGAAAUUAAUUAAUUCUGAAAAUAAUUAAUCUUAACUGUAAUCCAUCUCUCACCAAGCCUUUUUGGUUCUUUAACUAAUGGAUCAAGGUCUGCACAAUUCUCUUGCAAUCCCCUUGCAUUAAUCCAAACUUGUUCUCUUGUUUUGAUUCAUGGCCCAUUUUGCUUUGACGAGAGGACGCACAGAUUAAAAAAAAGCAAGCAACAAGUCCAUGUUCUCUUCGUUGUAAUCUAUUUACGAUUUAUAUGCCGUGUAAAACAAGGACUCCGUAUCAAUCAUGCCAUGCCCAUCCAUAAAUAACAAUCUCUGAUUCAUAUGUAUCCUUUCUCUCUAAACCCUUGAAAAUCUAGACUCGGUCCUCAUAGCCCAACUACUGUCGCCGCCUUCAUCUGACACGCCGAGCUGCAAGUGGAUCCAACCAAGAUCACGGAAGCUAUCGAUGGUUGAAGUGCCGCCGUCACCAGCGAGCUGCAUGUGCUGCUGCACCCCCACGUUCAGGCGCGUGGAUCAUGGAGAAGUUUGUUCGGGCUUCUUUGCAUCCGGCGAUCCUGCUAGCCAGAGAUCGAUUCCAUUCCAUACGUGCGUGUUCUACUUUGUUUAGAAUCCUGCAGGGUAAGUCCUCACCAUGGAUAUGCUCGUUCUCGUCUUGUCAUUGAAGCUAAUAAUCACCAUACUCUGCUUGGUUUCCUUGUGCUAGUUUGUGCUGGCCACCGCCGUUCUUGAUGUCGCCGAGUGGCUUAGUCGACUACGUCGCUGCUACUCGCCUGUGGAUGUUGCUGUCGCUAGCCAUGCAUCACAAGCAGAACUCACCAUCAUGUACAUGUAAGCAGCAGGCUAUAGAUACUAUUUCUCCCGUUGCCUUGACACAAGAAACAAGCGUCAUGCAUAUUUGAUUAAAGGUGAGACACACAUCUCCUUAUCCAUUAUUUUAUUGACUAAAGUAUAUGCUGAUGUCACACAUACAUCAUUCAUACAUAAUAAAUGAUCAUUCUCUAUUUAUCUCUCCAUCUGAGAAAAUUCUUCUUUUAUACAUCCUCGGGAUAAUUUUCUAACUACAUAAGCACUCAUAUGUUCAUCCUUGCUCUGAAUUGAUUAUCAUCAUAUCUUAGUUAUUUUAGCUCUAUUUGUUUUGACUCUACUGAUAGUAUAUACAUGCGAUAUGUCUUCUGAAUUAAUAUAAUAUUAAUUGGAAUAAAAACAAGAUAUGUUUAAGUCUCGGCUUUUCAUAAAAAAAUAUCAAUAUGACCAAUAUUUACCUGUUGCAUUAUGUUAAUUAAAUUUGUUAGCUUUAUUAAAUUCAAAUUAGACGUUCUCACCUAUGAUUUAUUUUAUAAAAUAAAAUAGACUUCUAAUCUGCUUGUACAUCAAUAUUUAUAAAUAAAUAAAAACAUGACUAGUUCUAACUCAGGCUUUUAAACCAAAAUAGAGUUGAGUAAUCUAAAUAAAUGUCAUUCAUAUGUUUUUUCUCACUUAAAAUAAUCAAGCUUAUAGUUGUUUCUUUUUAUCUUAAUACAUUUCGUUUGAAAAAAGUUUAUUUUACCAACGGUAGCAAUGAUCGUCUUUUUAGCAUGUUGUUUUCAAGCCUUUUGUUUUUUCUUGUGUGGUGUACUGUUCUUAGUUGUUUCUAUUGGUUGAAUAUGUUUGAUGAUAUGCUUGGUUGCUACAAUCCGUGAGUAGAAGAGCUGUCCAUGAGUGUUGAAGAUCAGAAGAUGAUGACUAAAGGCUCAUGGUGUGAGAAUUAAGCAAGUGUUCAAGGCAAGUAUAACUUGGGAUCAUCCUUGUUACCCAUUCACUUAUAAAUACACAUAUAUAUCAUAUGCAUGCUUUCACCUUGUCGACCUUAGCAAAAUCAUAGAUGAUUGUUACUUGGAUUCCUUGCUACCUACUGGAUAUGCAUUUGGUGUAGAUGUGCUAGUGCUUGAUAUAAUCCAUGAUCUUGUAAGAAGAUUUAUAGCUAUGCAAUGAACAUAAAAGGAUGACAAAUAACUAUAUGAGAUUUUGUCUGUAAGUGAUCACUGGGACAACAGUGCAACCAUGAGGGCUAUAAUGGCUCUGGCUUUAGCUCAGUAUGAAGACCUUUUCUUGCUUGUUAGAGGUUACCCGAAAGGGCGGAGGGGCUGAACCGACACGGGUAUAGUGCGAGCCCCUGUCCCUAUGUGUAUAGGCUACGCGUCAUUGUGCCAUUCGGAAGGGGGUAUCUAUAUCUGCUCGCAAAGGAAACCUUGCGGCCCUAACAUGUUAGACGAACUUUUGAAAGGCUUCAUAGUGAUCCCUGCUGACCUCCCUAGGAAGGGGGUUAAGAGAUUAGCUACCUCGGGCGAAAGGGUAAAUCAUGACUCAUGGAUAAAGAUGUACAACCUCUGCAGAGUGUUAAAACUAGUAUACUAGCCGUGCUCACGGUUAAGAGCGGCCUUGGAGGUUCUUGCUGCGACGAUGAUGAGCUUGUUAAGUUGUUAUAUCCAUUUAAUUAUCGUUUAGGCUAUGAGAUUAAUUAUGCUUACACUUGAUCACGUGAUUAAUGGAUUAUUUAUGCUACCUUGACAUUUGUUAUAUAAUUAUGAACAUGCUAUCCACUAUUAAAAGCUAAAUGCAGUUAAACCAGUGUCAGCUAUUUGAGCCUCAUGAACCCCUGGUUGUACUUGUUGAGUACGAUAUGUGCUCACUCUUGCUAUUUCCCACCACUCCAGUUUACUAGUAAGAGUUGAUCAGAAGAGCGAUGGAAUCAUGAAGGAUGUUCUCAGAAUACAAGAAGUGCUACUUACCCCCAGUCAGCCGUUCCUGUGAAGAUUGAGCUUGAAGAUUAGUUAUUAUGUUAUGAUUCUCUGAUGUAAGUGUUAAUUAUAAGUAUGUUUCCGCUAUAUAACAUUGUUUUUGAUAUUAUUGCUUCUGUUGUUGUAUGUGUGGACUUCCUGGGCACACAUAUGGCUAGCCUGGUUUUAUUCUUUAAAACCGGUGUGACAGUAUUACACCCCCCUAAUUCUACUGUCGAACACUUGUCCAUUUUUACCUCUCGUCUCACUUUUUCUUUUCUUUCAAGGUUCCGGGCACUUGCCCCUUUUUAUUUUCUCGUAUCUCUUCUCUUUUUUUAGAGCACUCAUCUCUUGAAAUAUAGCAAGUGGUAGUAACCAAGAUAACUCGAACAUUUAUUUCACAGGGGAAAACAGAAAUGUUUUUGGAUAUUCUCUCCCAGAUUAGGAGUAGAAUAUUUUUGAGUGGCUCUAGAGAUGGAAAUGAGUGGAUAUAUGUGGAUGCGUACUUCCGGAGUAGAAGCAGCAUAUAUGAGUGAACGUGCAACUGAAUCUUGAUUUAACCACAUGAAAAGCUCCUAAGGGUCUACACAGCUUGACCACACUCAAUGCUCAUAAGCAGUAAAAAGUAAAUGUGUGGCUCAAAGUCUAGCAAGCACGUAUAUAUGGCUGUGGUAGGAAUUAAAAAUCUCAUCAUACAGGAACUCAUCAUGUGUUAUUUUAAAUAUUUUCAAAGAUAAAAUUCUCCAGAAUUCUAGCAUCUCUAGGAACAGAUAAACAGCAGCUCAACCUUCCCAUAUCAUAUCCGUUAACAACUUAGACUUUAGAUCAAGUUCUCUUCCCACAAGUUUAGGUUUAGAGCAAGCUUUAAAUUAUAACAGUUAUGUCUAAACUAGAGAGAGAACUUCAAAUUUGAAAAUUAGGCAGAGCAACUAUUUAUCAUAUCCAUGCUAGAGUUUUAUUAAGAUUCAGUUUAGCAUAGUCACUUUAUUUAUUUAUUAAGCACACUAAGCAAAAGACAUAUCUAUAUAUAAGCACAAAAUCUUUAUUCGGUUUUUCAUGGUUAUGUAUAUUUUUUAUUUUAAUAUAGUAUAAGUAUAAAUGUAGAUAGAAAUACUUAGCGGGAUAAAUGGGGGUGCUCUCCCCCAAGCUGGAUUUUGACUUAAUUUCUUUUGAUGUAGCUAGCAGGUGGCAGAGGUGUAUUUGAAAGUCGGCAGUACCUGACAGCGAUUAGGAUGUCCUCUGUCUGCUAGUCUUCUUGAUCCUUGAAUUCUGUGGAGCUCAAAUAGACAACAAAGCUUUGUGGAACUAAUUUGGUGUUAGCAUAAAUAUUUAGCCUUUAUCAUGUUGAGCCUCCUCAAUAAAUAUUACUCUCUUUAAUAUGAUCACAAUCUUAUUUUUAUAUUUUCAUUUUCAUAGAGCAGAAAAAUAUUUAUUUUAUAUUUAUGCCACCACAGUGAAUGUACUUAUGGGUUUUUUGCCACUCGUAUACUCACAUGGCGCUUACUGUUUUUUAACAUAUUUAUUUUCUUUUUUAGAUAGUAUGAACAUGAUUAACUAAGCAAACUAUUUUAAAUAAUUGAAAUGAAAAGGAUAACUACCAAGUUUCCCUCUUGGCAAGGCGUUCGGCGUUUUUAAGUCCUCUGAACGGGACUCUAUGUUUUCUCAGUCGCCCUGGGAUUCACUGGAUGGCGUAGUCGGUGGUUCCGGCGGCGCCUCCUCUUCGUGUACAACUAUCUUCUCUCUCCACACCUGACUCGAUGCUACGGUCUCCUCAGGAUAAUUCUGUUCAAGUUGUAUGUCUUCAGACCUUACCACUUCUCCUUCGUAGUCUGCCCAUCCAUCCUUGAUGAUUUGCCUCCUCUGGUUGCGGUUGCAUCGUCUUCUUCUUGUCCUGACCUGCUUAGAGUCUUCAACUAUAUAGUUAGGGUCAGUAAAAUAGCGGCGUACCUUCUCAGAGGGGAAGUGCAUGUGAACUUCUCCAAUUCCAAUAUAGAUGAUUGCUUUAACGGUGCUGAGGAACGGUCUCCCAAGGAUGACGGGUGGAUCGUACUCAUCUUCUCCCAUGUCAAUAACCUGAAAGUCUGUAUGGACAAAAUGAUCGUCUAUUUUGACUGGGACAUUAGUUACUAUACCUUCAACCUUUCGGAAUCUCUGAUCUGCCAUCUGGAGUUGAAUGUAUGUCGAUUUUAGGGGCAUGGUUCCGAACAAGUGCUGAUAGGUGACUGUGGCCAUUAUGUUGACGCCCGAUCCGGUGUCGCAAAGUGUCUUCUAGAAGUUGUACCCAUUGAUGGAGCAGUGGAUGCUUGGCAUACCUGGGUCGUCCUUCUUGGUCAGAAACAGUGACUUGAGUCGAUGAUCUUGAACUCCAUGAACUGCAGUGACCAUCUUAGCUGACUUGGUCCACACUUGCUUGUUCUUGUUCCUCCUGUUGGUCCUCUUCUCUAGUUCAUGUCGGGGUUGCUCUGGGAUUUGUGUAGUCUUGUUCUUGAAUGAAAACGUCUCCUUCCUCCCCUUGAUGUAGAAACUGAUAUUGGCAGCACUAGCGUAGAUGACAGCUCCCGAGGUGUUUAGGAAUGGCCUCCCUAAGAUGACGGGUGCCCUCUCAUCAUUACCGGUCUCUAUCACCAUGAAGUCUGCUGGUGCGUACAAGGUACCAACUCGAACGCAGAGGUUCUUCAAUAUUCCCUUGGGGAAACUUAACGUCCGAUCUGCAAACUGCAAACACAUGGUUGUUUCUGGUAAAGGAUAUGUAAAGAAUUUUUCAUAGAGUACCCUGUGCAUAAUGUUGACACUAGAGCCAAAGUCACAGAGUGCUUCUGGGAAGUCCACCAUGCCGAUGGAGAUCGUGAUGACGGGGCGUCCUGGAUCGCCUCUCUUGACCGGCAGAAGGUCAGUAGUAGCUUCUGCGACGGGGUUACUUCAGUAGUUACCUGUAUCAAACAUGUCUACAAGAUUUGCAGAUUCUAAUCCUUCCGGUUGUGAUGGUAUACCGGGGUUAGUAGCAGGAACAACAACAGCUAUUUGAUUUAACUGAGAUUCAAUCAUUUUAUUAAAGCUAAUUUGAUUCUUGAUGGCAGUAGAGAAAUUAUCCAUUCUAUUAUUUAUAUUUUCUAUCAUUUUAUCAUUAGAUGCCAAUUUCUUAGAUAGGUUAUCCAUUAGCUUUCCUUGAUUAGACACUAACUCUCUCAGAGGUGGAAAAUUAUUAUUAUUGUUGUAAGAAUUGUUACCUUGAUAAUUACCUGAGUAGUUAGGCCUCUGUUGAUUCCAACCUUAAUUUUGUUGAGGACGGUUGUAGUAGUAGUAGUUGUUGUUGUUGAUGUAGUUCACGUCCUCCAGCAUCUCAGGGCAGUGAUUGCCUGAGUGUCCAAUAUCUCCACACUCCUCACAAGUCAUGUGAGAGUCGUAGAUGUGCAUAACUUCUUUCUUAUCUCCAGCUCUACCAUCGAGCUUCUUCAUGAGCAGGUCUAGCUUUGCAAACAGCAUGUCUACCUCCUUGAGCUGAUGCAUACCUCUACCUCUCUUGCGUGUCUGGGUCCUUUCUUCAUUCCAACCUUGGUUGGACGCCAUCUUCUCCACAAGAGCUGUGGCUUGUGGUAUGGUGAGUGAUAGGAAUGCUCCUCCAGCUGCAGCAUCCAUGGUCUCUUGGGCACUAUUGCCGAGCCCAUGAUAAAACGUCUGCAUCAGUAGCCAGCUCUCCAUUCCAUGAUGGGAUAUUCUAGGAUGUAGUCUUGGAAGUGCUCCCAUGCUUCUAGAACGGAUUCAUCAUGUUGUUGCUGAAAACUUGUAAUUUUCUCACGGAGAGCAUUGGUCUUGCCCAUGGGAAAGAACUUAGCCAAAAAGUUCGUGGAGCAGAGUGCCCACGUAGUAUUCUUCUCCUUUGUAGCGUAGAACCACUGCUUCGCUCUCCCCAACAGUGAGAAUGGGAAGAGGCGAAGUAGUAUAGCAUCUCUGGGGAUUCCUGAUAUGGUGAAUGUGCUGCAAAUCUCCAGGAAGUGUUGGAGAUGAGCACUAGCAUCUUCGUGUGCCUUCCCACAGAACUGGUUGGAUUGCAUCAUGUUGAUAAGUCCAGGCUUGAGCUCAAAGUUGCUGUUGAUCUCUACAGCAGGUCCGGUGCGGAUGUUGUCCAUAGUGGGAGCUGAGAACUCACAGAUCGAUUUGUUCACCAUAACUUCGAACUCUGAACACAAGUUCCGGGUGAAACUUUGGUGAUCUUCUCGAUUGGAUGAAGCUUCGUGCUGAAGUGUUGAUGAUCUCUUCUUGAGCUUGGCUCUUGUUUUUCUGAAUAAUACUUUGGGAUUGUCAACAAAAUUUCCUAGAAGAUGUCUUCUAUUCAUACAUUACCCAACAUAAAAUAAAAUAGAAAAACAACGAGGUAAAACUGUAUGAGAGAAUUGAUAAUCUCAAUCAUAUUAGUUAUGCGAAUGAUGACUCAAAAUUCCAUAUUCAUUCCUGAUUAGUAAUCAACCUUCCCCGACAAUGGCGCCAAAAAUGCUUGUUGGGCAUUCUUAACGUCACUACCAAAAGUAGACUUAGUUUUCUAAUUCUGAUAACGGCGCCAAAAAUGCCAAACAUGUCCCUCAUGCUACUUAAGCCAAGUUGUCAUCCCUGCAUGACAUGAGAGACACGGUAUUGAAAUAUGCAAUUGCUCUUCUGAAUGAAUAAUAAAUGAGAUCUGCAAGCGCACAGAUUAAUACCGAUGUAGCAUUUUAACCGGGAAGUAUUCCAGGUAUCGUUAUUUAUAUUUUUACCACUGGGAAGGGAUUGCUAAACAUCAAUGUUUAUAUUGGAAUGGAAUAUAAGAUUGAGUAUCUAUCAUUGCAUGUAUAAUUGAGAGCAUUUUCUAUCUCUUUCAUACAGGGAUAAGUGUCACAUAAAAGAUAGAUAAAGUAUGAAUGGUGACAAAGAUAAUUAAUCUCAUCAGCAUAACUUAGCCACAUAUAAAUAUGAUAAGCACCUCAAUAGAUAUUCUAGCAAGUGAUUAGCAUGGAAUUAGGAAGAACUACAAGAAUAUUUCCUCAGUUAUUCUUAACUAUAUAGUCUAGCAUAUCAUAGUUAGUGCAAUUAUACUUGGCAAUCAUUGCGAGACAGGACUACGCCCAUGCAUAGUGAUAUUAUCAAGGAAGAUGAGAAACAUAGCAAUCACUCCCCUGUAAUAAUGUUGCUCUGCCAGCCCUAUACAAGAGAGGGGGACUAUAUAAGAAUCAAUGGAGCUGUCACUACCACGAACUACCCCGCGAUCCGGCAUAUAGGGUACAAUCGUAGAUAAAUACGGUAUAGGCACCACGCCUACACAAUACUUAUCAUUUACCAACUGUACACAUGGAUAAACGCUAUACGAUCCUAAAUAUGUAUAUAAUUCCAAUCUAACUAUGCCAAGCAUAUAACUAUGAUAAACUAAGAACAAUAUAAUUGUAAAUAUAAACAAGUAGAGCAAAGUCAUAAUCAAUAUAUUGAAGUAGAACAAAGUCAUAUUCAUAAUAUCGAAGAACAAAGAUGAACAAUUGAAGAACAAUAGAGAAAUUACCAAGAAUCCUCUUGACAGAUCUGGAAACCAAUCGAAGAUUGACUCCUUCUAGUUCUAAUCCUAUGUAGCUAUGCUAAACUAGAGAUCUAAUUGAUGUGGUGGCUCUAAGGCUUGAUCAGAGGCUUCUUCUCCCGAGAUGGAUAAUGAAUUAGGGUUUCUGAGGGAUAGAGGUGCCCUCCUCUAGGGGCCAGGGGUCUGCUUAUAUAAUCCUUCCAAGUGAAUAUGGGCCAUCUGAUCAAAUCGAUAUUAAUCGCACGGUUUUCCUUGAUCCUUUAGGUCGGUGGAGCAUGAUCCGCGAGGUGGAGCGUGAUUGGCCCCGAGGCCAGGGCGGGCGCCCUGCCCCCGGGCCCGAUCGGCCUCCCAUUCGUUCUAGUGGCUUCUGGACUCUUCUAGAUUUUAGAUAAUUGCGUAGCACGUUAAUAUCUCUAUAUAAACCCGACGUGUGGGCCUUUCCUCCAUAUUUCCUGAUAACCCCCUAUAGAAAUAGACAAACACCAAAACUCGUGGAAUUCUGUCAGAUAAAAGCCUAAGUCUGGGUGUCGGUUGCAUUUGGAUCCUUUUCUCUGUUUAUUUGUUGUUAUAUUUGAUACUUAAGGACCGUCAACAGUCCGCAUAGGAGCCUUUGCGCAUGGCCUCGCAUGUCAGGAUUCACUUCCGGUCUCUAACCGGAAGUUCCGGUGGAACUUCCGAUGGGUCCAAGUCUCUCACAACGGUUAGAUCUGCUUGGCCACAACGUCAGAUCUGCUUGGAUCGAGGCUCCAACGGUCAGAUCUGGUCAGACCAGAAGUUCCUGUCCCAGGCAUUGGAACUUUCGGUGCCACACUAUAAAUACUCGUUUCCCUUGUUUCUAACUGGGCACUUCGUAUAGAACACAUUUUCUAACUUCCGGUGGCCCUUCCAAAGAGUAUAGAAAGCUCUCCCCUCCUCCUCUCUCGCUCCCUAAGCUUUGUGCUCCAUUCAAGUGAGAGAAUGAGCCCUAGUGAUAGAUCUGAGAGCUUCAAGAGAAUCUCUUCCCUCUCCUCUCCAUCCCCAUAGCAUGGUGCUCUUUGGUGAGAGGAUUUGGGAAACCCAAGUGUUGUGCAUUUGUGAUUUCAUUCUUGUGGCACUAGGUGGUGAUUGCAUGUGUGGAUUUCUUGUUUUUCUUGGGUGUUUCCCGAUGCCCUAGACGGCUUGGUGCAAGGGAGGUGUUGAGCUCGUGAUUGGAGAUUGUUUCGAGCCUCACCAAGUGAUUUGUGAGGGGUUCCUGAGCCUUCCCCGCGGGAGAUCGCAAUUGGCUACUCUAGUGGAUUGCUCGUGGCUUGGAGGAUCCCCAUCUUGUGAGUGGAUGUGCGGCACCCACUGAGGGUUUGGCUUUGGAUUGCCAAUUAGCUCGUGAUCCAUCAUGUGGGUGUAUCGCCACAACGAGGACUAGCUUGCCGGGAAGCAAGUGAACCUCGGUAAAAAAUCUUGUGUCUUCUCUUGCCGAGGAUUCUCUUGUAAUUGUGAUUGAUUGAUUGGCUAUAUUUCUACUCUACAAUGUUGGUAUAACAAUCAAUCUCCUCUCCGUUACUUAUGUGCAUACCUUGCUAGUUGUGUAGCUUGUUUAGCUUAGCUAUCUUAUUUAGGAGUGUAGCAAGCUUCUAGUUGUGCUUUCUUGUUGUAACUAGUGUUUAGCUUUCUUGCUAGACCUGUGUAGGUGGCUUGCAAAGCUUAGUUGUGCUAGUGCUAGAAUAGCUUCGCCUUUUGUUUUACUAAUCAACUUGUCUAGUUGAAGUUUGUAGAAAAUUUAAAUAAGCUGUCCCUCUAGCCAUUUGGACCUUUCACCUGUCCAUCCAUUGUUAGCAUUCAUCGGUGUAGGCCCUACCGAUGGUUGAUAAUUGGGCAUCAUCAUUGAAUUAACAUACCCUAGCUGUGUCAUAAAUCUUUGAUGCGUCAGCAUUGGAUCUGUCGAUGCGUUAGGCAUCUGGAACGUUGGUAUUUGAGAAUUUCUAGUGAAGGGUCUUGUAGUGGUAGUUGUGGAAUAAAGAGGAUUCUGAUUCAUUGGCGAUACUGGGGGUGCCGAUGCCAUAGGAGCCUUGCCUGUCAUGUCAGCCACUUGAGAUGUCCCAGAACUAUUUGCCAUAAAUUCUGGGGGCAUACCAUAUCCCCACCAGUUGGGAGGAACUUGAGAAUUUUUAAACACAGAUCCUGACAUCGCCGAUGCCAAUAGAUCUAUAGCAAGUUGUAUUUGCCCAUAUGCUAUUGCUGGGUUAGUUCUCAUCGGUGUAGAUUAUCCAUUGGUUACCCCUAGUAUGCUUGGAGGAGAAGUAACUUAUGUACCCGCAACGGCUGUAGUAGCCGAUGGAGCCGUAACCAAUGAUGAUCCUAGCUGAUGAUAGGUCGAGCCCACAUAAGCUGGUGGUACUUGUCCUUCUUUGAAUGUUCUAGCCACAGCAUUGAAAACUGUAUUGGACAGCACACUGGAUUGAUUGAUCAGAGCACGAUUGAUAGCACUGUCAUCCAUCUCUUGCAAUUUAUCAAGAUUGGCUUCAAAAGUGAUUUGCCGAGGUGUCGGCAAUGCUUCUUUCUGGAUCACCUCACCGCUCCUGUUGAUAGUGAAGGAUUUCAAGCACAACUGCUUGUAGUCCUCCAUAGCUUUUGUCAUAGCUUGCUUCUGUUCAUCUCUGAGAUUGGCUUCCGUCACGGGGAUAACGUUCUCCAAAUCGAAAUCGGUGUUCGACAUGUUGAUCUUGAUAUUGAAUCUCUAUCCCACCGGGCGUGCCAAAAGAUGUGUUGGUGCAAAAGUAGAUCUGCAAACACAAUACCCGAUUUGAUGUUAAGGCGUGCCAGCCGAUUUGACCUUACAAUCAACAAAGGUGAUAACUCGAAUACUUUGGUCCCGACAACAGCGAUGCGCCCGGAUGUCACGGUCAAGAGGUAUUCACACAGAACUCGAGAACUCACCGAUGUUGACUCGAGGAAUUCCUAAGAACUCGUAGUAAAAGGAAAAUAAGCAAAGUUGACGAAAUCGUCGAAAAUGUAGAUGCUGGAAUAGAUGUAAAGACUUGUAUUUGAUUGAUUGUUGUCUAUUACAUCGCUACGGGGUCUACAUUUAUACCCUGUCCAAAAGAGUUACAAUUAGACACGACUAGGAUUCAAAUUCCAAAUUGAACGGAAUCCGUAUGCAAAACAAACUCUAGUAACUAUGGAAAACAUUAAUUUAUCCACCACAACCGAUCGGCACACCAUCACCACCCGAUCGAUAAUUACUGCGCCUCUCUUUGCGACCAUCGGCGAAUCACCUCUCAUAGCCAUCGGCAACCAUCCGCAUCGGUCAUCGACAUAGAUUCAUCACUACUCCUGGACUUGGCCAUAUUCUGUCGUUCUAUCAUCGGUAUCAACCCUCAUCGGCAACUCUCCUAUCAACUAGUCACCACUUUUCUACCUGCCGAUCUACGCCUCAUUAACUCCAGAUACGCGUCCAAAGAUACGUGUCCAAAAAUGGUGUCAACACCCAUCAACUUUGUCUUGCUCCCUAUGCUUAAGGAUAGAGAAGAAUAAAUAUACUUUUGGUUUUGUUGGUGUUUUCCAUCAACAGGACCCAUGCACUUGAUCUCUGCCUUAUCUCUAUGAGCAGGACACAUUUUGAGAAACAUGGAGGAAGUUUCAACUCCCAGACUCUACCAAGUGAAGGACCUGGAUCUACGAGCACAAACACACUGAGCAAGAUUGUGUCAACGCUGUUGAUAUUUGGUAACGCAAUAAGGAAAUGAUCCGCAAGCGCACGGAUAUCGGUGAGCAUUUCACCCGGGAGGUUUUCCAGAGUAUCGUAUUUAUAUUUUUACCACUGGGAGAAAGGGUGCAUCUGACUAACCAAAUCUAUUGCUACUAUCGCUUUAGGCUACAAAGAAUGUUUCUUGAUGUGAGUGAUGUAUAGAGAAGACUGCAAUCGUAGUCUCGUUCUAACCUUGGUAGGGAAGAUCUAUUGUUCUAUUGGGGAAGCUUACGGAAUCUAGACACCACAAAGGAUGUUCGACCCGCACCUAUAAACCUACCCGUCCAGCUAACGAGAUGUGGGCUGCAAAGGUAACUCGGAAAUGUCACGUUCCUUGCUACUACCACGGUCCAGCUAGUCAGGGGAUAUCUAUGAGUACCCUAGCCUAAACACCACGUUUACGCCAGCAAUAAUUACUCUAAUACUCAACCAGAAGAGAUUAAAGUAAACUCAUAAACCAAAGAACAAUAAAACAAGAACUUACUAGAAUUAGAAGUCGAAUUACUGAAGAAUCCUAGAAGCAAGCCUCGGGUUAGAAGACUUGAUCCCGCAGGUACAACCUCGGAGUAGACACCGACAGGCCGGGCUUCCUCCGAUCUACACCUCCACUCUAUCUCUCUCAAUCUAGUAGAAACUAGAAGAUCUAAUUCUACUCACAUUGGAUGCUAAGCCUAAAAGAAAUUUUAUUUAGAGGAGAGGUAUUCCUCGGAGAGGUAUUCCUUCGAGGGCUCCUCUCAACUCUAUGAUGAACUUGUCUCCUCUAGGGGCCAGGGGGUCUGGUUUUAUAGUCCCCUCAAGUGAACUUGAGCCAUUGGAUCAAACCGACAUUGAUUGGACGGUUAUCCUUGAUCCUUUAGGUCGGUGGAGAUUGAUCCCGAAAGAGAGUCCUGAUCCAACUCUGCAAGGGGGCAGGCGCCCAGGUCAACUGGGCGGGCGCCCGGUGCCUGGCCCCGUUCGGCCUUCGCUUCCUUCCCGCGGCUUCUGGAGUCUUCUAGAUGUAAGAUAAUUGCGCAGCACGUUAAUAUCUCUAUGUAAACCCGAUGUGUGGGCCUUUCUUCUGUAUUUCCUGAUAACCCCCUGCAGAAAUAGUCAAACAUCAAAACUCGUGGAAUUCUGUCAGAUAAAACCCUAAGUCUGGGUGUUGGUUGCAUUUGGAUCCUUUUCUUUAUUUAUUUGAUGAUUAUAUUUGGUACUUAAGGACCGUCAACAAACGCCGCACUUCGAACUACUGGGCAAACGAAGAACAUGGGUGACACCGUAUCAAGAGGUGUAGACGUCAAGGUCCACACCUGAAUCAAAUGAUGCACCUGAAGAAUGAACUCGGUGAGAAGUCUUGUUCAGAAGACUUAAAACAUUGAACCCUCACCGAAAGGUAAAAUCAGUAGUUAUCCAUAUUUAUCCUUUCUGCAUUCUCUUUUCCCAUAAAAUUAUUUACAUUCCUUAAAUGGCUUGUUAGUUAAUCAUGCUAUCUUGAAAAGAAAAUAAAAAUGAUAAAAAUAGUAAGCCCCAUAUGAGUAUGCUCGUGGCAUAAAACCUAGAAGUACAUUCACUAUGGUGGCGUAAAAAUAAAAUAAAUAUAUUACUAUCCUAUAGAAAUGAAAAUAUAAAAAUAAAUUUAUGAUCCUACCAAAGCGAGUAAUAUUUAUUAGAGGAAGCUCAACAUGAUAAAGGGAAAGAGAUUUUAUGCUAACACUUAACCAGUUCCACAAAGCUUUGUUGUCUAUUUGAGCUCCACAGGAUUCAAGGAUCAAAGAAGACUAGCAGACGGAGGACAUCCUAAUCGCUAUCAGGGUGCUGCCGACAUUCGAAUACACCUCCGCCACCUGCUAGCUACAUCAGAAGAAAUUACAUCAAAAUCCAGCUUGGGGGAGAGCACCCCCAUUUAUCCAGCUAAGUGUUUCUACUCGCGUUUAUACUUUACUCAAAUAAUAAAAAGAUGCAUAAUCAUAAAAACCCAAAUAAAGAUUUUGUGCUUAUAUAUAUAUAUAUGUCUUUGCUUAGUUUGCUAAAUAAAUAAAUAAAUAAAGUUUGCUAUGAACCCUCAUGAUAAGCUCUCACAUGGAAAUGAUGAAUAGUUGCUCUGCCAUGACUAGUUCUCAAAAUUGAAAUCUCUCUCAAGUUUAAGCAUGACUGUUAUUAAUUAACAUUUGCUCUGAGAAUUUUAUCUUUGAAAAUCUUUAAAAUGUUGUAUGAUAAUUUCCUGUAUGAUGAGAGCUUAAAAUCCUACCACAGCCAUAUAUACAUGAUUAUUAGACUAUGAACCAUACAUUUACUUUUUACUACUUAUGAGCAUUGAGUGCGGUCAAGCGGUGUAGACCCUUAGGAGCUUGUCAUGCGGUUAAAAUCAAGAUUCACUUGCACGUUCACUCAUACAUGCUGCUUCUACUCUAGAAGUACGCAUCCACAUACAUCCACUCAUUUCCAUCUCUAGAUUCACCCAAAAUUAUUCUACUCCUAUCCAGGAGAGAAUAGCCAAAAACAUUAUCCUAUCCCUGUUAUUCCCCGUGAAAUAAAUGCUCGAGAUAUUUUGGUUACUACCACUUGCUACAUUAUUCCAGGAAGGUGAGUGCUCUGAAAAAAAAGUGAAUACGUGGAAAUAAAAAGGGGCAAGUACCUGGAACCUCGAAGAAAAGAAAAAGUGAGACGAGAGGUAAAAAUGGACAAGUGUCCGACAGUAGAUUUAGGGGUACAAGAUACCCACCUAGGAGAAAAGAAAAAGAAAAUAUAGAGCAUCUCAUUCCCCUCAAAAAGCUUCAAAGUGCAAGAAAGGUAUGUAUCCCCUCAAAAGAGCAAACGUAGAAUUAGACUUUCACCAUUGUUUUCACCAUUAUCACCAUCAUCACCAUACACCAUUCAUUCGCCACACAUGCACAUCUUGAUUUGACUUAUUGACUUGUUCUUCUAGAUCCAUGGUUUGACUAAGCAAUAAAUGUCUUGUAAGUAUGUAUACUUUAUCUCCCACCUAUGAGCUCCAGAUAUCAAGCCUUAUUAGAGUAGGAUGAGAGAGAAGGCAAUGUCACUAUGCCUCAUACCACAAAUACCACAUACUUUGAGAGAAGGCAUAUACCAUCACUACCUUGCUAAGGAUCC